AACAAUUGCCUUGUUGUUCAUGCCACCAGCACAAUUCAACAGAACAAGCCCUCGAACAAGGGUUUGACUAGAUUCUUAUGGUAGAAAAUAUAGCAGGUUUAUCGUAAACCAUAGAUACCAAAAAGGAUAAUUAGGGACAAGUGUUUCUUUGCAAGCAAGUUGAAGAAUAUCUGAUGUCCAAGGGGAAGUUAAAAUAAAUAUACCUGAGGCAGCGAUAACACAAGCUAGGCUUCCAACAGAAUUACCUAUAAGCACAGUUGGCUUCUCAACAACUUCAUCCAAGAAAUCCAAUAUUAGCUGUAUCAGUGAAUCCCACUCAAGUUAGCAAGGAAAAUAACUAAAGGUCAAGUGAUUGACGACAUAAGUACAGAGAAAGAUCCAACUUCUGGCUAGGGAACAUUGCACACCUGAGCCCAUGCCUCCAUGGUAUAUGAAUAACCAGCUGGCUUAUCUGAAGCACCAAAUCCAAGAAGGUCAAUUGCAUAAACCGUGUAGCUCUUCGCCAGGGUGCCGAUAUUCCUGAAAUUACCUCAGAGAUGACAAGAAAAAUAUCAAUUCCUCACAUUAUUUAAUAGGAUAAAGGAGUAGUGAACACACAAAUUUUCAUUCCCCUCUUCUACGGAGCGGUAAAAUGAAUACUUUUUCACUAGAUUAAGAAUUGGAAAAUGGAAGAAGCCUAUACCCAUAAAAGGGUAAUAUGAAAUGGAACCCUGAAAUUCAGAUCACUGGUUUGUCAUCAUCUAGGUGCAAGGAAUAGAACUAAGUGUUAAUGCCAAUGCACCAUGAAAUAAUGAAUAGACUUUACUUUCAUUAUUCUUUUGCUUCAUUGAUCUUAAUUAAUUAUUAGAAGUAUAACACAUAUAAAUCCAUCCCUGGAGUUCAUAAUACAUAACAGAGUCAGAGAUAUUACAUACAUAAGGUAAAGACAUGCUCCAUACAAAAAAAAAAUAUUACAGUCGAAAAUACCCAGAACAUAAUUUGAAUUGAAUUCACAAUAAAGGAGCUACAUUUUUAUGCACCCAAUAAUCAACCCGCUACACAAUUCACAACAAGAAAGAGCAAUCUUAUCUCGCUAACCUGCGCCAGUGAGGAAUGGAGGCACCAAAGCCAUGGACAAGGAGUAGAGGAGGAGAAUCGGGAUGUGAAUUUGGAGUUGAAGAAACCAAGUAAUUGAUGGAGUACUGACCCUUCCAUUUCCACAUUUUGCAACUCUCCCUUAUCUCAUUAACCUCCAGUUCCAGUGCAGCAGAAGCAGAAUCCCCUCCACUGCUACUGUUAGUAUAACUGAUGGUAACAUUUUGUCUCUUCUUCUCCUUAUUCCUCUGCUGCAACUCCAACUGCAACUGAAACUGCCAAAUCUUAUUGCUCAAUAGGGGCAAGCGCAGGCCUUUUACAUCUCCAUUUCCAUUUCCAAUCCUGAGUGUUGUUAUUGGAAUAAUGAAAGAGGGAGCCCGAGCCCUUACCAUCCACACGCUCAUUCUUUUCUUGCUUUUUCAAUUGAAUAUUUUCUGUGGCCUGGCUUGGCCUGCUCCUCCCCUGCUUCCACCUCUAUGAGACUGUGGCUAUGACAAAAACUUUUUAUGUCCUUAUUUAUUUAUUGGGCUUAUUCCACUAUUUUAUGAAAAUUUUACUGAUAUUCCUCAAAAAUCAAAAUGAUAAUACUUCGUCUAAAAAAUAAUUAUAAAACAUACAUGCUAUGUUUUAAAAUUUUCAAACAAAGAAGAACUUUGUAGAGUUAAUUAACUAGAUUUAUUUUAGUUUACUUUCUUGUGAUUUAAAUUAUUUUAUUAUAUUUAGCUACAAAGAUUAUUUUGUCAUGAGUUUAAAUUGAUUAUUUUGCCCUUAUAAGGUAAAACUAUUAAGAAUUUACUUUAAUUUCAAUAUUUUUCUAAUUUUAUUCCAAACUCAUUGUUUCUAAUACUACUUUACUAGUAUGAGUUUUAAUCUUUAAUUAAACUAAAAUAGUAUCUUUAGGGCACGAUACUCAUGUAAAUUAUUGGGAUGUCAAUUUUAUGUUAUUUACACACUAAAGUAGAGAAAAUCACAAUUAGAUUUUAUUUUAAAAUAUUAUACUAUAAGCCACAAAAUUAGAUACAUAAAUUAUUAGAUACAAUAACUCGUGUUUAUUAUGGUAAUUUAGUCGCUAUAUAUCAUAAUAAUAAAAUACUAAAAUAAAACUUGUAUUAAAGUUUAUGAUUAAAUAUGGUCAAAGAACCCAAGAAGAAAAUCAAUAGAAGGAUCUAAUUUAUUAACUAUACGAAAUUUUUAUUAAUUUGUAUUUUUUAAAAAAUAUUGUGAAUUCAUUGCAAUUAAUAUCUAGAAAUAGGGUUGAUUUAUAAAAAUAGUGGGGUGUAAAAAACCUUAUCCAAAUACUCCAUAAAAAGUGAAAAUUAUCACCUUUUUCGAUGUACUCCUCUUGAAUUUUUUAUUCCUAAGGAUAAACUUCAAUUCAUUCCCAAAUAAAAUGAUAAUCUCUAAUUUGCUUUCAAUGAAACCUCAAUUUAUUCUUUAUUUUCAUACAAAAGAUGAGGGGCAAAUAAGGAAUGUAUUGAUGGAUUUUCUUUUUUUUAAUCUUCUUAACAAUAAAUGGGGUAAAUUGAUAUUUUUAUACUUUUAGGUGAUAAAUUAAAGAUUUUCAUUCUAAAUUGGGGGCAAAUUAAAAUCUAUCUUAUUUCUAAAGGCACCAUGUGACUAUUUUGCCUAACCGAGAGAGCCAUUAUUCAAACACCAAUCUCUUUUUUUUUUUUAACAAACACACUUUCAUUUAUUCUUUAAGCUUUUUUUUUCCCAAAAAAUGAUGAAUAGAUAUUGAAAAUUUUGUUUUCAUUUUUUUAUUGAAAAAAUGAAAAACAACAAAGAUUACUGCUUCCUUGUCCAUACUUUUUCGUCCUAUAUUACCUUAAUUUUAAUCGUUUUCUCUAUUAGACACUAUUAGACACAUUUUUAAAUUCAAAAACACAAAGCAUAGUGCAUCAUUUUCAUUAUAGGCAUUAACACCUGACGUACACAUUCUCCAAAUGGGAUUAAUGGAAAAAAAUAAAUAAAAAAAGGUGACUCCUUCGGCCAAUCUUAUAGGUUCUAACGUUUUGAAGGUAAGUUUUAUCUUGUAACAUUCCCACAAAAUUUAAAAUCAACUGGGACGAAAAUUUUGAAAAUACUAUGAUUAGCACAAGCAUUUCAACAAUACAGGAUGUAAUAAAAGCUCAUUGAGUUGAAACUUGAAAGCAAAAUUAGGGCAAGGUCAUUUCUUUAAAAGAAUAAGGCAAGAUGCACCACAUGAAAUACCUGUGACCAAGCCUCAAAAGAUUCACCAAGCCCAGUAUUUUGCUUGCCCACGGCAUAAUUACACUUGGCUUCCCAAACAAAUAAUUGCUGGAGCUCGGACAAUGCAAGGAUUCAAUUUAACUUCAUAAAUAUCAGCCGGAGCAUAAUUACACUUGGCUCCCUAACAAAUAAUGCUGGAGCUCGGACAAUACGAGUAUUCAAUUUAACCGUACAUAGAUGUGCGGGGUUUUGGUGGUAAGUAAAAAGACGUGCCACUAUCAGUUGAGGAGUGCAUAAGAGGAUUACAUCUAUCAAAUACUAUCCGCCCCCCUCGGCCAAUUCUUCCAUGAAAUUUGUGAGUUCGUGCUAUAGUGCCAUUCCUCGUAGAAGAAUCUGACGGCGGAACAAUACCUGCAGCGUCCAAUUUUUCUGGCACAAGGGGUUUUGUGAACAACAAAACUGGCUCGAGAGGAUCCUGAAACCCCACAGUUACAUUUUCAAAAUGAUGCACUGCUGAUAUUCAGAAAUAAAACAAGGAUAAAACAUUUUCUAAAGUUUACUUAAAUCAUUUUUCUUUCCAACCACAGAUAGGUCAAUAAGUCAAAUACUGGAGCUGACAGAGCGCUGGCAGAAUUAACUACAAACCCACCAGAUUUAUCGUGUUAAUCGAUUGUUUUCAAUUAACACGGUAACCCGGCUCGGGUGUUACCUCUGUUUCUGUCAGUGCUCUGUUGAAUAUUUCUGUUUCAAAAUCAGCAUUCAUAUAUGUAAGUAGUAUGGCAACAGCAAAAUAUCAUGUGUAAUAAUUAGGCUACUAGUUCUGGGUCCAGGAAUAGAGAUAAUCAGAUUAGGAGCAAAAGCUGUAUGUACCAAUUUAUGUAGCCAUGCAUGUGGCACAUGUCGCCGCCUGAACUCUUGCUUCAUGCUUGCUGUAGGAACUGGAACUAGGUUGGAUUCUGUGAAAGGCUGAUUCUCAAUUGCAGUAGAUUGCGAAUGUGGAUGGCUAGGCGCAAGAUCAUCUGAGUCCAUAAAUUCAUCCUCACUUAAACCGAACUUGCAAGAGACAGAUGGAAAUCCAGGAAGUGCCACAUCUUCAAGGAGCUCAAUUUCAUGCUGAUAAUUCAAAGGAGUCGGGCACAAUGUGAGCAGAAAUCAAUAGAUUGUACAUGCACCAUGGUCCAAAUGCAGAGACCAUUUGAAGUUCGGGCCAUGUAGGAAUUAAAUUUUAAUAUGCAAAAAUAAAUAAAUGAAAUUAAAAAAAAAAACAAAAGUUCUUGCAUAAUAUUCUUGGAAACUUCAUUGAGAUAUCAUUUUGCCCUUAGAAUAAGAAGGCCAUGGGCAAUCUGCCCCCAGCACAUUCACCAUAAAGAUCCAGUCUUUUUCAUCGUGACUAAUUGUUAAAAUCUCUUCCAUCCGUUAUUGUUAGCACAAGACAGUUAUUGCACAAGUUCCUAAAACUUCCUAAGAUAGAAGGCUAUUGACAACAUUUCCAACAGCGAUGCAAGAUGAUGCAAUGUAACAUCAUAGCAUACCUUGAAUUUCAUUUGGAUCCUUUGUAGGUUAACUUCCCCCUCCAUGACCUCUCUCUUUUUUUCUUCUCUCUGCAGACAUGACAUUCUAAGGUAAUCAGAACUCCACAUUCUGAAAUCUGAAGCAAUGAAAACGCCAAAUAAUUACAGAAAUUGGUAUUACCGGAAAAAUAAAAGAUCAGUGAACAUUUAUUUUGCUAUUUCAGUUAAAAAGAACACCUUUAUCAAGGCCUCAAGUAUACUCUUUGCUUGGUCAAGGUUGCGUCUGACCUGAGAAGAGUAAAUCCAAAAGAGAAUAUUUCAAUUUUUAAUGAGAAUUAUGAAAAGAUAGUGUACAUAAAAUUUGAACCCCCCCCCCCCCCCCAACCCCCCCAAACAAAAAGAAAAAAAGGUGUUACCAGCAUGUAAAGGUAGACCUUUGGAAAAUAAGAACAUAUUUUUGUUUCUUCAGCAUCAUCACAACAAUAAUUCACCACAAAAAUGAAGGACAAUCUUGUUAUCAAAAGCACCGGAAGACCAGGAAAUAAGCAAAGUAAAUUUCAGCUAAGGAAACUGCAGACAAUAUAUAGUCAUUGUCUUCACACUAUUGUUCGGGCCCUUACAUAUUAACUUAGUGGCAAAUUUAUUUGACAUCAGAGCUAGUUUAAACCAUGAGGCCUUGUGUCCGGCUUCUCCCACGAGAUUACAUCAGUAUCUAAUUCUUCUUCCCGUCUGUAUUUGGGUGAUUGCGCAUUAUUGCAAUUGUCUCUAUUUCUAUGUUCUGUCUCUGCUUAGCCUUGAUCCAUAUGACAGGUACUUUUGCUAGUAGUCACACAUUUGAGGGCCUGUUAGAGAUUUUAAUACUAUUGUUUGGGCUCUAACCUACUAGCUUAAGGUUUUAAAUCAAGCUAUAAAUAAAUAUUCAUAAAUAAAAUUGGAGAUUAAGGACUAUUACAGCAAAAAGGACAUAAAUAAAACAACAUUAAUUUUUAACAAGUUAAAGUCUUGAAUAAAAAAGAACUUGGUGGCAAGAUUAUCCAUUAUCUCAAUUUUCUUCCAGUCUUUCAUUAGAAUGCAAUAAGACAAGCGUUUACACAGAAAAAAGUCAUAGGCUCCUCCAAGGGAAUACAAUGUAUCAAGCUUGGGAAAAUGACUUCAUACAAAUGAAUUGAGUAUAUUGUUUUAAGUUACACAAAGUCCAUAGCGAGGAAUCAGGAUUGACAUUAAAAUAAAGAUAUAGUGCUUACCUGGCGAAGCUUUUCAAAUGAUUGCACGUUAUUCUCCCUCCUUUGCAUCUGAUCAAAAGAUUGGCCAGCGUUAGCAUAUUUGCCAAUUCAGUAGCUUACUUAAGGUCUACAAAAUAUGGGAAAUAUUACUUCCCUGCAUCCCCAUAACCCCCUUCUUUUUUGCGCCCCCCACCCCCUUUUUUCUCCUUUCGAAAAUAAAAGUUUCCAAAAUUACAUACAAACACAGCUAUCUCAGCCACAUACCCUUCGUGUGUGGAGUCUGUGAGCUUUCUCCCUCGGUCUGAAGACAUUAUAUGGGUUGGUAUCAUUAACUGGUGGCGGAGGCUGUACAAGUAGUAUUAAUUAUUAAAAAAAAAAAAAAACUGUCAUUGUCCACUCCAGAAUGCAAAACAAAAACAAAUUAUAUUAGAGAGAUACAUGCACAGAAAACACACACAAACUCAAAGGUACAAAAAGCUGAUUCUACAAUCACCAGCCCGCCCAAAACAAUAUUUGCAAGUACAAUAUUCAAGUUCUUUUAUUUUCAAUGGUUUUGAGGUAACAUUGUAAUGGCUGGUUCAGACCUAUAUAGGGGUGGAUAGGCAUGCUUUGUACAGAAUGGUCCUUAUCUGUUUUUGAAAAAUUAUGUAGAUUUUGUAUCCCUCCCUUUGGCAUUUACCACUUUGGAGGACAGCUGACCUACAUUUCUGAUGUACAAUCCUUCAUCUAAAUCAUCUCUAAAACAUUCUGGCUUUUUACAGGGGGGAAAAAUUCUAAAAAAGAUACAACUUUACACACUGAUAAUGAAAUUUACUAUUUUGAUAAAUGAAAACGAUGGAAAAGAAAUUUGAUGACACCGCAUGUGUCAAACUGCCAAGCAGUGAUCAACAUAAGCACUCUCCAUACAUAACUAAUUGAUAACACUAACCUGCAAACGCCGCAAUAUAGGUUUCUGCCAUCGUUCACGCUGGCCUCAAACAUGAAAUAGCACAAGUGAAAAGCACGUACAAGUACUCACAGUACAGAAAAAACUACUUAACUUGGUUUGCACCAAUAUUUAUGAAUUGAUACAUCAAGUUCAAUGAAACAUUUAAAAUUUUAAACCAUACCUUUUCUUUCCAAUAGUGAUAAACAGACUGGAAGACUGCAUAUCCAACAGUGGUCUGAUCUUUUAAGGCCUGACAUCAAAAAGGGGAUAGGGAAUAGCAAUUGUCACAACUUCUUGAAUCCUUAAUAAAUCAAUCAACAAAGCUACAUAGUGAAAAUAAAACAAAAUGCAGAGACAACCAAAUAUUUUAAACAUGACUCUUUUUCUUUUUCUAGCACUAAAAACUAACAGUUCUAGGCUUAAACGAUAAAUUUUAAAAUGUCAUGCAAAGGAAGGCGUAUACCCACUAAAUCGUAUGAAUCACUAAACAGACAGUAAAAUCACCAGAGACAGACAUUAGUAUUGACUCUUAAGCCAUCUGCAUUCGCAGGUGAUUGAAAAAAGACUAAAUUGCAUGAGUCCAUACAAUUUCACAAACAGCAAAUAGUUAGCAAAUGAUCUGGACAAAUUAGUUUCAUAUAACUAACUAUGUCUUUGGUUAAUCCACAGACACAAAACAACCUUUAAAAUGGAAAUACACAAAAAGUAACUGAGUAGGCUGCUGUGUGACACAACAAAAGAAACAGUUGUGGAAUGUCUAUUGUUAAGUGUCAAAUAGCAGAAGCAAGAAAGGCACUAAUUUACUAAAAGUUCCACAGCCAAGGUCCUUAAUCCUUACCUGCUAGUUCUCAGAAUCUGUAGAGGUCACGGUCUGUUUCAUUACAGUGCGCAGAAAGUAUCUUAUAGUUUUUGUUGUUCUUGUUUAGUGCCUAAUACUCCUAUGAGGUUUGAAUAUUAAUAUAUAUAACUUCCUAUUUCUUAACAAAAAGGCAGGUCAAUCUAAUUGAAUCCAUCUCUUUUGACAGAGACAAGUUUCUGAUCACAGGUAACUCAAGUAACUGGAAUUUAGGAACAAACAAUUUCAUAUGAUAUAGCUAGUCAAGGAACAAUGUGAGGUUGAGCCAUAACCAGCACUGAAAUUAGAGAGCAUUCAAACAGUCAAAACAAAGUAUCACCUCAAUAGCAACACCUAGUUGCAGUAGUAUGGGAAUGGGCGAACCAAGAGUGGGUGUUAUAAGUCCUGCUCUUUCCCGAGCUUUAUGAUCCAACACCUCCAACUUAAACAUAAGAGUCUCAAAUCUGUGGUUCAUGCAUGUAAUCGAAUGAAUGAAUUGGAGAUGAAUAAGAUUUACUGUAUCAUCUUUUAACCCAAAUUAAAUUACAUAAGUUGAAAUUGCAUCCACAUAAAAAUCAUUAGAAAAAAAUUAUAUUAGAUAGAUAUGGUGAACUACUUUUCAGGGGGAAGAAGUUUUUGAUCUCUAUUGAAUUCGUCAAGCCAAUCCUCGUCUUCAUUGUCUAAGUCAUACUCAACAAAAUCCCCAAGCUCAGCCCGAGCUGCCAAUGCCAAUAAUUGAAAUUUGACAAGCAAAGUUAAGUUAAACAAACGUUAUAAUUAUCAAAAUAAUCUGGAUAGAAAAUUUUACAUCAACAACAACAGACCUCCUCUCGCACGUAAAUAGGAAGUUGGCUGAUCAAAUGUCUGAGAAUAGUCCCGUUCAUACGUGUCAACAACCACAAACUGAGGUGUGGGUAUUUCAGAAGCUGACUUCUUGCUAGGGACUUGAUGCACCUGAUGUAUAUACAGUAAGUUCACGGUGAAAUCAACAAAAUGAAACAGUUUUAAGUAUUUUGUAAAUGCUGAAACGUACCUCUUGACUGUCAUGGUCAAACGAAGAGGAAUUGAGACGGAGGAGGUGUGAGUUGCGUGUGGUGGUUGCAGAGGGAGUAGUAUUAGCGGCAGUAGAACUAGUAGGAGGAUUCGUGUCAUUGUUGUCGUCUUCAAAGUCCUUAAAUGACUUAACUAUGGGCAGUUUCUUGUGUAUGUCUAGCGGCCGUGGCCGAAUUGAUAGCCUACUCAUUUCCCUUUACUACUUGAUCUCAUUCAAAUACAAUCCUAAAACAUGCAUUAAAACCACAAAAUGAUGAUUACGACAAUGACAACAACAUUAAUAAUAGCCCAUUUAUAAUUGAAAAGAAAAGAAUAGCAGCACAAAUUAAAUUAUACAACAAAAGUUUUGUAUAUUGAGGUUAGGACAAGAUCUCUGAUAUUAAAGUUAUCUGGCGUUUCUGUUUUCUUUUUCUGUUGGUCUAUUGGCGAUGCUGAUUCUUUGAACCAGAACCAUGCUUUACAGGUUUUCAAUGGACCACAAAUGACCUAGAUAAUCUUAUAUAAAAGAAAAAUAUAAAACAAUUCCACCUCUAAACCUAAAUCUACUUUGUAAUCAUAUCAAUUCACAUCAAUAUAAGCUGGAAAAAAGAAUCAGAACAAGCAAUGAGCACAAAGAUCAAAGACUAAAGCUUCUGCCCUAGUAAUAUUAUAAUAUAGAACAAACUAACCGAAGUAUAUCGAAAAGAAGAUCAAAACAGAAGAAAGGAAAAUAAAAAGUAAAAAAACAAUAUUACUUCUGCGAUGAAGAGCCGUUUCAAAUCACACUUACAGAGCAUAAAUUAACAUGCAUUAACAUAGAGAAAUUAGCAGCUGAAAGGGGAAAAAGAAAAAUCAUCUUUAUCGCAAUAUAAAUCUCGGGUCAAGGGCCAUCGACCCGGCAGUGCUUCGUUGGUCCAUUUAUUUUGGAUCCUUGUGCGAUAUUUCACUUCAUUCGCAGAAAACCCGUUUUCGAAAAUGCGAAGAAGAAGCUUUGAAAGAAAGCUUAAGAUACUCACCUUACAGCGUAAUCCAAGGGCUUUGAGCCAGUAUCAGUGAAGCGAAAAAAGACACCAAAUGUUAGCUCUAUUUACUGGAUUGUAGGGUUUCUCCCGCGAGAAUAGCUCAGUGAAUCGCCCAUUCGUUUACCCUGGCAUAUCUUUUUUGAGAAAAAAAAAAAAAUUGUUUACCCUGGUAUUAAAAUGUUUUAACGGUCAGCACUCAGCAGGACGGCUUUAGAGUUUUUGGGUGCUGACCGCUUUAGAGUUUUGGGGACCUUAUUGGGUUUUAUGAGAUGUUUUUUAUUCUUCAACUUUAAUACCUAAAAGAAAACUAAAAUUUGUCAAAGUCUGUUUAAUAUUUAGUUAUUAAAUUUUAACAUAAUUAAGAAAAUCUUUAAAAAAUUUUAAAAACAAAACCUAAAAAACUGUGAAGAAGAUAUUAUUUUACGUCUAUUAUAAUUAUUAUAAAAAUAAAUAAAUAAGAAAAAUAUUAUUUUAAAAUAUAAUAUCUAGAGUUGUAACACAUAAAAAGUUAAAGAAGAUGAAUUGAUGAUCAGAUAAUGGAUAUGUACAUUAUAUUUCAAGAGACUAAUUUUUUUUAAAAUGACCUAAUUAAUGUAAUAAUUUUCUUUGUAUUGAUUUUUGAGAUUACAAGAUUUUUAAUUGAAAAUAAAAAGGAAUACUAAAAGUCUAAGAUUCUAAUGUUAAAUAAUUAAGAUUUCUUAGAAAAUUGAAAAUUUAAAGAAUUUAUAUUUUUUCCUUGGAAAAACUAAUAGUGAAUGAAUAAAAGAUUAGACAGUAUUAUUAAUUAUAUUUAUGUAACACUAAGAUUAACAAAUAUGGAUAGGCUUUUUCACAAUACAUAAUUUAAAAAAAAAAUUCAUUAAUUAGAGAAUUAUUAAGGCCUUUUUAAAAUAUAGAGUCUUAGGCGAUUGUCUUAUUUGCUUAUACUUAAAGCCACCAAACUUGGUUGAUGGACUUGUUUGAUACAUUUGAAAAAAAAAAAGAAAAGAAACUUCUAGUUUAUUUGAUAAAGUAUCAAAUAUCGAUGACAAAAUUAUAUGUUCACGGUGAUCUAAGUAGUAGUUCAAAAUAGCAAAAUCCAAAUCCGGAUUCGGAUGUAAGUGCGUCCAAUCUGGAUCCAAAUUUAUAUUUUAAAAUCCACAUCCGCAUCUAGAUCCACAAAAAAACAUGCAAAUCUAGAUGUGGAUAAUAGUCUUGUAGAUUAUGGAUGGAUUUUCAAGAUAUCUAGAUCUGCAUUAUGUAUUCAAAUAUAAUUUAAAAUUCAACAAAUUUAUCUACGAAAAUCAAAUAAAAUCGAAUCAUAUUUCAACAAUCAAUAAUUCAACUCCUAUAAUAACAUACAAUACCACCAUAAUUCCACAAAUAAAAAUACCGCAAGAUAAAUCAAAUAUAAAAAAUGAUAUAAAUCCAAGCUUAGCACCACCACAAAUAAAUAAAAACAACACAAAUCCACAUAGAUUACAUUUUAAACCAUCGCAAAUAAAAACAUCACCAUAAAUCCACAUAGGUCUGAUUUUCUUCAUUUAACUUAUAAAAUUUUUUAAUUUAAUUUUAAUUUAAUAUUUAAUUAAAAAAUAAUACAAAUCUUGACAUCUGAUUUUUCGAAUGCAAGUGAUCUGAAUCCGCAUGGAUUUUGAAUUUUAACAUGUAGAUCCGCAUUUUUUAUUGUACCGAUCCAAAUUUUUCCAAAUUUGAAUUUUGCAAAUCUUUGCAGAUCUAGACUGAACCCAAAUCCUUUUGCCAUCUGCAAUAGUGAAGGCAUAAAGAUUUGUGGCAAAGACAGCCAAUCGGCACAUCAAUCAGUUUCCUCAUCAACCAUUUCACUGUCUGUCUUAUUGUCCUGUCCUUUAAUGUUGAUGCCGUUUUUGCUCUUAUUCUGUUCUUCAAAUUUUCUUCUUUCACUUCCAUAACUAAAGGGAGAAAAUUUUUAGGAAAAAAAAAACAAGACCGAGAGCCAGACAUGGAGCUCACGGCAGCCGUGCCGUCCGUGGCUAACCUUGGAUCUCGUGCUAGUAUUGUUCACAACCACGUGUGUACCUCAGACUCGCAGCUCUGAGUGGAUCAGUGCAACAUAAUACUAACGUAAUUGGCUGUCAAGAUUUGUAAACACCGAGACAGUUAUGAGGUAUCUCUUCAUACUUCAUGCAGUGACCUUGUAGUAAUCUCAAAAAGUGAUAUAAGAAACCAAAUUCGGCCAGCACAUAAGGACAGCUGAGUGGAUCAGUACAACAUAAUACUUCUAACAGAUGCAAAAUUUAUCACAUUAACAUUAUUAGAUUGAUGUGAAAUAGAAUAAUAUAAAAUAAACAAAGCAGACUAAUUCCACAUUAAUCAAUCCCAGUGAUCUAGAGUUGUCAGUUGUGUGCCAUCUUCACGUCGACCAAUGUAGUAGAACCAAGCCAAGCAAAUUAGGAUGUCAGUGAGAAUAAGACCAACCACAUCAAAAACAAACUUUGGAGCAAAUAAGCCCCAUACCUGCAAGAAAAGGAUGAUGAAUGGUUGUCAAAAAGUCACCAAAAUUAUGAAGUUCGAAAAUCUACGUGACCAUGAAAGAAAUUCAUUACCAUUAGAUGCCGUCUUUGUAUGAUGACACAAAUGAUGGUGGCUAUGACUGAGGCGGCAGUAAUAAGUCCAUACAUCAAAUACAUCUAAACCAUCAUUUGUAAAAAGAAUGGAAAAAAAGAAAAAAAAAACUCAAUAAGCCUUGCUGCCAAUUAGACAAGUCAAGCACAGGAUAAUCCAACAUAGAUGGCCAUAAUACCAAAGAAGAGCAAAAAAUGAUACAUUUAUGACACAACAUUCGGCUGAUAACCUUACUUGAGACAACUGCAAGUGAAGGAGUCUUCUAUCCUGGUCAGUACGACCCAGCAAUUUUUGGCGUGCAACUAGAAAUGGAAGUCCAAAGACUGGAAUGAUGUGAGAAAACCCAAAGGUAUCAAUUGUAAGAAGGAUUGCUUGUCUAACGAGGACGAACUCAUCAUACCUGAAAGUACGUGCCCUCCCAAAAUUAUUAUCUACAGAACCAUGGAAAUGAGCCCCAAAAUGGGAACAGCAAUAAUGAUGGUGAAAUCAUCAGAAAGAUAAAAUUUAACACAUCAUUCACAUUUGCUACUUUUCCAUUGAGAUUUAAUAUUGGGCCAGCUAGUUCACCUAUUUAUGAUGCAAAAGAUGCAAAUAUCCAAGACUCACCCAAUAAACGCAGCACCAUACCGGAGUCCAUCGAAAGCACACCUGAAGAGAAAGUUGUUACAGGUUAUGGAUCAUACAAACACAUAGAUGACUUGAGCUUUCCUGAACCAAUUACGAUAUUAUAAGAUCUCCUUGUACUAGAAUAAUAAAGCUAUUGAGAAAUAGGAUAAACCGGUUAUAUAAGUUUGUUGGAGCUAAGUUCUGAAACCAAACAAAGAGUAGAAGAGAUAAAUCCAUUAGUAUUAAUAGACCUAAAAUAACAAGCAUUUACUAGUGUCCGGUGACGAAGAAGAGACAAUUACAAUAUAAUAAGAUCUCCUUGUACUAGAAUAAUAAAGCUAUUGAGAAAUAGGAUAAACCGGUUAUCUAAGUUGGUUGGAGCUAAGUUCUGAAACCAAACAGAGUAGAAGAGAUAAAUCCAUUAUUAAUAGACUUAAAAUAACAAGCAUUUACCAGUGUCCGGUGACGAAGAAGAGACAAGUGGCUAACAGACUCCAUUGUGUCACAGAAAGAGGGUCAAAAGUUAGGAUUCCAGCCACUUUAUCAGUAGAACCCCGUUCUAUGUUUCCCAAUCUCAUAAUACAAUAACCUGUCGAGGGAAACAUGAUCAAAUCCUUUUGGAAAAAGUGCAAAACAGUGAUGCUCGUGAAAUCUAUAAAGGAAAAUGAACAUUCUUUAACCUGAUUAAGAAAACAUAAAAUCGAAGGCAAGAGCUAAAGGAGCACAGAAGAGUGGAAGACAAUGUCUCGUAAAGAUGUGAUAAAUAUCAAGUUAAAAGCACCAAUACAUAGAGAUAGCAAAAGUCACCUCCAGUUAUGGUUACUAAAGCAACCAAGGGCCCUUGCUUUCCGGAUAGAACAAUGAUUGUAGAACUGCAGGAAGAUAACAUGGCCAGUGUCUUAAUAAGCAAAUGCAUUUUGCUUUCUAGAUCUCUGUCCUUAUGAAAAAGAGGACUAAAUGCCAGCAAUAAAAGUUGUCCAAGUCCAAUAGCAUAUAUUAUCCUUGGGAUACAAUUUCUUCCAAUCCCUUGAAGCAUCAGCAUUGAACUCAAUACAUCACUUUCUGAUGCCCAAUGUACAGCUAUGAGGAUAUAACAUAAUAUAGUACCCAAUACAACAUACUUCCAGAUGCUGCGACAAGAACUCCUAGCCAUUAUAAUAUACAGCAAGUAAGCCAAAAAAAUGAGAGCUAAAAUUGGUAUAAUUUCAGCCAUGUAUGUCCACACAGGAUGGCCUGGGUCAAUUUCAACCAGCCAUGAAGAAUGGGUACUCAUAAAUAGAGAAGUCGCAGCCUGCUUUGACAACCCAACUUCAAUGGUAAAUCGUAGAAUGGUAAUCAACAAAAGAAAGAUGAUAGCCUGCAAAUAUAUAACUCAACAUCACAAUAACUUUCAAUGGAUUAUCUCAUUAAACCCCAAAAUCAAUACAUAUAUCAAGAAAUUAAAACUAAGUUUGUUUGUAACUUAUUAAAAGCAAGUACAAAGCUUACUGAUACCUACUUCCAUUAGCAUUUUCUCUCUCUUGACUGAAUUACGUAAUUUGAACAUGGCAGUUGUGGCUAACAGAAAACUUGCCACUUUCCCUUCUUCCACUGAACUCAAAGUUUAAAAUAAUACAUAUUAAAGGAAAAAGAAUCAGUCGUCAGAAUAGAAGGUGCAAUCAUGGAACCAGAAGUCAGACAACUUACAAAUAUAACUAUUUGACAGGAAGCUGCAUGCACGGAUCACCACCAUAAACAAAGCAAAAACUAACUUCACAAAUAUCUCAGAAUCUCCAAACAAAAGAGAAAAGCCGUUUACACUUUUAGUCAUCAUAGCAAGGAAAUAGAUUGGUAAUGAGAUCAAAAUAAUCGCAAAACCAAUUCCCAUCAUCUUCAAGUCAAACUCAGUCCAUUUUGAUCGUGCCAGCUCAGCAACAUUCAGUAGGAAUUUAAAAUAAGCAUCAAUUUUCCUUUUAAGAGGUAAGGAUGAAUAACAGCUCUCAUCUUUAAAUGACAACAAAUUCUCAGAGCUACAAGACCAAUUCUCCUCUGCUUGAGCAUACAUAUCUGAUAUGUGUAACAAGUCUUCAGAGGAAAAACCAAUGACAGAUGAAGCUGAAUAGACAUCAAUGUAUCUUUUCACCUACAUUAGCAAUGCAUAACUGGUGAGAAAGAAGAAAAGAACCAAAAAAUAAAUCAAAUCAAAAGCUGCUGUCUGCUAAUAAUACAAAACCUCAAGGACGCCUAAAAUCACCUGCCAAGAAUUGAUGCAGAGUACAUUGCAAUAGUUCUGCAUCCAUUCUUCCUCUUUUUGAUUUGGGCAAUUUCCCUCGAUGUUGUUCUCCAGAUUCCAUGUACCAGCACCCAAAGCAUAUAGCUCAGGGCUGACACGCCCAAUACUGAAAAGAAGAUAACCUUAAAAGAAUAUCAUUUCUGAUAUAAAAAAUAAAAAAUAAAAUUAAGAACGAACAUGAAAGCAAAUUAAUGACACAUCGGGAUAGCAACAAGCUAAAUAACUACUAUGUUUAUGUUUUCUCUCUUACCAGAGGAAAAAUCAACACAUAUCUUAAGAAAAUGGAAGUUAAAAUAAAAAAUCUACGUUUUAUUAUUAUAUUUUGAUACCCAGGAAUCCCUCAACAUUUGUAUGUUCACUGAGUUUAAGUUGGGCAUUACUGCUAGAAAUACCUACAUAAAGGGUAGGUGCUAUUGUUCAUAAGCUCACUCAAGAUAACGAAAUUAUAUUGAACUUCAUGAUGAAAAACAGAUCAAGUGCACUCUGUGGGCAUGUUGUUGACAGAAAUCUUAGGGCUACAAGCAACAGUUUUGUACCAACAUCACUAGCCUGGCCAAAACAAAUUAUGGCGGACUUUAAAGGAAAAUUAAGUCAAGAUGUCAGGUCGUUAUAAAUUUUUGUAGUAGUUAAUAAAAAAUAAUGACUACAAUAACAGUAAUGGGAUGCUUACACGGCACCUUCCAAAAGGAAAGGGGACGCCAAGCAAGGCUGACACUGUUGCUGCAAAAUCAAGCUGUAGCAGAUUUUACUCAAUACAUCGUUUUAAGAAGGGAAAAAAAAAAAAACAAUUCCAAUUAGGUGACGAGAGAAACCCAAAUGAGCCACCCCAGGAAAUAUAAAAUAAAAUAAAACAACUAUUCUAACCUGUUGGAAGGAGCUGAUGCAUGUCUUUUUCUGAUCCUGAAAUUGGAUGAUGAAAAAUGAAAUUGAUGUAAACAAUUAGCAUCCUAAAGGGGUCUCUAAGACAAAAAUGAUGCUAGCAAAUAUGUAGUCAUCAGAAAGCAGAGAGAAUACCAAAUCUAUUUCACAAGAUGAAGAAUCGAAUUCAGAUGGCAUGGUGGAUGGAGGUUUUUUAAAACUCAUGGCAAAAACAGAUGUUUCAACCUGCAACAUGCAAGUCAAGUUAGCAUGACUGAGGAAUUAGAUAAUUAACUCAAUUUCCCAUUCUACAAACAAGAUUGACAUUACACCUCUUCGGCACUUCCUCCACCAUGAUCACCAUUAAUAGUUUGCCCAUGGUCACCCAUCACAAGAAGGAAAGUAUUCUCGUGCAAACCACCCGGUCCAGACUGGUUAUCCAGCACUUCAAUUACUUUCUGAACAAAAAUAAAAGUUGGUCCAAAAACAUAAACAGAAAAUGUAACAAGAGAUAUAAACUCAAAAUAAAUUCCUAUGCAACAAGAAAGGAAACAGAAAAGGUGAACGGAUAUGUCAUUUUAUGUGCCUAAAGAAAAUGUUUUCAAUAAAUCCCUUAUCAUGGAGAAACCAACAGAAAAUUAUUCAUUAAUAAUGAAAAAGACCAACCACUUCUUUAGGCAACAGGUGUUGCACCUCAAGAACCAUUGAUCAAUUUACCAACAAACAUAGACGAAAAUUUCCUGGAAGGAAAAUGCAAGUUCAAGACUAUUUUAAGUGUAACCAAAAAGAAAAUGUAUGUCGCCAACAAACUCACAUCUAAAAUUUCAUUGUACUGCUCCAACUUUUCUAUCAUUGGAACAGAAUCUACACCAAGAAUAUGUCCAGCAUGAUCCUGAACCAAGUAGAACAUAAAAAUUAGUUUAUCUAAAAGAGCCUGCAGAAUUACACAACGGUAAAUUGUGUGAAUGUAAAACCUUGGUAACUUGAUGCAUGUUGUCAAAAAUAUAGAAGAGGAAUAAACUCAUAAUUUGUUGAGAGAAAUAGACAAUUAGGAGAAUGAGAAAAAGGGCAGAAAAAAAAAAACAGUAUUUGACCAUAUUUGCUUCAAAUAAGAACAACCUAGAUCUAUACUAUUCUUUUGGAUACCAACUCCCCAAUUCCUUUUCAAUGCCUUUGAUAACGAUAAAUUCCUUAACCCAAUUCUUCAAUCCAAAAUUCUAUACAAUAAAAAAUUACUCUCAAUACAAUGGAGAAAAGGUUGCAAAAAAACUAAAUAAGAGCUAUUUAUUCAGGUCCUUGAAUCUUCAUCUGUAGAAAUGCUUCCCUGGAAUUUUACGGUGUAUAAUUUUUAUGGGCAUAGCUUGUGUCAAUAAGCUUCAAAAUGUUCCAGGUUUAUACCUAAAAGUGACCAAAUAUGUUUUACAGAGAAAGCGUGUUUACCACACCAAGAAAAUGAGCUAUAAGAACAUCCCAAUCUUCUUCGUACAAAGAUGGAAGUAGAUGCUCAAUGCAUCCGUUGUCUACAUGAAAUAGAAAUACCAUCAAAAUCUCCAUAAUGGAAAGAGAAGAUUAAAGUCGAAUGCACAUAAGAACAUUAAAUAGCCUACCGUAUGAAGAUCUUUAACAUUGAAAGACGGGUAGGGAUAAGAUUUUUUGAAAUGAUGAGGAAAUAACUGCACCCAUGUGUCAUCUCCCAUCAUCACUACUCGCUUUCCAUUUGAAGCCAACUGAAGGUGAGUCAUAGAUUAGAAUAAUUUAUACAAAAUAAGAAGUGCUCCAGGUUGCAUAAACAACAUGUAAUCAAAUAUUUUCAUAAGGAAUACCAAUAUACCAAAAAUAAAAAUAAGUAAAUACGACUUCCACGAAGAGAGAUCAGGAAACAGACCUGGUGUAUCAAGUUAUCUUCAAGAAUAGCUGGAGCACCAAAACUAUUUCCAACAUCAAUAAAAGUUGGCAGACCACCAGUUGUCAAACCCUAUAAAAAAAGGGGGGUAAAAAAAGAGAGACGAAGACAUAACUAAAGUCAAAGAAACUGUAUAUAUGAAACAUGUACAUCAUGCCUUGGGAACUGGAUUUUAAAGAACCUAAUAACUUAGCAGAGAAAGAGCAGAAAUGACCUUCAAUCUUUGCAAACUAGUAGUAGGUGGAUCAGCAAUUGCUUUGAAGAUAUGGGCAGAUGUUUUAGUAGAUGCCAGCUUCUGAAGCACUCGCAAUUUAUCCAUCCAAGGUUUUGAUUCUACAUAAUUUACUUGGGGUUUUAAGCUUGAGCAACAAAUAAAUCAAUUAAAACACUGAGUUGGGAAUAUGUAAAGGGGAAAAUCUGGGUUAUAAAAUUCCACAUAUUGAGAGACAGGGUUGUUUUUAAUGAGAACGGAAAAGUAGCGACAAAGGAGAGUAAAAGGAAUACUGACCUUUGAAGAAGGUACUGGGAGCAACGAAAUCAAAUCUGAAUAGCAAAGCAUGAAACAGGAACACAUAUCAGAUUGAACCAAUUUCAUAAGUAUUAGUUUUUAUUAGAGGUGUUCCGGAUCGGAAUGAGUACCUGAGGGCAUCAAGAACAAUAAUGACAAGACGAUCAACAGCAGGCCUUGUCCAACAGUGUGAAUUAGAUUGGUUUUGAUAGGGAUUUGAUUGACCAGUGAAGCAAGGGGAUUCAGAAACAUCAGAGCAAUUGCUGUAAUACGGGAGCUCAGUUCGAGUUAACAGAAACCCUCGUGUGAAUAUGAGUAUGCCUACUAUGUGUAACAUGGUCAGCAUCACCAUUAUCCUCCAUUUCCCUCUCCUCCACCAAUCCCCCACCUCCAUCAUUUAACUUUUUCUUAUCUUCUGUUAUACUCUACCAAGCGCGAAAUAAUCAUCUCAAAAAAUUCAGUGAGUGAACAUAGAAUGGGAGCUUCAGGGACAGAGAAAUCUGUCAAUUGAGCAAGGCAACUUAAGUUAAAUGUCACUGUCAAGCAAUUUGUAGUAUAUAUGCCUAGAAAGCUGGAUAUUGUCAAGAGUAUCCUGCAAUCUACAAACUUAACCAUUAAAUUCUCUUGAAGAAACAACAAAAGUUGACAAGUUCCUUGCUUUCUUUAUUUAUUUUGCCGCCAUGCCGAGACUGAGACUAAACCCAGAAACAUAAACAACAAAUUAAAUAAAAAUCAGACAAACAAUUAAACGGAAAUAAAGGCAAACUCAAAUUAAAUUCAAAAACACAGGAUAAACUGUCUCUAUCUUUCUCAAAUCCUCUAACUUUUGAUUCUCUCUGAUUCACUCUCCAUGUGAUCACAUCAAAAUCAAAAGCUAUAUUAAAUUCAAGAUCAAAACAGUAAAACAGCUGGAAGCAGUACGUUGUACAAAAAUCCAAACACCUCAAUUCUGAAUCAUUUAGCAAUCCUGGGAGAAUAGACCAAACACAAUAGUAUAAGACUACAGUAGACUAAGCAUUUAGAGUGUUUUAUUAUAUUGCCAUUUUUUUAAGGGAAGCCGAAAUAUAAAAAUAGCAUUUUAACAAAAUGAAUACAUUAGUUUAGUGUUGCUAAACUAAAAUAAACAGUCUACUGUCCUGGAUAAAUACAGAUUCAAGCACAAAUCAUAAAUCACAUUGACACGAAGCCUGAGAGGUUGUAAUAGCAUACAUUAUGGACAAACACAAUGCCAAGAAACCAACAAUUUUAUAUUGAGAAACAAGACGCUGUGUUUGCAUGAAAUAAAUCGGCGCGGCUACCUUGAUCAAAAUUCGGCAACUGAAGAAAUUAUUAAUUAAGACUACGAAACUUGAAAAAUGAGAAAUGAAAAUACCAUGAGAUGAUGAGAUAAACCGCCGGCGGCGUGGCUGGCAGUCCUUGCGGCAGUCGUCGCUAGUCAGAGAGUCCGGGAUGGGUGGCUGUUUGAAGUCUGAAGUGGGAUCACCGUUUCGGUCUUCGACAAAGAGAUGAGAGAGGCUGACAAGCGGCACGGCAGCCAGCUGUCGUCCGCCUCCGGCCGUGGCGGGUGGCGGGUGGAGUGUUAUCGGCGGCGGAUGGGGUUAUGUCUGAGAGAGUGAGAGACGAGAGUGAUGGUUUGUUUGUCUAAACUAUUUAGAACUUCAGGGCUUCUGCGUUUUGAAUCAAAACUCUUGAUUGAAUUUUUGUUUUUCCCUUAAAAUGAAAUUAUUAGUCGCCCAGAGAUUAGAUUAUCAGUUAAUCAUCGAUUACAAAAACAAAAAAAAAUUAAAAACUUUUAUUUUGCAUUCGUCCACUUUUGUGUGUCAUUUCUAUUAUAUAUUUAUUUUUUAUUUAAUAUCUAUGAAGAGGUCAUUGGGCCCUCGGCCAGGUAGUUGGAGUUGUGAGGACAGCGGUUUAAACUUCCACAAAAGUACAGUGAGGGUUAAAUAUUUAUAAGUUAUUUUUAUUUGUAAAAUAUGAGUGAAGAAAAAAUAUUCUUCGUAUGUGAUGGUUAUUUAUUUGUUGGGCAUGUACUUUAUAGAAUUUAAUAUAAUAAUAUAAGUUUUAGUUAUAUAUAUCUGAUUGUGUGUAAUAUCUAUUAUAUAGCCGUUGUAAAUAUUUGUGCAAUAUAGUAAUUUGGUGCGUAACCAAUAUUCAAAAAAAAAAAAUCUACGAAGAGUAGUAAUUUUUCAUCUGAUAAAUAUAAAUUGAAUUAAUUUUUCCUUCCUGAUUAAAUAUGAUCCUUUUUUUUUCUUUCUUUAAUUUUUGUGCUUUAAAUUACAGGUACGAGUGCUUAAAAACAAAGUGCACAAUUAUUUCACUCACAACAUAUAUUGAGUAUUUUUAUUUUCUAUGAAUAAAUGUAUCUUUUAGUGAACAUAAAAUAAAAGCCAUAGUAAAACUCAUGCCAUGCUCAAAGAUAAUAUCUUAUUGUUAAUAAUAAGAAGAGGCAAAUUUAAGUUAUUUUUAAAUAAUGAAAUUAUACUCACUGAAGUAAAAAUGAAAAUAAAGGUUUCGAAUGUACAGGAUGCGUUUGGCGCGCGCGGGUCAAUCAAGAUGUGUUCUGCGCAAAUGGUUCGGACAAAGGCGGCCGAAUUUGACCACUCCUGAAGCCAAGAAAAGACCCGCCCUCGUCGUGGGUCUAAGCGAGUCUGUAAUUUUCUUUUUUGAAAACAAAUUUUAAUUUAUUUAUUUAACGUAGUUUAAUUAUUUGAAAUUAUUUUAUUUAAUAUUUAAUAUAUAAUUACCUCCCAACGACCAGCAUCACCGCCUGGCGCCUGCCAUUGUAUUUUGCAGCCAUCUGCCAAUCUUAGAAAUCAAUUGCUUAGUAUCAUUGCUUAGAGAUUGAGAAAAAAUAAAAUAAAAAAUCAGACACUAGAUAUGACUUAAACAAAAUACUGUAUUUAUAAGCUUCGAUGGUUGUUUCGUUUUAAAAUAAGAGUAAUGAUAUUUAGCCACAUCAGCAUAUAAGAAAGCUAAGCUAGAAACGUCAGGUUUCUUGUGCCAUUUUGAAUUUUUAGAUUUGAAAAUUAAAAAUGGUCUUUAUCAUUAAAAAAUGGUCUUGGCCAUUUCCAUCGCCGACCAGCCUUACAACUCUCCUCUACAGUAUACUUGAUGAUUUUGGACUUUUUUUUCAUCUGCUCAGAUAAUUAAAUUUAGUAUGUUGAGGAAAGUUUUGAUUUUUACUGGGUCGGGAUAGAGGUAAGUGGAUUUGAUAUUGUUGGUGUUCAGUCUUUUGCAAUUUUUUUUUUUUACUACUGGUGUUUUGAUUUUUUUGGUAUGUAUAUUUAAAAAUGAGAAAUUAUCACCGGUAUACACUAAAAUAUCACCGGUAUCCCCUAAAAUGUCACCGGUAUCAAACGUACUACAACACUUUUCACUUGUAUCACUCGUAUACCCUAAAUUGACAAAAGAAUUCUGGCGUCCACCUUUCCGUUUACUACCGUUAAGACAUGCUGACGUCAUAGGGGUAAUAUAGUCUUUUAAUAAAGAAGAGGCUGCAAAGAAAGACGGCGUCGUUUUAAUACCCCGAAAACGCUGCCGUUUCACUGUAACAAAAAAGACAAAACAACGUCGUUUUUUAUUUUGGUUAAAAAAAAAAGUUACAGAGAAACGACAUCGUUUCACUGUAACUCAAAGACAAACAAACAGAAGUGGUCCAUCCUCCCCAUUCUUUAUUCACAUCGAGAGAAGUUUGCAUGCAUAUGAACAACCGGUGCAAGACUGUAUGCAUGGCAGCCAUUUUUUUACUAAAAACCCUCAAUAUUUGACCAUCAAACAAGUUUAAGUGAUAGCUGUGGAGAUUGAUUUGGAACUUGACAGAAGAGUAAGUUGAUUUCAAUCGAAUCCAGCGAGCGAAGCAUCGAGUUGUUAGGUAUGUUCAUAUAUAUAUAUAUAUAUUCAUGCAAUAUAUCUCUUAUCUCUUAUUUAGUCAAUAGAUGUAAGAAAUAAUUUGAAAUUAUCCGAAUUUAUGAGAAUUUAAUUUUUGUUACAAACCCUAGAAUGUUAACAACGAAGAAAUAAGCAGUGGUUAUUUUUUGGGUUAUUUAUAUUCUUAUGUGAUCAAUGUUUUAGGUUUAUAGAAGUGCAUUUAGAUGGUAAAUGAUAUCGGUUCUGGUUUUUGCAUAUUGAGGGUCUAUUGGCUAUUACAUGUAUUUCGUUAAAACUAAUUGGGGCUUUUUUCAACUUGCAUAUUAAGGGUUUGGUUUUUUGCAUAUUGUAUGAUAUUUAUUUCCUACGCUGUGUGUGUAAAGCUUAAAGAAUCCAUAUUUAAGCACAUUCCGUUAUUUUUGGGAUACAGUAGACAUGUUAACAAUGGAGCUAGUGAUUUCUUUCAAAGGAGAAAAACAUCAUGUCGGUAUGAUUAACCCUAAAGAUUGGACUGUUGAUAGAAUAAAGGCUGAGGCAUUGAAGAUAACUACUGUACAUGAGUUAGAUACAGUUGGUAAAAUCUUAUUGACUGUUAUGAACCCAAAUAGUAAAGUCAAGGUUGUUUUAGAUUCUGAAUAUGGGAUGAAAUGUUUAUUUGGGUUUCAUAAUUUGAUGGGUGUUACUACAUUUGAAGUUGAAGUCGUGCCUGUUUUAUGCCCUCAAAAUCCAGAUGCUCCGUUAAUACAAUCAUUGCUGUUUAACUUAGAAGUACACAUGUCUUCAGAAGUUAUAGAUAUCUUGAAUGAUGGAGGUACACCAGAAGUUAGGCAUACAGAUCAAGAAGGGGGGAGUAACAGAGAUGAAUUCAAUGAUAUGCAAAGGGGUUAUGGACACGAAGCUACUGCAACUAUUCAUGAGGGUGAAAUUGAUGAAGACAAACUAUUAUCAGAUUGGUCAGACAAAAGAAGUGACAGUGAUGGUGAGGAACUUGUUGUGCAACCAAUACCUACUAUGCCUGUUGAUGAUAUUGUGUCUAUUGAUGACAUUGACGAUAGUGAGGGCAGUGAGGACAGCCAAUGCGAGAGUGAUAGCGAUGGAGGUGGAGAUGGUUUACUAGAUGAUGACACUAGGGCAGUCAAAAUGGUUGUGAACUCUUCUGAUGAUGACAUCAAUCUUGGCAGUGUGAAGUUUACAAAAUAUUUAGAGAAAUAUGAGUAUAAAUUAGAUGCUGAUGGGAUACAUAGGCUGAGAUUAGGUGAUGUGUUUAGGGAUGUGAAUCACUUUAGACAAGUGUUACAUGAGGUUAUGAUUAGGAAAGGGUUUAAAAUUAGCAUAAAAUAUAGUGAACCGCAGAGAUAUUUUGCAACUUGUAAGGAGGCUGGCUGUCCAUGGUUUGUUAAAGGUGCAAGACUGAAUGAUAGGAAUGGUUUUUGGCUGCGGGGAUAUCAGAAGAAGCAUGAGUGCAAGCUUACCAAGAAAUCUGUGAAAGUUACUUCAACAUGGGUUGCUGAAAUGAUAAAGGGACAUGUUGCUAUUGAUGCAAAUGUCAAGAUAUCUCUUCUCAAGAAUUAUAUGCAAGAAAAAUUCAGGUUGAAGAUUGAGAAGCUCACAAUGUAUAGGGCUAGAGAAAAAGCAAGGAUUCUAGUAUAUGGUGACCAUUCGAAGGGCUAUGAGAAGCUGUUUCAGUACGCUGCAACUAUUCAUCGGGCUGAGCCAGGAGCCAUUUGUAAAGUGUUAUGUGAUGCAGUCACUGUUCCUGAGAAAUGUCUAUUUCAAAGAUUUUUUGUUGCAUUUCCAGCACAAAAAAAUGCUUUUCUGAAUGGCUGCAGACCGUUCAUUGGAAUCGAUGGGUGUCACCUAAAGGGAAAAUAUGGUAGAGUUUUGUUGGCUGCUGUUGCUUCAGAUGCUAAUAAAUGGAUAGUUCCAUUGGCAUUGUGUGUAUGCGAGAUUGAGAACACAGAAACAUGGACUUGGUUUCUUGAUCAUUUGCAUAGCUAUUUAGAUGAUGGAAGGCGGGUAACAUUUAUUAGUGAUAGGCAAAAGGGGCUGUUGAAUGCAAUUCCGAACACAUGGCCUACUCAUAGGGCAUAUUGUAGGCAUGUGUAUGCUAAUUUUGCGAAAGAACAUGCUGGUGCCAACUUGCAGACUCUUUUUUGGAAGGCAGCAAAAAGUAGUAAUAAGCAUGAUUAUGAGGAGGCAAUGGCACAUAUCAAAGAGGAAAAGUUAGCAGCAUAUAAUUGGUUAGAAAGAGAGCUGCAGGGAUACACUUGGUCUAUGCAUACAUACGACAGAAACUGCAAGGUAGAAAAGACUGAUAACAAUGCCUCUGAGUGCUUCAACAGUUGGAUUCUGCCUUAUAGAGACAGGCCUGCUUUGUCAAUGCUUGAGGAAAUUAGAUGCAGACUGAUGAAAAGAUUUACAAAGAGAAGAAAUGAGGGAAAUACUUGGCAAAAAACUAUUGCUCCUAGGAUUUACAAAGAGUUGGAUCAAACUUUCAAGAAAGGAGAAAAAAUGAUUGUGCAACCCUCGAGAGACUUGAAUUUUCAAGUCAUGGAUAAAUCUUAUUAUCCAGCUAGGAGGUUUAUAGUGAAAUUGGAGGACAAGACGUGCGAUUGUGGUUAUUGGGAAAUUGCCGGCUUACCUUGCUGUCAUGCUAUGGCUGCCAUAGGCUAUGCAAGGCAUGAAAUUGAAGAGUAUAUUCCAUUUUGCUUUACCAAGCAAGCCUACAUUAAUACAUAUUCAGUUAUGUUUAGUCCAAUUCCUGAUGAGCGGACAUGGGAGCGUGGCGAUAGGCCCUUAAUUGAUCCCCCAAUUGUGUGGAAAAAGAUGGGGAGGCCAAAGAAAUGUAGGAAGAGAGCAGCCACUAAACCUAAAAAACGCAGCAUGAGAUUCUUUGUCAAUUGCUCGGUUUGUGGUGGCUCGAACCACAAUGUAAGAUCUUGUCCAUUGAGACCAUUGGUUGCAAGGCCAAGCAAAGCUACAAGCACUAAUUCUCAGGUAUCUAUUUAGUCCAUUAGUUUUAUUCAUUUAUGUUUAUUGUUUAUAUUGUCAUCUAACACAGAAGUUGCGUUUUUUCAGCUGUCAAUUGGAAAUUCUUCAGGCCAGUCAGCAGAUCCUUUAAGCCAGCCAUCAAAGCCAACCAGAAUGAGAAAUACAGCGAGGAGAGACCAUGUACCAAGUGAUCGAAGUAAAAGCUCCAGUGCUGGAUCGAUGAAAAGAAAAAGUGCAAAUGCUGUUGGAGUUGCUGGAACAAGCAAAAAAAGAGGUUGAAUUUCGUUUCUUUUUGUUCAUAUUUCAUAAUUGCAUAUAAGGAGCUUAAUUUAUUUUCUUUUCUGUAAUAUAGGAAAGACUUCACAUGUCAACCUAUCCCAAGUCAGCCAAUCACAGAAUCCAUCACAAGCGUCCACUGUCACAGGUGCUUUGUAAUGAGUCCACUGUCACAGGUGCUUUGUAAUGAGUUUGAUGCUCAUUUUGCAAUGUUUUGUUGGAAACAAUCUAUCAACUUCAAUUUCCUUAACUGUUAUGCUAGUUAUGUGAUAUCAACUGAACUUAAUUAUGCUCUUGCAUGAGCUAAGCUAUCGAAUUGGUUUUUGGAAUAUGUAUUUGAAGGAGAUAUGUUGCUAUCUGCAUAUUUUGGAUAUGUUAUGAUUAGAUUAAUAUUUUAGUUGAUAAUUAUGACUGUUGAAUAUUUCUUGAAUACAAACUUUGUGUGUUACAUUACUUUCUCAUAAGGACAAUUACAAAGACACACACUAGCACAAUUAGGAUCCAUUUAAGCUUUCCUUCGAUGCUUUUUAGCCUUUUCUUUAUCUUAACCAAAUCAUCAUUCAGCUUCAAGUUUUGCCCUGGCAUUGCGCCAUUAGUAUUAGGAUAUAUGAGAGAUUCCACAGUGAACCAUUCCCAAAAUCCACAAUGCCUCGCUCCACAAUGCUUCCACCUACAUGACCAAAACAUUGCAUUAGGGUUUUGCAAUGUAGUUGACACCAGAGCCACUGCUUGCACGCCACACUUGCAGUAUUUUGGUUGGCAUUUUACUUUAUCAUAUCUGGUAUGUCCACUAUCAGCAGAACUCGAUGCUUCACUGGAGGCCAUUUUCAUAUGAAUUGCUUGGCAUGUGAUUGCUUGGCAUGUGAUGGAUCAAUGAUUUGUUAAUGUGCUUCUGGUUUUUAGUUGGAAAAGAGUAGCAAAUUGGUUAAAUUUAAAGAGAUUAUCAGGUGUGUGGUGGCUAAUUUCUUGUUGCAAAUUGGUUGAAUGUUGCAAACUAUUUUUUUUGUUGUGUUUUAGGUCAUUAUAUAGCCAAAAAUGUAACCGUUAUUGGCUCCCAACGAUUACAUUUUCAAUUGCUUCACUUUCAGGGCAAAAUUGUCUUUUUAAAUUAAAAGGGUAAAAUAGUCAUUUUGCUCAAAUUCCGUUAAGUUCUUAACAGUAGUAAACGGAAAGGUGGACGCUAGAAUUCUUUUGUCAAUUUAGGGUAUACGAGUGAUACAAGUGAAAAAUGUUGUAGUACGUUUGAUACCGGUGACAUUUUAGGGUAUACCGGUGAUAAUUUCCCUUUAAAAAUUACUAGAAAUUAGUUAUUUGAAAUGUAGAUUUUGUUUGUUUUUCUAUUUAUUAAAUCUAUAGGAUUUGAUGAAGUAUGUCUAUGUGGGGUUUUGAUUCUUUUAGGAUAUUAUUAGAUUUCACAGCUGAUUUUGAGUCCAAUUGACAUAUAUUGUUUCUGUGUUUAUAUAUAUAUAUUAUUUCGGCUGCUUAAUACUAGCGACUUUUGGAGGCCUGUAUGUAUGUUUAAUUGCUGGACAUAUCUAGGAAUUAUUAUUUGGUAGCUGAGAAAUGAAAUAGAAAAAUGAAAUAUUAAAGUUGUUUUUUCUUUUGAUAUAUAAUUUUAUCUGAGUUAACUAGAACGUUUUGUUUUUAGAUCUUUGUUAAACUUUUUAGUGGUUUUAAAGUCAUUUAAGCAAUUGGCCUUUGCUUCAACAAGAAAUCAAUGAACCAAAGCAAUGGCAACCGUGGCUUGAUUCUCCAAUCAUCAACAAUUGCCUUGUUGUUCAUGCUGCCACCAGCACAAUUCAACAAAACAAGCCCUCGAACAAGUGUUUGACUGGAUUUUUAUGGUAGAAAAUAUAGCAGGUUUUCGCAAACCAUAUUAACCGAAAAGGCUAAUCAGGUGCAAGUGUUUCUUUGCAAGCAUGAUGACGAAUAUCUGAUUCCCAAGAGGAAGUUAAAUUAAUAUACCUGAGGCAGCAAAAACACAAGGUAGGCUUCGAAUAGAAUUACGUACAAGCACUAUUGGCUUCUGAGCAGCUUCAUCCAAGAAAUCCAAUAUUAGUUGUAUCGGUGAGUCUCACUCAAGUUAGCAAGGAAAAUAACUAAAGGUCAAGCAAUUGAUGAUAUAAGUACAGGAGUUGUGAAAUAACUUUAAAGGAAAAUAAUUGCUUAUCCUUAACAUUUGUGGAUGCCUACAAUUAUAUGUUCACAGAAGUAAAUAGAAUAAAAAAAAUAGUACAUUAUCAAUAAGAAAAGUUCACUACAAGAUGAAAAUUAUUUUUUGUCAUUUGUGCCUUGUGUACUAAAUUUUGUGUUAUUUUAUUACAUAUAAUAUUAUUCUACGGAAUGCGGGAAGAAAAAAAGUGGGGUCGAUUUAUUGUAAGCCCCAAAUUCAACCGAAGAUCCAAGCGCAAGUUUCAAACUAAACCAACCCAAAGUUUGGGCAACAGUCCAACGCAACCCAACUAAAAUCAUUUUAAUUUGAUUUUAGUUUGGGUUGACUUAGGCUUUGAUAAAUUCACAUGUUGUAUACCAUAAUUAAAAUAAAGUAUCAUUUGUCAUACAUUUUGUUGAUGCGAGAUUCUGGUUCUCCUCGUUCUACGACCAGGCUCUCUGCUCGAUCAACUUCACCACGACCAGGAGGUCUCCUCGUAAGGCUUCUUCUCCAGAGCCUCCUGCGCACACAGACAAGUCAGAGUACGCCGGUUGUUUUCCUGGCGCAAACCCUCCGACGCUCAAGUCAGAUAUGAAGGUUCGGAGAACGCUUGCCACAGAUCUUAUGGCUUUUUCGUAGUUUUCUCUUCUUUAGAAUUUCUUUAGCUCUCUUCUAAUCUCAAAAUUGCUAACCCUUUUACCUUCGUUGGCUACCUUUUUAUAGGCUUCCUCUGAAUCCCAGUUUUCCGCAGUCUACGUCCGUUAUCUUCCCACCUCUCGAACGUGGAUUCCCCAUUUCCGUAGUCGUGGGUGGUUGCGUGGCCUUCGUGCCUAGAUUCUCGGGCUGGAGAGCAUGCCUCGCCAACUGUCGUUGACCGGGUCUCCUCGAAUCAACCCUCAGCGAGAAUACAGCAGGAAUGGCUUUAUGCCUCUUACAGGAAAUUGACCUCGCAGAUGACGUGCUCGUGGAUGAGCAGGAUAUUCCUGCCCCUGUUCCCCUGCUACCUGGCUCUUACAGGACAUACCUGCUCGCAGAAUUCUGCCACUAAACAUCUGCUCAUCACGUCUGGUCUCGUCGGAGUAUUUCCCUCAAACAUUGGUCCCCUAGUUUCUGGUGUUGGGUAAUGUAGUGCACCAGCAGUAGAAACUUGACAGUACUUGCUCGCGUGGGAUUGGAAAAGGCUGCCAAGAGUCAUAUCGCAUUUAAUUGCGGACGAGGUGAUGUGGCAGAAAUCUGCCCCUCUAUUCGAAUUUCAAACCAACGGUUACCAGGCCCUUAGGAUUUGGUGCCGUUAAAUGCUGGCAACCCAAGAGUCCGUCCCCAUUAGGAAACCUAAAUCCUUUCAAACAACAAAUUCAUCAUUCCCUCCGUCUCCGUCUCUGUCUCUCCAGCAAAGAAGCUCCGGUAUACAGGCCUCCAUCUCUGUCUUUCACCGACUGAUCCAUUACUUCAUGUAUUUCUUCUAUCUCCUUGGUCUUGGAUAGUUGUAGAUAAUUUCUCUUCUCUUUGCUUUGCUUGGGGUAGUAGUUGGCGGUGGCGUUUUGGUUAUUAUUUAGGGAAUGUCGAAGGGUAAGGAGAAAGUCGUCGAGAUUGAUGACGACGAAAUAGGUUUCUUGCCUAAUCUAGUCACUGAUCCUGCUUUUGACCCCGGGAUCCCCUUAGAACCCAUUAGGUCUAGUGUCGGGACUAGUGCUAGGAGAUUGUCCCCCUAAACAACCUCUACGAGCGGAAGUAAUGAUGAGGAGAGGUCUUCUGGCUCUGAAGGCACCUUGAGUGAGAAUGGGGAAGGUGAUUCUGGUGAGGUGUCUCCAUCUGGAACAUCACGACCAGAAGAACGGGGUACAGUAGGGGGUAGAGCCUUGUCGCGUGAUUAUGCCAUUGAUUACAUGUCGUGCACGACCACGUUUGACGAGCUCAAUGACCUCCGACUUAGGUAUAGUAUUCCUGGUGAGAUACCUCUUAAGAUCCCAGGAAAGAAGGAUACACCUAGCCGGCCUCCUAGGGGAUACGUUACCCUGUUUCUGGAGAGCUUUAAGUAUGGGCUGAGGUGUCCCUUGCAACCUUACUUUGCCCGAAUACUUAACGGGCUAAAUCUGGCUCCUGGUCAGCUGAACCCCAAUGGGUGGAGAGUGCUCUCUGGUCUGUUCAUAUUGUAGGACAGAUGUUGCCAAAGCGAGCCCACGGUUGAUGAGGUGAAGCACCUGUACCAGCUGAAGAGCAGCCCUAAAGAUGCCGGCUGGUACUACUUCCAAUCUAGUACCAAGAGCAGGAAACCCAUAACUGAUCUUCCAACUGGUGGUGGUGGGACUUGGAAGAGGAAAUUCUUUUUUGCUGGGGGUCCUUGGGGUCAAGUUGCACAAAUAGACGGGAAGGAUUGUCGCGUCCCACCCCGUUUCACGGUCCCAGGUUGCCUGCUCGCUUUAGAUGUCUUGUAUCCAUAAUUGUUCUUGCUGUAUUGGUUUGUCUCUAACCAAGUGUCUGUUUGUGCUGUAGUUUCUUGGGGUGUUCAUUUCCCGCUCAAGCCUGGUCAGCUUAAACGGGUCGAGGCUGUACUGGCCAAUUCCUGCCCAAGCCGAGAACUGCUAACUACGUACAACUUCCUCGAGUCUCACUUAAUACUUCCUGGCCAUAAGAUGGAGGACGCUGUGAUUGGGGCUCUAACCAGGAAACGUUCUCGUCCUCCAGCCACGAAGAGCGACCAGAGUAAGGACGCUCCUGCUGCAAAGCGGGCCAACAUCGUGCAGCAGGUCUCUCCCUUGAAGACUUUACCUCCUCCUCCUGCCAAAACCGGAGAAAUUAGUGGAGCAGCCACUGAUCCUGCUUCCUCUUCUCCUCCUGUUGGGCCUCGGUCUCGUCUACCUGCCAACCGAGCAGAGCACUUGGCCCCCUAUCUCAACGAGCUUUCCAAACUCGUGAGCAAGAAAGACCUCGAGGAUUUUGAUGGUUGUACCCUGGGCGAGCUGGUGGGAGCCAUGCAGUAUAGCGCUUUCCAUCUCAGCUGCAUGACCACCUACUAUAAGGCCAAGGUUGGCCGUUACGACAGGAAGAUGAAGGAGGACAUUCAAUCGGCGACGACCAGAGCUGACGUUGCCGAGAAGAAAGCGGGGGAGCUAAACGUUGAGAACCUCAAGCUGAUAGAGCAAGAAUCUCUUGCUCAAGCAAAAGCCAUUACCCUCGAGGAAGAGCUGACCAAGGUCAAGGAGGAUCUGCAAAGGCAGAGGGCUAUGUAUGAGGCUCAGCUCGAAUCUCUCCGCGAUUCCCACCGAGCUCAGGUCGAGAACUUGGAGAGGGAGGCCGACAACCAAUACGACCAGGGACUUCGGCAUUCCUAUCGUUGCAUUAUGGCCGUCCUCGGGAAGCAGCAUCCUGAUAUGAAGAUGGAUGAUCUUGCAGCUGGUGUUGCUCAACAUAUGGACGAGGAAGUAGCCAAGGAAGAUGCCGAAGGGAUAGAGCAGAUCGUGAUUGAGGAGGAAAGUUCUCCUCCUCGUUCAGUCCCUGCUGACGUUGGCGAGGUGAGCACCCCUGCUGUCGUUGCCGAGGCGAGCACCCCCCCGGACGCAACUGGUGAUACCCCCCCCGCACCUGAGGAGGUUCAGCCAUCCGAUGCUGCUCGGCCUACUGAUCCGCCAUCUUCUUGAACAUUUUUCUCGCGUUGUAAUGAACUACUUUGUUGGUUAUUAAUAGAUUAAUGAAAAACUGCUUUUGAUUACUUUCUUGAGUUGUAAUCAUGAAUUAUUUUUCCGUUUGAGAAUCUCCUCGUCCUUGUCUGGUCGAGCAGGAUCGGGCUUGGCAUAUGGCUUUGCCACCUGCCUUAGAAAAUUUUUCGAUGUUUGGGAUUCUGCUCGCCUCCGCGCGGUCGAGCAGAUCCCGCCAUGUUUGGCUUCUGUCUCGCCAUAAACUGGCUGUGAGACUUGACGAGCCUUUGCAUGCCUCAGAAAUUUUUUCGAAUGCUUUGGAGUCUGCUCGCCUUCACGUGGUUGAGCAGAUCCUGGCAUGCUUGGCUUCUGUCUCGCCAUAAAACAAGCUUUGAGACUUGACGAGCCUUUGCAUGCCUCAGAAAUUUUUUCGAAUGCUUUGGAGUCUGCUCGCCUUCACGUGGUCGAGCAGAUUCUGGCAUGCUUGGCUUCUGUCUCGCCAUAAAACAGGCUUUGAGACUUGACGAGCCUUUGCAUGCCUCAGAAAUUUUUUCGAAUGCUUUGGAGUCUGCUCGCCUUCACGUGGUCGAGCAGAUCCUGGCAUGCUUGGCUUCUGUCUGGCCAUAAAACAGGCUUUGAGACUUGACGAGCCUUUGCACGCCUUAGCAAUUUUUUCGAAUGCUUUGGAGUCUGCUCGCCUUCACGUGGUCGAGCAGAUCCUGGCAUGCUUGGCUUCUGUCUCGCCAUAAAACAGGCUUUGAGACUUGACGAGCCUUUGCAUGCCUCAGAAAUUUUUUCGAAGCUUGGGAUUCUGCAAGCCUUCUCGUGGCCGAGCAGAUCCUGGCAUGCUUGGCUUCUGUCUCGCCAUAAACAGGCUUUGAGACUUGACGAGCCUUUGCAUGCCUUAGAUGAUUUCUUCAAAGCUUGGGAUUCUGCUAGCCUUCUCGUGGCCGAGCAGAUCCUGGCAUGCUUGACUUUUGUCUCGCCAUAAACAGGCUUUGAGACUUGACGAGCCUUUGCAUGCCUUAGAUGAUUUCUUCAAAGCUUGGGAUUCUGCAAGCCUUCUCGUGGCCGAGCAGAUCCUGGCAUGCUUGACUUUUGUCUCGCCAUAAACAGGCUUUGAGACUUGACGAGCCUUUGCAUGCCUUUGAUUCUUCAAGGAUUGGGAUUCUGCUCGCCUUCUCGUGGUCGAGCAGAUCCUGGCACGCUUGGCUUCUGUCUCGCCAUAAAACAGGCUUUGAGACUUUGAUGAGCCUUUGCAUGCCUUUGAUUCUUCAAGGAUUGGGAUUCUGCUCGCCUUCUCGUGGUCGAGCAGAUCCUGGCACGCUUGGCUUCUGUCUCGGUAUAAAACAGGCUUUGAGACUUUGAUGAGCCUUUGCAUGCCUUUGAUUCUUCCAGGAUUGGGAUUCUGCUCGCCUUCUCGUGGUCGAGCAGAUCCUGGCACGCUUGGCUUCUGUCUCGCCAUAAAACAGGCUUUGAGACUUUGGUGAGCCUUUGCAUGCCUUAGGAAAUUUUCACAGUUUCAAGCGAAUGAAAUUCCUCAUUGAUUCAUUUAUUACUGAGAUCGGCUUACAUGAGGUUGCUUUGAAAUAAGAAAUCAAAAAUAGAAAACGGACCCGAACAGAAAAAAAUUUUAAAACAUGAAUGAGUCUUACUAGAAAUAUUUCCUGAGGUGUGCCGCGCUCUAGGGGCGUUUCACCUCGUGGCCCUCCGUGCGAACCAACUUGUAGACUCCGGGUCCGACUAACUGCCAUUCCCGGCUUCCACUCGGGUACCAAGGUAUGUUAUCUGCAUUGCUUCCCUUGCUGCCGAGGAGUAACAGCUUCGUGCGAUUCUCUGGUCUCCUCGUACCACUCCAACAACCCCAUUCACCCGGUACUUGAGAGCCAGAUAAUGGUUGGACAGCACCGCUUUGCUCAUCCUCAGAAAUGGCCGGCCUAGGAUCAUCUGAUAAGGACCUUCCUCAUCCACUACCACAAAGUCCAGUAUCAUUGUCCUUUCUGUCGGGGAGCUCCCAAUCGUGAUAGGCAGCUCGACCACGCCCAGAGGGACCAGCUUUCCUCCUCCAAACCCCUUCAAGGAGGUAUUGGUGUAUUCCAACUUCCGGUCUGCUAUUCCCAUCUCCUCCAAGGUUGACUUAAAUAACACAUCAACUGAACUCCCUGUAUCAACCAGUAUCCGGUCACACUUCUUGCUAGCGACAGUAGCCUUGAUGACUAAAGCAUCCUCGUGGGGGUAUAGAAUUCCUUCCUCAUCUUCAUCCGUCCACAUGAUUGGCACUUGCCUGACCCUUGCUCGUUUGGCUGCUGGGGUGUUGAAGAAUACCUCUUUACUAGUCAUGGCGUAUCUAGCAUAGUUCUUCCUAGAUCUGUUGGAAUCUCCAGCCAAUGUCGGGCCCCCAGCAAUCACCCUUACUGUAGGCUGCUCGUGCCUCAAAUUUCUGCCACUCUGCUCCCCUUCACAUGUCGAGGCCACCAUCGGGAAAGUCCCAUCUACAAACUCGUCCAGGUACCGAUUUCUCACCAAAUUUUCAACCUGGGUCUUGAGAUCUUUGCAUUCUGCGGUGGUAUGGCCAUGAGUGCCAUGGAACUUACAAUGGCGUCCCCUAUCCCUCCUGCCCGGUAGCUUUGUUAUUGGGGCAGGGAGGUACAGCAAUCCUCGGUCCUUUAUGGCCUCGUAUACUUCGUCCAGGGACAUCUUCAAGGAGGUGUAUCGCCCAUACUUCUGGUUCUGGUCAAUCAGGUGCACAGCCCUUUCUCUAUUUGAUCCGUUCUGAGUUGGAGGCGAUGGCAGCAUUUCUGGUCUGCUCCCUCUACUACUGUGGGAGUGUUGAUGAAGACUACCAUAUGCCGAAUCAUGCCUUCUCCAAGGCUCCUUAGCUGGGGAACGAGGAGGGUGCGCCCUGUUGCGCUGAUACUGUGGUGGCCUCUGAUGAGGCUGGUGAGCUGUUAUCCGACCUCCUGUUCCACUACCUGAGGCCUGGAGGUCCCUCCUCCUGAUCGGCCCAUUUCUCGGUAAUGCCCUCUUCUCUUUCUUUUCCAGCCCCUCCAGCUGGUCUGUCUUAAUCCGAGCUGCCUUUUCUUCCUCGAUCUCUAUGUCUCUUUUAGCCUGCUCGUAUGCGGCUGCAUACGUCUGAAUAGCUGGGCUUCUCAAGUUGUACCACAACCUUUCUAUCUUCACUCCCUCUUUCAAUCCCCUUAGUGCCUGAGGAUGGUCGAAGGCUCCCAAAUCGAGGACAGCACGAUGAAACCUCUUGAUGAAUUCCCGAAGGGUUUCUUGCUCCCCUUGCUUCAUGCUUUUCAGCUCCAUCAUGUCAUCUUCUGGUGCCAUUGCCCCACGAAACUGCUCUGCAAACUCCUGGCACAUCUGCUCGAAGGUUUUAAUGCUCCCCCGAGGAAGUUUCCUGUACCAUUCUCGUGCACGUCCCUCAAGGGAUAGUGGGAACACCCUGCACCUUUGGGAUUGAGAUAAUCCUUGUACUCCAGUUAUGUCGUUGAAACGCUCUAUGUGCACCAGCGGAUCCGUUCGUCCCGAAUACCUAAGGUCUGGGAGGCGGAAAUCUCUCGGAAUAACUGCCCUCAUGAUCUCUGUUGCGAGCGGUGAUUCUCCGUCCAGCAUUAUCCUCCAACCAGGAGGUCUGCUCCUUCCUUGCAUGUCGUCAAUUAUCUGCGCUAGUCUGCGCACUUCCUCCUUCAGCUGCACUGCGCGACCAGGGUCACGUGCUGCAGCUUGAUCCCGCUCUUGCUCUACAUCAAGCAAGUGUUGCCUCAACUCCGUUUCCUCUGCAUUUGCCACCCCGUCGUCCUCGUCAAAAAUCUGUCUUGCCGGGGAUUGCUCUUCCUCUCUACGGAAUUCUCCCUGCAGAGGUAUGUUACCUCUCUCACCACCAACUCUCUCGGUGGUUUGACUUCUCCUCGUACUAUCGGGACUUGGAGCCACUCCCCCAACUCUCAUCCUUUCCUCCUGGGUUACCCUUCAUUCACUCCGCAACUCAUGCAGGAUGUUUGUCAGGGUCUCCAUCUGCUUUUCCAUCCGUUCCACCCGGUCGAACAUGGCUUUUUCCCGUGCUUCACUGGCUAUCUCCCUCAGAGUCACGGAAUCGUUAAGCCUCAUAUCACUCCCUUGUGCACUACUUCCUCCUGUCUCCAUUGCUUUUCACUUGCUUCACUCCUCUUCUUGCUAUCAACAGAAGCUUUUUGAUCAGCUCCCCACAGACGGCGCCAAAAUGUUGAUGCGAGAUUCUGGUUCUACUCGUUCUACGACCAGGCUCUCUGCUCGAUCAACUUCACCACGACCAGGAGGUCUCCUCGUAAGGCUUCUUCUCCAGAGGCUCCUGCGCACACAGACAAGUCAGAGUACGCCGGUUGUUUUCCCGGCGCAAACCCUCCGACGCUCAAGUCAGAUAUGAAGGUUCGGGGAACGCUUGCCACAGAUCUUAUGGCUUUUUCGUAGUUUUCUCUUCUUUAGAAUUUCUUUAGCUCUCUUCUAAUCUCAAAAUUGCUAACCCUUUUACCUUUGUUGGCUACCUUUUUAUAGGCUUCCUCUGAAUCCCAGUUUUCCGCAGUCUACGUCUGUUAUCUUCCCACCUCUCGAACGUGGAUUCCCCAUUUCCGUAGUCGUGGGUGGUUGCGUGGCCUUCGUGCCUAGAUUCUCGGGCUGGAGAGCAUGCCUCGCCAACUGUCGUUGACCGGGUCUCCUCGAAUCAACCCUCAGCGAGAAUACAGCAGGAAUGACUUUAUGCCUCUUACAGGAAAUUGGCCUCGCAGAUGACGUGCUCGUGGAUGAGCAGGAUAUUCCUGCCCCUGUUCCCCUGCUACCUGGCUCUUACAGGACAUACAUGCUCGCAGAAUUCUGCCACUAAACAUCUGCUCAUCACGUCUGGUCUCGUCGGAGUAUUUCCCUCAAACACAUUUUAUACAUUAAACACAUAAACGUCCUCUCUGGAAUCUUUGUGGGCAACGCAUACGUGGUAUCUUCACUAAUAAGUGUUGAAUCUUUAGCUUCAAAGGAAAGAAACUAAAAAGGUUUGUAAAUUUACCCCACUUCUACAAAAUAAUUAUAAUGAAUUCACAAUAUUUUUUAAAAAAUUCAAAUUAAUAAAAAUUUUGUCUAGUUAAUCAAUUAAAUCCUUCUAUUAUUUUUUUAUUAGAUUUCUUUGAGUAUAUUUGAUCAUAAACUUGAUAUAAAUUUUACUUUACUAUUUUAGUAUUAUGAUAUAAAAUGGCCAAAUUGUACAAUAAACACGGGUUAUUGUAUCUAAUAAUUUAGGUAUUUAAUUAUGUGAACUAACAUUUUUAAAUGAAAUUUAACUAUUAUUUUCACUAUCUUACGUGUAAAUGAUGUAAAUUUGACAAGCUAAUAAUUUAUAUGAGUAUUGUGCCAUAAAGCCAUUAUGUUUGUUUAAUUAAUGUUUUAUAAUCAUACUAAUAAAGUAGUAUUAGAAAUAAUGAAUUGCUAUAAAAUUAGAAAAUAUUGAAGUUAAAGAAUUAGUUUGACCUUAUAAGGAUAAAAUAAUCAAUUUAGACUUAUGUCAAAUCAAUCUUUAUGAUCAAAUAUAAUAAAAAAAUUUAAGUCACAAAAAGUAAAUUAAGAUAGAUUUGUUAAUUUGUUCUCCAAAGUUCUUAUUUAUUUAUUUUUUUAAAAUAAUGUGUACUUUUUGUAAUUGUUUUUUAAAAAUGGGGUGGAUUUGGAGAUAUCAUUAGCCAACAAAAAAUUUAGUAAGGAUUAAUUUGAUAAUUGCCCAUAAAAAGAAGGCAUGUAGGUGGUGGUAGGGAAGCCUUUUUCCAUUCUAAAAUUACAUGUAAGAAUCUAAUAUAAAAAAGAUAAAUGUGUUACAGGAUGUGGAUAGAAAAAUUGAUCUUCAUUUGGGGAUUCUUGAUCUUCAUUCUUCACUCCACUAAAAUUUAUUAGAGAAUGAGGUGAAAAUUAUGGGCCAAAUAAAAUUAUUAACAUAUAAAAAAAUUUAAAUUAUUAAAAAUAAUAACUAAAAAAAUACAUAUUUGUUAAGAAUUUUGGAAUUAUUUUUCUUCGAGUAAUAAUAUAGCUACAAACUCUUGUACAAACUUAUCUUGUACCAACUAAUGUGGCAUGAUAAAAUUGGUUAAAUUAAAUAUCUCUUAACUCACGUGAUUUAUUUUCAUUAUUUUGUAUUUUUAUUCAACUAAUGAAUUAAUGUCACAUCAAUUUGUACAAAAUAAAUUUGUACAAGAAUUUGUGAUUGUAUCAUCACUCUCUUUUUUUUAAUCUCCAUAAACACAUCAAAAUUAGGGGUGGGAACUGUGGAGUCCACAACCCGCCAAAAAUCUCUAGUCGGCCAAAUUGGACUUUUUAUAGUCAGUCCUCAAAGAAAUUUUGAGAAAGGCAGCAGACAAUGAGUUGAAUGAAAUUACUACGAAACUUCCUUGAAGAUUCAAGGUAGUAGUGGAGGAUUCGAGCGCACAGACACAUUCAAUUCAGUUGAACUGUUUCUAUUAUGGUUUCUUCAUCUUCUUCUCAUCCAUCCACCAGUCUGUGUUUGAUGAGACCCCUAAACAUCAAUUAUGGUGUUUUUGUCAGAUUCAGAGGAGAAGACACCCGUGACAAUUUUACUGGCCAUCAAGUAUGGGUCUUUUGGGAUUUCAAUUUCGAAGCUUGAAGAAAGAUUUAAAGAGAAGUCAGAGAAGCUGCAGACUUGGAGGAAUGCUUUGAAGGAAGCAGCCAGUUAGUCUGGCUUUAAUUCUUAUAACAUCAGGUGAAAAGUUACUUUUAAUUUCGCAUACUAAUAUUUAACACUGUAAAUAAAAUUCACGCAGCACUCUUAGUUAAAUUUUCCAGAUGUUAAACUACACUUUUAAAUUUUUUUCAGGAAUCAAAUUCUAGACUUCUUGAACGUCCCCACUUUUGAACUCCUAUAAAAGAAUUUUUACAGAAUUAAUAAUAAAAGCUCCAAAAGUUUGCAAUAUACUUUAACAAAAUUAAUGGUGUUCUGUCGUUUUUUCCAAUCUCUCAGUCAUUUACCAUGACCAAAAAUAAUAAAUAAAAAAAUAAAAAUAAAAGUAAAAAUAAAAAUCUCUCCCACAUAUAACAUAUCCCUAUAAUUUAAGAGUUAUUAAUUUAUAGGGAGAUUGUAAAGUUCGUUACUUAAAUUAAUAUAUACCACUUAUACAGACUAUUUUCACAAUAUUUAAUAAGUCUCUUGGUACCAUCAUUUUACAAUAUUAUCCUUAUGAAAAAAAAUCAAAACUAUCAGACCUGAGCUUCCGGUCUCCGUUAACUGAAUUUUGGUUGUCGUUGACCAGUACGGGCAAUUCAGUAAUUUCACAAACUUUUGGGAUAAUGUUGUAAUUUCUGAAAUUGGUGGAUAAUUUAGUAAUUUUGGACUAGGGCGGUUAGGUAAUUUGAGAUUUCAAGGGUAAUUCAGUAAUUUAAGUUAUUAAGGGCAUUUUGGUAAUUUCAAAAUUCAAGGGUAAAUUCGUGAUUUCGUACCUUAUGGUUAUUUUUGUAGUAUGAAUUAAGGAUAGUUUAGUAAUUUAGAAUUCUGAGGACAAUUUGGUAAAUUAUGGUGUCGACGGCAUUUUGGUAAUUUUUGGCAUGCAGGGGUAUUUUGGUAAUUUCAUUCAUACGGGAAUAGUUGAUUUUGGGAAAAUGUUUGUUUCGAGCUUUAUUGCGUAAAUUUAGUUGUAUUUCAUGUUACAGAUAACGAUGUCGUUUCCUUAAUUUAGGAGGAACCGCGAACGAGAAUCAAUCCGCAAACGUAACCGAUACUUGAGUUUGAGUGUAAUCAUUGUGAGUGGAAUAUACAAAACCUAUUUUUAUAGUUAAUUAUGAUAGUAAAGCCUAUUUGUGAAAUGAGUAUCUUAAAUAUUUUGAUUUAAUGAUUUUCUUGAAAUGGAUUUUAUUCACGCAAUGAUAUUUUAUUAAAAUGUUUGGUUAAUAGUUUUCCAUAUUGAUUUGAAUAAAGCAUGAUAGUAUUCUUAAGACAAGAAAAAUUCAAAUGUGUUAAUGAAAAGAACAGUAUGAUUUUCAAUAUGAUUAAAAAGUAUAUGGUUAUGAGUAUAAAGAUUGUUUUUGAAAUCAUUAGACAGUACCAUUCCCCUUCAGAUAAUGUGAUACAGAUGAGAUGAGAGUCCUUUAGGGCUCGUCUGAGUACAUAUAGAGGCUUUGGGCUGUGUACUUGGACGCUUUAUCCUUUGGGGACCAGAUUAUGCAGAUACGAGAUAUGAGAUAUGAGACAUAUGAGACGACAUUUUCCUAUCUACCCGUUGCAACUCCGGGGCAUGACGAUUUCCUGAUUGCCCGUCCAUCGAGGUCUGGGUAUGACAAGAUUAUUUGCUUGGGUAAUUGUUUGGUGACAGUUUUCAGAAUUACAGUGUUUGAGAUUACAAUAUGUUAUGAUUUCAUUGAUUUUAUGCAAUAUUAUGUAUUAUUGUUAUAUUAGUACUUGAUUUAAAUUACAUGAGUUUAUUUAAGUUCUUAUGAUAUUUUGAUGAAAUUGAUUUGAGACAGAUUAAAUUAUUUUAAAGUAAAUUUAUUUUCAAAAAUUAUUAUCCACUCACUGAGCUCAUUGAGUUUUAUACUCACCCCGUUUUUAUUAUAUUUCCCCCCAGGAGAUUUGCAGGUACAUUAGUCGACCCAACAACAAUAACUAUUUUUGAAAUUGUGGCCACAUGAUGGUGCUAGGAAUCAUAGAUGUAUUGUUGGGAUAUUUUGGAUUGUAUAAAUUAUUACAUAUUUGUGACUAAGGAUACUCUAUUGUAGUUGACAUUAAAAUAUUUGGGUGAUAUUUGGUAUGUUGAUUAAGGAAGUUGGUCGUGGAGGUUGGUUGAAUAUUGAAUUAUUUUUAGAGUGCUAAUUUUAUAAAUUGUAGGUUUGGGAAUGUCAUCAUUGUAGAGGAGACUCUACCGAAUAAUCUUUAGUAAAACCCUUAAAUAUUAGAUUUAUUAUCGGUUCAAUUAGAUGGGAUUAGAUGACUCGUCCUGAGGUUUCGGGGCAGGUCGUUUUAUCUAUACAUUAAAGGCUCAUAGACUAUUAGAUACAUUGAAGCCCAUAAUACUAAAAAUCUUAAUAGAUAUCUUUUAAUUGGGCUUAAUUUUAUAUGACAGUUUGCAACACAUAAUUAUUCACAUAUAAUCCCAGCGUUGGGUUAAGGAUUUAACAAUCCUAGAUUAAAAAAUCCAACAAAACUAUUACUUAUUUAUUUUAUUUUUUUACAAUAGUUUACAUAUAAUUCAAAGUCCUGUACAAUUGUCUCUCUAUCUUCACAUUAAACAUAAUUAAAAAGGAGAAUUUAUUUCAACAUUUUUUAAUAUGAACCUUUGAGACUUGUUAUCUCAAUUGUCGUAUAAGAAUUGAUUUGAUGUUGGGUUCCAGCAGUACCAGCUUACUUUUACGUAUCUUGGAUGCUAAGUGUAUUGCACAUGGAUCUGGUACUUUGAUGAUAUGAUCAAAAUUGGAGAUUGGAUUUUAGGGUGAGAUAACUGGCUUUUCUCUUUUGAGGGUAAGCUUGUACUUUUAUGGCAUGUGCUUCUUCCAUACCGUUACAUAUCUUCCAAGUCCUCUGAUUGCCUACGGUAGUCAUUAAUCAUCUCGAGCAAUAGUUCACCAAUUUCUUAUUAGGAGAUACAAAUUCAAGACGGCGCAUCUACUGGUGCAAAUUACCAUAUGUUUAAUUCCUUGUGGAUGAAAGUGGUUUGGGAAUUCAUUUUCUUUUUCAAAUCUGGCAGAUGCAUUUGAGUUAAAAAUGUGGUAGAGAUUUCGGGACCAGCAAUCUCUUUGGGCUUCACUCAUGAAGUCCAAGUAUUGCAAAACCUUACAUCCCAAAAUGGUUCGAUUUCACUAUUCUAUUUCCCUAUUUUGUCGACAUUUUUGCUCCAUUUGUUAUGUUGCUAAGCCUCAUAUACACUGGCUAAUUAGAUCUAGUGAUAAUAAUUUCUUGUAUGAUUGUUGUUUGUGGUUUAUACUUCUCUUUCUUUUUAAAAUUGGUACUGCUUCUAUGGUUCCUGUGUCAUUCUUUUGGCGAGGAGCAGUUUAGGAUAGGAGCAGGCUAUUGUCUGUUCUACUUCAAUUGUUGAGUAGAUUUUGUUGAUCACUAUUUUUGCUGUUAGACCGAAUAUUCUUCAUUGGACUCUAUCUAGGGAUGGGAAUUUUUCUAUAAAGACUAUUUGGGAGCUUGUUCGUGGGUCUCGGAUCUGGAAUGAGAUUUUUACUUAUAUUUGGCAGCAACAUAUUCCUAAUGAGGUAUUUUUUGUUAUUGUGGUUGUUGUAUGGUUUCUUAGCUGCGAAUGAUGCCUUGGGCUUGCACCAUUAAGAUAUUCAGGCAGUUAUUUUGUGAAUUGCUCAUUAGUUGCGCAAAUCUGACAACGAUUUUACUCGAUGAUUGGUCUUUGAUACCUUCCUUUCUAUCUCCUCAUACGUUGCUUGUUCACUGGCGGCAUUGUGCCCAUUCUUCGAGACAUUUUCGAGUCCUUCUCUCAUGCUUCAUCCUGUGGCAUGUCUUGAAGCCUUGAAAUGCUUUUAGAUUCGAUUCUAGUUGUCAUUGCUUUUUGAGUGGUUUCGGGCCUUAGACUCGCUAGCUCUGUUUUUGGUUUUAAGUUAUCCCAAUUGAGGGGUGUUUUGGAUACCCAUAUUAGAGAGGGUUUGUAGAUAUUUUGCCUCCUCUUUGACCGGUCGCUUGGUUUCCUAGUUGAGGCUACCGCCUGGCGUGAUGAAGUUAAAUGCGGAUGGUUACUCUAGGGGCACCUCUGGUAUGUCUGCUGCUGAAAGUGUUCUACAUGAUCAUUCGGGAGUAGUAUUAGUUGCUUUUGGUUCUUUCUUAGGGCACCAAUCAAUACUGUUUGCUGAGCUGUUGGCUAUGCUUGAAGGAUUAGAUCUUGUGCUCAGCUUGGGUUUACUGUUCUAGAGUUGGAAUCUAACUUGGCCACUGUGGUUUCUUUAGCUACUUCGCUUAUCUCCUGGGUUGGAUUCAUGCUUUAUUUUCUAGUCCUUUUAUUACUAUCAAACAUGUCUUUUGAGAGGCCACUUCAGCCACUGACUUCAUGGUUGAUUAAGCAUGUACUCAUAAGACUCAUCAGCGAUUCUUCAGCUCUGGGGAUCUUAUAUCUGGUCUAUUUGGCAUUCUUCAUUUAGAUGCUCUCGAGUUCCUUUAUGUUCAACAUUGAUUUCCCUUUGUUGGUUUCUUUUAUAGUUUGUUUUCCUUUUUUUUUUAAAGAAGUUUUGGUUUAUGUCCCCCUCUUCAUAUUCUUUUCAUCAUCUAAUUUUUCUUUCAUUGUAGGUAGAGGUUUGGCCUAAUCCCCCACCUUCAUGAUGGUUUAGAUUAAAAAAGAAAAAACCAAUUUGACGUUAGGUUUGAAUAUCCUAACUAGAGAGGGGCGAGGAUUGCUAAGGAUCCUUUGGUAAUGAGAUUCACAAGAUUUACACAUAAAUCAACUGGAAUAAUAUCGAUUUGUCAUCCUCACAAAUGGUGGAAAUCAGAGAAUCCACUUUUCGUAUGCUUAAAGUUCUUGGGAUUGAAAAAUUGCAACAAGCUAAAAAUGUGUCAUAAAGAUUUUUUCUUGGAAAAUGUUAUAAGAUUCUUCUACAGUUUUACCCUUUUCACCUAUUCCUCUUUCAAUGUGAAAAAAAAUGCAAAUUAGUUUAAACUUUAGAGAAUUUCAGAUGAAAUUAUUUCUGCAUCCAAUUAGAUUGUAUCUACUUGUUUGUCCAUUAUCAUAAUCUUAAUUUAGUAUAUAAUUGUAAUUAUCCAAAUAGGGCUUUUAAGGGGUAAAUAGAAGGGGUGCUAAUAGUCCCACUCUUUCCGCAAUUAUUAUUGUCCUCGAAUAUUUCUCCAACAUUUUAUUUCAUAUUUGACUUCUGCUACUAAUACUAUAACAAAAGACGCUUUUUGACCAACAAAGUGUUGGCUCCACUGGAAAUGAAGUCCCCUUAAGUGGCUUGACUGGGUUUGCUCCCCAGUUCGAGUCGCAGGGAAGUCCCCUUUGUUGGGAGAACAUGUGCCUCUCGAUUCGAGCGGGGACUUCUACUCUGGAUUGUGGUACGGGCUUAAAGGUGCCUCCCACAGUUAGGGCCCUCCCCAGGAUACCUCGUGGUCAAAACCAAAAAAAAAAAAAAGACGCUUUUUGAAUUACAUCAGUUUCUAGUUGCAUUUUAUUGAUAAAUUAGCCGAACGCAGAUUUUUUAUUUCAUAUUUGACUUCAGCUACUAAUAACAUUGUUUGAUGCAACAUUUUAUUUCAUAAUUGACUUCUGCUACUAAAACUAUAAUUCAAAAGAUGCUUUUUGAAUUACAUUAGAUUUUUUAUUGAAAACGAACAAAGGGAUUAUAUUUUACAAUUUAGGAAAUAACUAUAUUUAAUAGAGAUAAUUUUGGGAUAUAGCAUUUACUUUCUAUUGAGAUAUUUUCAUAUAUUAGAUAAAAGUUUACUUAAAAAACAAAAAUUAGACUUCACACGUUUAACAAAUAACUCGAAGGAAUAUGAAUAAGAAUUAUUAAAACAAAAAUGAUAAAUAAGGAUAAUUUUAAAAUUAAAUGCAAUUAAUUGAGAGUUGAUGACUAAUGAGAAAAAUUGGGGGAAAAUAUUAAAAAAUCAACCAACUACUCAUGGUUGAUAGUCAUGACCCACUCAAUUUGAGAAUUAAAAGGACAAAAGCCAUGUGUUGAAAACUAUGGUGUUCAUGGGGAAAUUUCAGGUAAAAGUCUAAAAAGCAGUGAAAUUAUCGUGCAGCGCACGGUGCCUGGACAAUGAGAUGAAGUUGAAAAAUUAUCACGAAACUUCAAGGAAGAGUGCCAAUAGUCUUACUCAUAACGCCGUGUCUAACUCAUAACAUAGAGUAAGAGUUCUACGAAAGUAACGGCAGAGUGCCAAUAGUCUUGACUCAUAACGCCGUGCCUAUAAUUUCAACUGAAAAAAUCUGCCAAGUCGAAAAAUUAGGUGGGCGUUUCAAUAACCCUUGAAUAUUCCAUGAAUCAUUGUCCAGGAAGCUUGGAAAAUGAGAUAUCAGGUCAAUAUAUGCUGCAGAGUCACGCUCAUUUUGGCUUAGUAAUUGUUUUCAUCUGAUCACAAUCUCUCUCUAAUCAAUUCAACUGCUUCUGUUGAUUAUGGCUUCUUUUUCUCGAAACAACAAGAAGUAUGAUGUUUUUGUAAUAUAAGCUGCCUUUUUUUAAGUGGAACUGCAAUUGAAGAACUGCCUUCAUCAAUUGAGCUUCUACUUAGGCUGGAGUACUUGGACCUUUCAGACUGUAAAAGGCUUAAGAGUCUCCCAAGCAGCCUAUGUAAGUUGAAAUCUCUUGAAAUUCUUGAUCUCAGUGGUUGCUCAAAUCUUCAGAGAUUGCCCGAAUGUCUUGGCCAGUUGUCCUCUCUAGGAACAUUGCUUCUAGAGAAAACCAAUAUUGAGAGAAUACCAGAAAGCAUCAUCCAAAUUUCUGUGUUGACUUACCUCCGCUUAAGCUAUUGUGAGAGGCUUCAAUCCGUACCAAAGCUUCCAUUCCUUAUACGAUGUUUAGAUGCCGAUAAUUGCACAUCGCUGCAAUCAUUAUCAGGUUUAUUCCCAAGUUCUGAAUUUUAUAUAUAAGCAGUGUUUUUUUACUAGAGCAAUAAUUUGUAUUCCCAAGUUCUGCAAUCAUUUAGUGCUAUUGUAGCAUUUUCAGACCGUCAUGUAGAUGAUGACAGAUGGUUUUCAUUUUCUUGUGAGUUCAAAAUGAAAACCGAAGAUUGUGAUCCGCAUGUCACGCGGAGAUUUCUGAAGCGCCUUGCUUACGUAGAAUCAGCUCACUUACUUUUGGGGUGCUAUUUUUUCAGUGAGGAGGAUUUCCAUGGUUUUUGGAAAUAUAAUUGCGUUCCUGAGGCAGUCCGCUUCUUUUUUGAUGAUUUUGAUCGUUUUCCAUCUUUGGAGUGCGAGUGCUGCGGGGUGAAAAAAUGUGGAGUCCAUUUACUUUACAUCCCAGAUUCUACGGAUUCAAUGGAAGUUCCAAGCAGAUGUUUCAACUGUUACGAAGAAGGCUUAAGAUUUUCAUGAAUGUAAUUUUAUUUUUUUCUCUUUUGCUAAUCACUAUUAAUAAUUAAAAAAAAAAAGCCAAGAUUAGUCUUGGAACAAAACAUGCAUGUAAUAAUUUUCGAGGGACGUGGUGCAUGUAAUAUUAGAUGAAGGGUAUAGUGAAAGCACGUAUUUAGCAUUGUAAAAUUACUGGCCUUCUUUUCCUGCAGAUUUAAUCUACUUGGCGUGUUAUUUUUUUCCCUAUUUUUUUUUUAAAUGCAGGUGUUUCAUUCAUGAUAUUUUAGGAUAACGAAAAAUGGACUGAAUAGAGAGAAGAGACUUCGUUUCACAUCUUCAAAGAUUGCAUCUGCAAUUGGCCUUUGCUUCAACAAAGGAUCAAUUAGCCAAAGCAAUGGAAACAAUAGCUUGAUUCUCCAAUCGUCAACAAUGCCUUGUAGUUUAUGCCGCCAGCAUAAUUCAACAGAACAAGCCCUCUAACAAGUAUUUGUAUGUAUGUAUGAUCAUUCAUUCUCAAUCAACCACCAAACUGAUGUCUACAAAGCCAUGAGGAUUGUCUCACAAGUCCCUUAUUUUCCCUCUCUUUUGGCCGGAGACCAGUAAACCAUUUGAAAUACGGAUGUGUAAACCAGAAAAUAAAUCACGAAGUUACACACUAGUCUGCUUUCGCACUCAUUCGGAACUAUAAUUGAUACUUGUUGAUGCGAGAUUCUGGUUACGCUCUUCCUACGACCAGGAUAUUUGCUCGAUCAACCUCACCUCGAUCAGGAUCUCUCCUCGUAUGCUUUCUUCUCCAAGUAUUCCUGCGUCCACAGAAACAAGUCAGAGCACGCCGGUUGUGUUCCCGGCGUAAACCCUCCGACGCUCAAGUCAGAUAUGAAGGCUUUUGGAACGCUUGCCACAGAUCUUAUGGCUUUUUGAUAGUUUUUCCUUCUUUUAGAAUUUCCCUUUUCUCUGUUAUAAUCUCAAAAUUGCUAACCCUUUUACCUUCGUUGGCUACCUUUUUAUAGGUUACUUCUGAGCUCGGGCCUCCCCUCCAUUCGCGCUCGUUAUCUUCCCACCUCUCGAACGUGGACUCCCCAUUUCCGUAAUUGUGGGUGGUUGCGUGGCCUUCGUGCCUAGAUUCUCGGAUUGGAGAGCAUGCCCCGCCAACCGUCAUUGACUGGGUCUCCUCGAAUCAACACUUAGCAGGAAUACAACAGAAAUGGCUUUAUGCUUCUUACAGGAAAUUGGCCUCGCGGAUGACGUGCUCGUGGAUGAGCAGGAUAUUCCUGCUCCUGCUCCCCCGGAUACCAGGCUCUUACGGGACACACCGGUUCGCAGAACUCUGCUAUCAGAUAUCUGCUCAUCAUGCCUGGUCUCGUCGAUAUGGUAUGGUGUAUAAAUUAUACUAAAGUGAAGGCUGGAUCAAUAAGAAAUUCAAAAUGUUUCAUCACAUUUGGGGCUUGAUGAUGCCAUAGAAAGACCAUACCAAUUAUGACGAACAGUAAAAUGUGAACAAGAACAAGCAUACAUUUAAGAAAGCAGAGAAGCAUGAUUAAAAUAAAUGAUUCUUCUCACUAUUCUAUGUUGUUGGAAAUGGACCAAAAUAAAAAAGAAACCAUAUAUGGAACGUCACAACAAGAAUAUUUGUGCAUUUGUACAUCAUAGGAUAUUGGGAAGACAUCAGCAGAAAAGUGCAAUUUUUUUUUUUUUGGGGGAAAGGAACAGAGAAGUGCAAGUCAAAAAGGAGAAAAAAUAAAAACAGAGAGAUUAAAAGGAAUGCAAUCUAAUUAAUCGUCUAAGGAGGCUACUAUGCUACAUUUAGCCAUUCGUUGAAUAGGCAACUUGUCUUCUAGUACAACUUUAAAUUUACCAAGAUUGAGAAUUUUCCUUCGGAAGAAAAGUAAUUUGUAUAGUGGCCAUUACCAUCUUCAUCCCAACGGUAAGCAGCUCCAUACUAAGGAAAGAGUGAAAUAGGUGUGCUUUACUUGUAGAAGCUCGUUCCUGUCCAGAGUGAUUAGUAAGUUGUUUCACCAUGACCCCCAUUAUGGUGACUGGAAAAAGAAAAAAAAAAAAUUUGCCCAACACAGAAGUGGCACCCAAGAAGUCCUACUUAAGAGGCUUCAUACCCUGCACAAAUCAGAAAGUUUUUAAAAAUUUUCAUGUUCCAGGUUCCAAAUGAAGAUUGCCCAUUAAAAAAUUACACACAUAAUGUAUGUAAAGCAAUUAAAACAGAAAAACAAGGAUAACCCAGAAACAAUCCAACCAUCAAUAACAUAAAACUUUUGUAAUUCUGGUAAAGUGAAUGAGAAGCAAAACAUACAUUUCACGUAAUAAUGAAGAUACAUCUUUUAAUCAGUUUUUGCUCUUAUUUUAUUCUCGUACUUCCUUCCAAUAACAAUUCAUAAUGCAGGUUGGUAUCUUGAAAAAUUAUAUCAUACAUUUCUCUUAUCAAUGGGGCAGGUUGCUAUUGAACAUUAUUCAUAAACAAAGAGCCAAAUAUGCUUUAAAGCUACUUAAAAAUAUGCCAUCAGGCAUUGACGCAGACACUCAACAACAAAAAAACAGAGUUAUCAGCACUUAACAACACAAAAGUAAAAAAGAAAAUACUCUCACUCAAGUAUUAUAUUUGUUGCACAAAUAAGAAAGACGAUAACAAUUUUAAAUUAACCAACAGGUUGAAUCUUAUCGUAAUACACACUAUCAGCUAUGAAUCAUCCGAUAGAAUCAUCCGUGACAAUGCUCCAGUGCUUAACCUGCCACAUUUAUAAAACCUUAUUUCAAAUAAAAUUACAGUUAAGGGCAAAGAAGAAAUAAACACAUGUAGGAUUUUUUUCCCAACAAAUUACUUACAUUAAUAAUCAAUCCCUUUUUUUUUUAAUUUCCUACCAUUUUAAUUCUUAUCUAACUAAGAUAAAUUGUAUAAAUAUAGAAUAAUCUAUUUUUCUUUUCGUAUUUCUUAUUGAUUAAAUAUUUCGUACUCAAGAUUACUUUCAAAUUACAAUCUAAAAUAUGUGUUAUUUAAGCUAAUGAUUAGCAUUCAAACUUUAUCACCUAGAAAACUUUUUAAUUUGUAUGUAGGAUAACAAUAAGAUUGUAAAAGGGAUGAAAAAUAGCACAAUACUACUUUGAGUUUUAACAAUAAAAAAAGAUUAAAUGAAAAACUAAAAGAGCGUCUUGGAAAAUAAAAUAAAUAUAACUGAAAAAAAAGGUUUCAUUAAGAGACUAGAGGGGUGCCAAUAGUCCAACUUUUAAAAUAAAGUUUUAUCAAUUAUUGAUCCCUUUUUCUGCAAUUAUUAUUCCCAACAAAUAUUUCUCCAACAUUUUAUUUCAUAUAUUUACUUCUACUAUACUCUAACAAAAGACGCCUUUUUGGACUACAUCAGUUUCUACUUUCUAGAUGCAUUUCAUCCAUUGUUCAAUUUCUCUAUUUUUUUUUCUCUAAACAACCACUUUCUGUCAGCUCUCUUAAAAUUUAUUAAGGAAUCUAUGUUGAAGACCAUUUCAUCCUUAGUAUUGUGUAAAUGUAUAAAAAUACAUUUUACACUUUCAAAUUUAAAAUGACCUUCUUUUAGCACAAAAUUUUAAAACAAAUACCUCUAACUAAGCAACAAAAUGUAGAACACAUGAUAAGUACCAUAUCAGCCAUAUAAAAAGUGAAUCACACUAUGAUAUAUGUGCAUUUAUUUUGAAAAAUCAUCACGUAAAUAAUGGUUAUAUUGAAUCUAAGUAAGUGAAUAUCAUACAUGACACAACCCGGCCCAGCCUCUCUGCCGGAUUCGAGGUGAAUCAUGUGAUCUUAUAUCUAAAGCUUGUGAAAUAAAUUUAAUUCAUGAAUGCAUAACACUAGUCUCGGCCUUUGUUAUAAACAUAUAAUAACAUAUGUGACUCAUUCAAAAAUAUAUUCAAAACUUGCACAAUUUACAUCUUACUGUACAUACAUACACUUUAGAUAUAUACAUAUAAACAUAAACAUGCUCAAAAUAUAAGUUAUGCAGUAAUGCGUGUUGUAGCCCAACAUCAACUGAUUAGAAACUGAACUGCACAAAAUCCUAUGAAAAUCUUAAAGAAAUGGGGUAAAUAUGAAAAUAGUAUACUUGUGGCUAAAUGAGUGGAUAUAAUUAUAUAUAUAUAAAUAAAUUAGCGCUCUAGUGCUUGUACAUAAUUGUAUGACAUAACUUCGCACUGAACGCAUUACACAAGCAAACAUGAAAUCAUAUAUUUAUACAUGAUAAAACUGCACCAAAUAAUAUCUAGGAGAAAUAACUCUUCAAUACUCACUGGAAUCAUCGUUGCACAAGUAAAGUAGGGGAAACACCUCUCAAUACUCAGCCGAAUUAACUACAUCACAAGGGCCGAGUAAUCUAACUCUCAAUACACAUACAUAGAGCCUAUGGGGAAGGGUACACAUAUGAUAUCUGGCAAUUACAUCUCAUUAUUCAAUUAAUCAUAUAAUAUCAGUAUAUAUAAUCAUGACAUGAUACUAAAUCAUACUAUCAAGCAUCAAUACUUUGUAGAAUACAUAUAAGUAAUAAUAGUAAUCCACUCACAAAACAUUUUUCACUAUGGGGUUUGUUGGAGCUCCUAUAGAUUCCUUAAUUCUUGAAUUUCUCCUAAAAUAUAGGGUUAAAAAAUUAACUAUUAGAACUGAUAUAAAAACUUUUACAUAUGACAUUAACUAAAUCAUAAUUGUUCAAAUUUCUUAAAUACGUUACCUACUGACUUACUGGAUAUAGAUAUAACUAUCCAACUCUCUUUCCUAUAAUAUUUCCUCUCAAUUCCUCUUUUCAAAAUUAUUUUUCGCUCUCGGUUUUUCUUUUCUUUAUUUUUUCUUCUUCAUCUUUUAUUCUUCUGUUCUUUUCCACUUCUUCUUCAUCUUUUCUUCUUUUGUUCUUUUCCUCUUCUCUUUUCCUUUUGUUUUCUUCCCUUCUCACCUUUUCCUUUCUUUUUCUUUUCUCUUUGAAUUGCUUUGUUUUAGUUUGAUUCUUGAAAAUGGUGACAGUUGCUUCAAUUCUUUACUUUAUACAUAUCCAUUACCUCCAAUCAUGCACGACAAGCACAUAGCAUGCAUGUGCUUUGCUUUAAGCCGAUAGCUUGCUAAUUAGCCACAUGUGCUCCCUUUUGGCUUGCAUGUGCGUCACAAUAAAUGCAUUAAUUGGUUGUAUUAUUUUUAAUGUAUUAUAGAAUUUCUUUUAAUGAAGGACGUAGCCAACAAUUUUAUCCAGUUAAACAUGUUCUUUGACAUAUAAUAUAGUUUAUGGUCAAACAACUCAUAAGUAGUUGAAAUUAAAUUAUUUUCUAAUCUCAAUUUUCCUUUCCUCUCAAUUUUAAAAUACUUUAAAAGAUUUUCAAACAUAAGAUACAAUGGUAUACAAUUGAAGCCUAAUCCAACAUUGAAAGAUUAAAUAAAAUUAAUUUUCAUCACUACUCAAGAGACUUGAAAGGACAUUAAGGUAGCAUUUAUUUUUUAUUUAAAAUCUGAAUAGGUCAGAAUUUGAUUAAAAUCUGAAUGGCCUUGAAUAUAAAGGUUUCAAUAACAUGUUAUUUUUUUAAUAUCUAAAAAUUAAGUGGCAUCUUGUUUGAUUUAUAAUAAGAAGGGAAAUUAUCAUUCGUAUACCCUAAAUUUGUGCUUCUAUAAAAAAAUAUUACAACACUUUAAGGGUGUAUCAAUCAUCCACCCUAAAUUGACAAAAGUUAUCUGCCGACCACUAAACUGUUAGCUACCAUUUGAAAGUUAACGGAACUGUAGCUAAUUAACAAUUUUACCCUUGAAAAUUAUCACUUGUAUACCCUUAAAAUAACUUAUUAUCACUUCUAUACCCUAAAAUUAUCACUUGUAUCAUAUAAAAAGACCAUAUUACCCCCCUGACGUCAUCAUAUUUAAAUGGCAAUUAACGGUUUGGUGGACGGCAGAUACAUUUUGUCAACUUAGGGUGGACGACUGAUAUACCCUGAAAGUAUUGUACUAAAUUUGAUAAUGGAGUAAACUAAGGGUAUACGAUUGAUAAUUUCCCUAAUAAGAAAACACAUUAAAUGUGGUUAUUUAGCGGUUAUGUCUUUAUAGGUCAAAACGAAUAAAAGGGAUUAGGCUUCGUAGUUUAUGAAAUAACUAUAUUGAAUUGAAAUAUUUUUAGGAUAUAGUAUUUAUUUUCCAUUCAAACAUUUUUUUUCAUUUCGGCAAAGGUCACAAAAAUUUACUUUUUAAAUUCAAAUGUAAAUAUCUAAAAAUCAGACAUAUGUUACAAAAAAAACAAAUAGCUAAUUUUUUAAAAAAAAUUAAACUUCAUAUGUUUAAAAUCAACGCUACGAAACAUGAAUAAGAGCUAUUAAAACAAAACAAAAAAGAAUAAUUUUGAAACUAAAUACAAUUAAUUGAGAGAUGAGGACCGAUAAGAUAAAUUCAGAGAUAAAAAGUAACAUAUCACCCUACUUAUUGCUGGCAGUUAUGAGCAUUAAAGCACAGAAGCCGUACCAACAAAGUGGUGGCUCCACUGGCAAUGGGGUCCCCUUAAGUGGCUUGACUGGGUUUGCUCCCCAAUUCGAGUCGUAGGGAAGUCGCCUUUGUUGGGAGAACAUGUGCCUCUCGGUUCGAGCGGGGACUUCUAGUCUGGGUUGUGGUACGGGCUUAAAGGUGUCUCCCACAGUUGAGGCCCUCCCCAGGAUAUCUCGUGGUUAAAACAAAAAAAAAAAAAGCGCAGAACUCGUGUGUUGAAAAGUAUGGUGUUCGUGUGGACUUUUCAGCUAAAAGUCUACAAAGCAGUUGAAUUAAUCAAUCGUCGUGGAGUGCACGGUGCUUGGACAUUGAGAUGAAAUUGAAAAAUUAUCACGGAACUUGAAGGAAGGUUCAUGGCAUCGAUUUAUUCUACAGAGUCACGCACAUUUGGUUCAAUAAUUGUUUUCAUCCGAAUCAAAAUCUCUCUCUAAUCAAUUCAACUGUUUCUGUUGAUUAUGGCUUCUUCUUCUCGAAACAACAAGAAGUAUGAUGUUUUUGUUAGUUUCAGAGGAGAGGACACCCGAGACAACUUUAGUAGCCAUCUCUAUUCUGCUCUGAGUCGACAAAAUAUCCAAACUUUCAUUGAUGACCAACUUAACAGAGGAGAUGAAUUUUCGGAGUCACUUGUGAAUGCAAUUGAAGCAUCAGCCAUUUCAGUUAUCGUCUUCUCAGAAGGGUAUGCAUCUUCCAGAUGGUGUCUCGAUGAACUUGUAAAGAUCCUCGAGUGCAAGAAAGAGUAUGCACAGAUUGUGAUUCCGGUUUUCUAUCGGGUUGAUCCAUCAGACGUGAGAAACCAAACUGGGAGUUUUGGCAAUUCAUUUUCGAAGCUUGAAGAAAGGUUUAAGGAGAAUUCAAAGAAGCUGCAGACAUGGAGGAAUGCUUUGAAGGAAGCAGCCACUUUGUCUGGCUUUCCUUCUCAGAACAUCAGGUGAAAAGUUACUUUUAAUUUCGCAUACUAAUAUUCAACACUGUAAAUAAAAUUCACACAGCACUCUUAGUUAAAUUUUCCAGAUGAUAAACUACACUUUUAAAUUUUUUUCAUGCAUCAAAUUCUAGACUUCUUGAACUUCCCCACUUUUGAACUCCUAUAAAAGAAGUUUUGCAGAAUUAAUAAUAAAAGCUCCAGAAGUUUACAAUAUAUUUUAACAAAAUUAAUGGUGUUCUGUCGUUUUUUAAUCAAUUUCAAUCUCUUACUCAUAUACCACUAGGAAAAAAAAAAUCUCUUCCACAUAUAACAUAUUCUUGUAAUUAAAGAGUUAAUAAUUUAUAGGGAGAUUGGAAAUUUCCUUACUCAAAUCAAUAUAUACCACUUAUUUUGACUAUUUUUACAAUAUUUAAUAACUCUCCUGGUACCAUCACUUUACAAUUGGACAACGAGCAAUCUCCCUUAUUUCAAUUUUAUGCAAAUCCCUUCUAUUUGAAGUUACUGCUGCUAAUUUUAUGUAUUUGGUAGGCUUGAAUCGAAACUUAUAAACGAAAUUGCUAAUCACAUUUUAAAGAGACUGCUGGAUCAAGUUUUUCGGCGGAAUGAUAACAAAAACCAGCUGGUUGGAGUAGAAUCAAGAGUUGAGGAAAUUCAAUCUCUACUAGGUGUUCAGUCGAAAGAUGUUUACGCUUUAGGGAUUUGGGGCAUUGGUGGUAUAGGCAAAACAACAAUCGCUAGAGCUACUUUCGACAAAAUCUCUAGCGAUUUUGAAGGUUCUUGCUUCCUUGAAAAUGUUAGAAAAGAGUCACAAAAACCGGGAGGAUUAGCUUGCUUGCGACAAAAACUUCUUUCAAAUUUAUUGAAAGAUAAAAAUGUGAGUCUUGUUAUUGGUCUUAAUUUUAGAAGGCUCAGCCGCAUGAAGGUUCUGAUUGUUUUUGAUGAUGUGACUGGCUUCAGCCAAUUAGAAUCUAUAAUUGGAAGUCUUGAUUGUUUGACGCCUGUGAGUCGAAUCAUAAUAACCACCAGAAAUAAACAAGUGCUUAGAAAUUGGGGGGUGAGUAAAAUAUAUGAGAUGGAGGCAUUAGAAUAUCAUCACGCUCUUGAGCUUUUCAGUCGACAUGCCUUCAAACAAAACCAUCCUGACGUUGGUUACGAGAAAUUUUCAAGCAAGGUAAUGAAAUAUGCUCAAGGUGUUCCUUUAGCUCUUAAAGUGUUGGGUUGCUUUCUAUAUGAAAGAGAAAAGGAAUUCUGGGAAAGUGCAAUAAAUAAAUUGCAAAGAAUCCUCCAUCCAAGUAUCCUAGAGGUAUUAAAAAUAAGUUACGAUAGUUUGGAUGAUAAGGAGAAAAAUAUUUUCCUUGAUGUUGCUUGUUUCUUUAAAGGCGAGGAUGUAAAUCUAGUAAUGAAAUUCCAUAAUGCAAGCGGUUUCUACCCAGAAAUAGGAAUAAGUGUUCUUGUUGAUAAAUCUCUCAUUGCUAUUGGUUCAUACAGCAAGAUAAGAAUGCAUGAUUUACUACAAGAGCUGGGUAGGGAAAUUGUUCGACAAGAAUCAAUUAAUCUUGGAAACCGCAGUAGGUUGUGGCAUCAUGAGGAUAUCUAUGAAGUUCUUACAUAUAACACGGUAAGCAGUUUGUUGUGGAUAAUUAUUUUGAAAUAUUCUAGCAUUUACAAACUUGAUAUGAAUAUAUUUAUAUAUGCUCGAACUGAUGAGUCUUAGAAUUAAUAGAAGAGCAACAAUGAUUAGAAAAAAACCAUAUCCGUUAGAUGACGUAGCAAUAAAUUAUAAAUGCCAUGACAACUUGCAUAAUCAUUUGCAAGCAUAAUUGAUAUGCCAAUUUGUAUAGUACACAGACGGAAUUUUUAUAUUAAGUAUUACUUGUGUUAUUAUGUUUCUUUGUGCAUUUGCAAUUAAAAGUUUAACUGCCUAGCAAUAACUAAAAACAUGAAUUAUUGAUUUGAGAAAUGAUAAAGAGUCCACUCCAAUCCCACAUAAACUCGACUAAAUAAUAAAUAAAAAGUUGAAUUAUUAACUAAGCUACCUCUAAUUGUGAAUUAGUGAGAAACUUGCCCCAAAAAUUUGACUUGGAGGGGUUGAAGUGCGAUUCAUUGGUGGAAUACACAUAUAUUUCAUUUGAUUUUAACUUUAUUGCUUUUUCAUUUAUUUUUAGGGAACAGAAAAAAUUGAGGGCAUAUGUUUGGAUAUGUCAAAAGUAAAAGAGCUCUGUCUUAAUCCCAAUACUUUCACACAGAUGCCUAAAUUGAGAUUUUUAAAGUUCUAUAGUUCAUCAGUCAAUGGAGAGAACAAAUGUAAGAUAUCUUAUUUGCAAGAUUCCGGAUUUGCUGAAGUGAAAUAUCUUCACUGGUAUGGAUAUCCGUUGAAGUCAUUGCCGUCAAACCUUGGUGCAGAGAAACUUGUGUUACUUGAAGUGCCUGAUAGUGACAUUGAACGACUUUGGGAUUGUGUGAAGGUAUGCAUAUCUUAUUAUAUAUGUGCAAUCUUUCAAUAACAACCUUAAAUUAUUAUACGUGGUAACGAUUUUGUCUUGGCCUCUUUUUUGACCGAGCAGCAUUAUAGUAAGUUAAACCAGAUAAUCCAUGCUGCCUGCCAUAAGCUAAUUGCCAAAAUUCCAAAUCCCACGUUGAUGCCACGUCUGAACAAGCUAGUUACGUUGAAUCUAAGAGGUAGCAAAAGCCUGAAAAGUCUUCCAUCUGGACUUGGAAUUUCUUACCAAACUUGAUCUUUCGGGCUGCUCAAAACUGAAAAGGCUUCCAGAGAUCUCAUCAGGUAAUAUAAGCUGGUUAUUUUUAAGUGGAACCGCAAUUGAAGAACUACCCUCAUCAAUUGAGCUUCUACAUAGGCUCGGGUACUUGGACCUUUCAGAUUGUAAAAGGCUUAAGAGUCUCCCAAGCAGCCUCUAUAAGUUGAAGUCUCUUGGACUUCUUAGUCUCCGUGGUUGCUCAAAUCUUCAGAGAUUGCCCGAAUGUCUUGGCCAAUUAUCCUACCCAAUAAUAUUGAAUCUAGCGAAAACCAAUAUUGAGAGAAUACCAGAAAGCAUUAUCCAACUUUUCGUGUUGGGGUACCUCCUCUUAAGUUAUGGUGGGAGGUUGGAAUCCGGACAAAAGCCUUCAUUCCUUGAACGAGGUUGCUUGGCACUGCAACCAUUUUUAGGUUUGUUCUCUAAGUUAUGAAUCUUACAGGCAAUUUUUUUUGACCGGAGCAGUAAUUUUAAAUUGGAAGGUAAUUCUACUGCAGGAAUUAUUGAAGAUACCCUGAGAAUUCAGCAUACGAACCAUAUGCCCGAUGUACGUUUGCAAGAAAUAUGGCAAGAAGAUUGGCUAAAUGUGUGUCUUUAACUCUCUCUACUUACAAUUUCUACAAUCUUUUUUUUUUUGGGUUUAAAAUUAUGUUUUUUUGGUACAGAGAGGUUUUUCCAUGGGCAAAGGUCAUAUAGUACUACCUGGGAAUGAAAUUCCAAAGUGGUUUGAGUUUCAAAGUGUGGGAUCUUUUAUAACCUUGGAGAUGCCGCCAGAUUCCUUCAAUAAUAGCAGAGUGCAGGGCAUUGCAUUUAGUGCUAUUUUAGCAUUUUCAGACCGUCACGUAGAUUGUGGCAGAUGGUUUUCAUUUUCUUUUGAGCUCAAAGUGAAAACCACCAAAGAUUGUGGUACGCAUGACACACGAUUACUUCAUAGCAGAGUUAAUUAUGUAGAAUCAUAUCACUUACAUUUGGGGCACUAUCUGUUCUGUGAAGAGAAUUUUAAUGGUUUUUGGAAAUGCAAUUGCAUUCUUGAGGCAGUCCACUUUAAUGUUUUUCCCCCUUUGGAGUGCCAGUGCUGCGGGGUGAAAAAAUGUGGGAUCCAUUUACUUCACACCCCAGAUCCUACGUCAAUGGAAGACCCAAGCACAUGUUUCAACUGUAACGAAGAAGACUGAGAUAGGUGUCAUUUUCACUCAACUCACCUGAGUUGUGAAUCCAUUUGCUUAAACAUGUAUGCACUUUUUCAAGUAUCUCUACCAAUUCCAUAUUUGGAAUGGUGCAUUUGAUUCCAUAGUUGAUUUGGUAUCGUCUAUGGUUAGAAUUUAUAUUUACAAAAAUGACUUGUAAGGAAAGGAUUGAAGAUGCCUGUGAACUUAUAUUUCGAUUUAGAUUAUUGUAUCUUUUUCAUGUAUAAAAUUGGAUCCUAUCAUUCACAUAUCAUUGACAUGAGCAAUAUGGAUUACUAAAUCAUUAUUCUUUAUUAUUGUGCUGAAUUUGAUUUUUUAUUGAAUAAUUUGAUAUAUUUCUUGAAUCAAUUUGGAGCUUCUACAACUUGUCAGAGAUCAGUUUCUCCAACAUUCCUUUCGGCGCCAAAAGAUAACCAAGCGGUUGAAUAAGAAUUGAUAUAUACAACAUAAAUACAAGAGUUGUUUUGUCUUUUUACAAUAGGAAGAAUACAUAAUGCUCGUUAAAACUUGCUGAUGAGAAAGUAAAUUCCUCAGAAAUUAAAUGUUUCAGCCAACCAAGGAAGCAGCUUUUCAUGGACCAACUCAGACUUGUCGUCAUGGGGGCAAUGUCCUACUCCUUCCAAUACAAUUAGCUUCACAUUUGAGAGUUUAGAAGGCAGAGAUGAGAAGUAUUUACCAACAGGUCCAUCGAGGGGUGUGAAUGGAUCCUUAUCACCCCAUAAAACUAGUACAGGUAUAGAGAUUGAUGGCAUCAAUUGAACUGGGUUCGGCCCUGGUGGGCCUGUUACAAUCGAAACAAAUGCAUCAAGUGCCCCUUCCUCAUUGGCAGGCUCUCGUAUGAUCUGCAGUUUUGAGGUUGAUUCAUGAAUUCUGAGUAGCCAUGUUUGUAACAGGUUAAAAUGGCAUAUAAGAGGAGAAUAUUAAUACCUCAACCAGUGUUUCAUCCACAGAUUCCUUAUUUGCAUAAAUGGACAGUAAAAUAUUCCUCAGUGUUUCCCUACAGCACCAAUAUAUGAACAUCAUAGAGUUUUUUUUUUAAAUUUUGACUCUAGUGUCUUGGGAUAAUGAACAAUGGACUGAAUAGAGAGAAGAGAAAAUACCUUUGUUUCACACGCUCAAAUAUAGCAGAAGCAAUUGGCCUUUGCUUCAACAAAAAAUCAAUGAACCAAAGCAAUGGUAACAAUAGCUUGAUUCUCCAAUCAUCAACAAUUGCCUUGUUGUUCAUGCCACCAGCACAAUUCAACAGAACAAGCCCUCGAACAAGGGUUUGACUGGAUUCUUAUGGUAGAAAAUAUAGCAGGUUUGUCGUAAACCAUAGAUACCAAAAAGGAUAAUUAGGGACAAGUGAUUCUUUGCAAGCAAGUUGAAGAAUAUCUGAUGUCAAAGGGGAAGUUAAAAUAAAUAUACCUGAGGCAGCGAUAACACAAGCUAGGCUUCCAACAGAAUUACCUAUAAGCACAGUUGGCUUCUGAACAACUUCAUCCAAGAAAUCCAAUAUUAGCUGUAUCAGUGAAUCUCACUCAAGUUAGCAAGGAAAAUAACUAAAGUUCAAGUGAUUGAUGACGUAAGUACAUAGAAAGAUCCAACUUCUGGGUAGGGAACAUUGCACACCUGAGCCCAUGCCUCCAUGGUAUAUGAAUAACCAGCUGGCUUUUCUGAAGCUCCAAAUCCAAGAAGGUCAAUUGCAUAAACCGUGUAGCUCUUUGCCAGGGUGCCGAUAUUCCUGAAAUUACCUCAGAGAUGACAAGAAAAAUAUCAAUUCCUCGCAUUAUUUAAUAGGAUAAAGGAGUAGUGAACACACAAAUUUUCAUUCCCCUCUUCUACGGAGCGGUAAAAUGAAUACUUUUUCACUAGAUUAAGAAUCGGAAAAUGGAAGAAGCAUAUAUCCAUAAAAGGGUAAUAUGAAAUGGAACCCUGAAACUCAGAUCACUGGUUUGUCAUCGUCUAGGUGCAAGGAAUAGAACUAAGUGUUAAUGCCAAUGCACCAUGAAAUAAUGAAUAGAUUUUACUUUCAUUAUUCUUUUGCUUCAUUGAUCUUAAUUAAUUAUUAGAAGUAUAACACAUAUAAAUCCAUCCCUGGAGUUCAUAAUACAUAACAGAGUCAGAGAUAUUACAUACAUAAGGUAAAGACAUGCUCCAUACAAAAAAUAAAAAUUACAGUCGAAAAUACCCAGAACAUAAUUUGAAUUGAAUUCACAAUAAAGGAGCUACAUUUUUGUGCACCCAAUAAUCAACCCGCUAGACAAUUCACAACAACAAAGAGCAAUCUUAUCUCGCUAACCUGCGCCAGUGAGGAAUGGAGGCACCAAAGCCAUGGACAAGGAGUAGAGGAGGAGAAUCGGGAUGUGAAUUUGGAGUUGAAGAAACCAAGUAAUUGAUGGAGUACUGACCCUUCCAUUUCCACAUUUUGUAACUCUCCCUUAUCUCAUUAACCUCCAGUUCCAGUGCAGCAGAAGCAGAAUCCCCUCCACUGCUACUGUUAGUAUAACUGAUGGAAACAUUUUGUCUCUUCUNNNNNNNNNNNNNNNNNNNNNNNNNNNNNNNNNNNNNNNNNNNNNNNNNNNNNNNNNNNNNNNNNNNNNNNNNNNNNNNNNNNNNNNNNNNNNNNNNNNNUCUUUUCUUACUUUUUCAAUUGGAUAUUUUCUGUGGCCUGGCUUGGCCUGCUCCUCCCCUGCUUCCACCUCUAUGAGACUGUGGCUAUGACAAAAACUUUUUAUAUACUUAUUUAUUUAUUGGGCUUAUUCCACUAUAAUAUAAAAAUUUUACUGAUAUUCCUCAAAAAUCAAAAUGAUAAUACUUCGUCUAAAAAAUAAUUAUAAAACAUACAUGCUAUGUUUUUAAAUUUUCAAACAAAGAAGAACUUUGUAGAGUUAAUUAACUAGAUUUUCUUUAGUUUACUUUCUUGUGAUUUAGAUUAUUUUAUUAUAUUUAGCUACAAAGAUUGCUUUGUCAUAAGUUUAAAUUGAUUAUUUUACCCUUAUAAGGUAAAACCAUUAAGAAUUUACUCUAAUUUCAAUAUUUUUUUAAUUUUAUACCAAAUUCAUUGUUUCUAAUACUACUUUACUAGUAUGAGUUUUAAUCUUUAAUUAAACUAAAAUAGUAUCUUUAGGGCAUGAUACUCAUGUAAAUUAUUGGGAUGUCAAUUUUAUGUUAUUUACACACUAGAGAAAAUCACAAUUAGAUUUUAUUUUAAAAUAUUAUACUAUAAGCCACAAAAUUAGAUACAUAAAUUAUUAGAUACAAUAACUUGUGUUUAUUAUGGUAAUUUAGUCGCUAUAUAUCAUAAUAAUAAAAUACUAAAAUAAAACUUGUAUUAAAGUUUUAUGAUUAAAGAUGGUCAAAAAACCCAAGAAAAAAAUUAAUAGAAGGAUUUAACUGAUUAACUAUACAAAAUUUUUAUUAAUUUGUAUUUUUUAAAAAAAUAUUGUGAAUUCAUUGCAAUUAGUUUCUAGAAGUAGGGUGAAUUUACAAAAAUAGUGGGGUGCAAAUACCCUUACCCAGAUACUCCAUAAAAAGUGAAAACUAUAUUACCUUUUUUGAUGUACUUCUCUUGAAUUUUUUAUUUCUAAGGAUAAAGUUUAAUUCAUUCCUAAAUAAAAUGAUAAUCUCUAAUUUGCUCUCAAUGUAAACCUCAAUUUAUUCUUCAUUUCCGUCCAAAAGAUGAGGGGCAAAUAAGGAAUGUGUUCAUGGUUUUUUUGUUUUAAUCUUCUUAACAGGAUCCAGCUACUUUGCGUCAGGGGUUUGGUACCCCAGUCUUUUGUCCUAUAGCGAUUAAGCCUUUAGAUUGGUUGCAAAUAUAGUUGACGGUUGAGAUUUAACAGUUUGAAAAUGGGUAACCGGGUAGAAGAAUAGUAUCAGUAAAACAAAAAAGAAAUGGUAAUGAACGUCUUUCUCCCCACCGCUGAAGUGUGCUGUAAUAUUGAAACUGUUUUCAGAAGCUUCAAUUAGUGGGUCAGUUAAUUUUCUUAGGUUGGGGUUUGGGAAAAAAAGUAUUGAUUUAGAGGGUGAGUGGGUAGAAAGUAGAUUACGGGUACUGUGGCGUAAACUGGGGAUUUAAGUGAUGAAUAAGUUACGCUGUUAGGUUAGAAGUUGUCGUCAUUUGCUGUCAUCUAGGUCAACAUACAACCAUUUGAGUGGUGCUGGAGUAAAGUGAGCAGAGCUAAACUGUAGCGAUUUCUGUGGAGAGUUAUAUUUGGAGGUCAUAUCUGCUCGCAAUUUCGUUGCAAUUAGUUGUCCGCGGGAGCCUUAAUACGACAUUGAGGUAUGUAUUAACUGUGAAAAUUUAUAUGUGGCUCUUAAUUUGAGUGCACGUGUCUAAAUAGUAAACGGUAGUUGAUUGGGUACGCAUGAACAAGUAAAAAUAGGCAUAGAAUGUUAGGUUUGGUUGUAAAAUAGCAAUUGGGAGGAAGAAGUAGAAAUUGGGAAUAUAUUAUGUUAUGAAAAUUGAUAUGUUAGUUAUUAUGCAACUGAUAGAAGGAAACCUUGAUGAGGUGAUUUAGAUUUUGAUAGAUAAAUAUAUGUGAAACAGUAGACAUCAGAUUAAUAAUUAGUGUAUAGGCAUGAAAAGGCAGGAUUAUUUGAACAAGCAAUUCUGGAAAAACCAAACAUUGGUGGUUGUUGUACAAGCAUUGCAAAAAAUGUUAAUAAUUUAUAAUGGCGUAAGUAAUGUAGAAUUUGUUUGGCUUGUACACAAGUGUGUUCAUUUAAGUUGAUGUUAAUUCGUGAGUGGAAUAGGGAUGGUUUAUUCGGUUAUGGAAUGUGAGGUUGGUUUAUUUCGAAAAGACUUUAUGAAAUGUAGUAGACACAGCUGUUGGAAAUAAUUUGCCACAUAUUUAAAUGACAUUGAGAUUUGAAUAAUUGCAUUUCAGCUGACAGGUAAAGGAAAUAAUGUUUAUUCCAUAAUGGAAAACAGUAUAAAUGAUAGAUUAUGGUUGAAAUAGGUUGCAAGAAUGGAUGGAGUGACUAGUCGCAAGCGAAAGGAAUGGGAUUCCAGCAGGUGCAAUGAAUGUGUAGAAGAUGGCAAUGGUGGAGGAAAUGAAGGUGCUCGUUGCAACAAUGGAUUCGUAACUUUUUUGUAAGUUAUGGGGUUUAAUUUAAUUUGGGUAAAAAAAUUAAAGUAAAUGACAGCCGAAGAUGGUAUUUAUGUGAACUGUGAUGAAUAAUGAGUUGUGCUUUGGUUUAUUAAUUUGAUUAGUGGGGAAGCGGUACGACGAAUGAAGGCAAUCGAUGGAAGGGCAUGCAUUACAAAAGAGGUGAGUAAGUUGAAAGUGUAGUCGAUUGUGUAAAAAAUGAAUUUGUGGUUGUUUUUUAAAAUGACUAAAGCAUAUGAGGGGAAUGACUCAGGUUCGAAAGGAAAUUGGACAAGAAUUUAAGAAUUUGCCACCUGAACGGAAAAGCAAAUAUAGAAGUCAGCAGCAUCGAGAAGACAAAUAUGUGGAAGGUGAAGCCAAAUUUCUCACUAGGUGUGCUCCUGAUAGGCUAGCAGCCCUUAUAGCAGAAUUGACAGAGGAACAAAAAGAAGCAGCAUCUGAGAUAGGAUUGGGCAGAUUGAUUCAGCUGAAUUGUGGAAGGCUGAAAAGGAAACUAUGCAGUUGGUUAGUUGAAAGGAUAGACACAGCGAGUUGCACAAUAGAUUUAAAUGAUAGUAAGGUAGAGCUUAGUGGUCCUAGUUUUAGUUACAUAAUGGGAGUUAGUGAUGGUGGAAUACUUCUUCAGUUGGAGGGUGAUAAGUCUCGAGUGGCGGAAUACUUACACAAGUUUAAUGCAACAUCCAGUGGAAUUAACAUUAAAAGAUUGUCAGAUAUUUUACGUAAUUGUAGGGAAGCCGACGAUGAUUUCAAAGUGACAUUUAUGCUAUUUACAUUAUGCACUGUUUUGUGUUCUCCAAUAGGGGUGCACAUCAGUUCGUCAUUUUUAUUUUCGUUGAUCCAUAUUAACUGUAUAAGGAAGAUGAAUUGUGCAACGUUUUGUUUCGAUAGAUUGAUGCAAGGAACAAUUAGGUACAAGGAGGACAAGCUUGCAUACGUUGGUGGUUGUGUCCUAUACCUAGAGGUAAAUAAAUAAUUAAUGUCAUUCCAUCUACCCUUAAUAUUUAACUGAUUUGGUUGUAUUGAUUCGUUGUGAAUAUACCAUUUCUAUUGAGAAGUAAUAUCUUCUAUCUAUGGUUGUAUCAUGUGUCAGUUAUUGUUCUUUAAUUCAAUUGUGUACGGAGGCCUUUAUCGAGAUAGAUUAAUCUGCCCAGUGGCACUAUGGAAUGUUGUCGAGAUAAAGAGGUUGCUGAAGUGGAUAGAGAAGAAAGGGGGUUAUAAAAGCACAAGGGUAAGUUGUUCACGUGAAGACGAACUUGUCGGUAGAGAGAAAGUUACAAUGUUAGGAGCAUUAUAUGAACUUAACUGUGUAAAUUGUGAAUGUGAUUUUACAAAGAAAAUAAUUCUGUAACAUUGAAGUAUGUGUAUACUUUUAUAGUUGGCCAUUAUUGAAAACCCGGCCGGGGGGAGGCCACCUGGUGGAGGCAGUUAUACUUGUUCAGAUGAGGAGUGUAUCAGUGGCGUUAACAGAUAUGAAUGGAGUGCAACACCUUUGAUUGUAGAGGGCAAUGCUUUUGAGGCAGUUGAUACCUGCAGCCUGUCAAAAGGAGUUGUUGGAAACAUUGAUAUUGAAGGUUCAAGUAUACUUUGUUUUGUUAAUAAUGCAUCAGCAGCUGAAAGUCGACAAUCAUGUAGGGAGCAAAACAAGCAUCUAUCACUGCAGUACAGGGCUGGUCCAUUUGUGGUUCCGAUGUCACUACACUCGGAAGAGAUAAUGUUACUGGAAUACAUAAUGGCUGAAGACCUAGACGAAUGGUAAGUAACAAUGUACAUUGACGGCAAAUAUUGGAUACGAAUUAAGAAAUUCGUCGUAAGGAACGGAAACGUACCAUUGAUUUCGGAGAUGUUUAACUUUAUAAAUGGUGCUAACUUAUGUUGUUGGAUUCAGGGAGACACUUGUGAAGACCAAAAGAAAUUGUUUGAGUAGGAAAACCAUUAUGUCAUUAGCACUUCGACAGGUUAUCAAUGCUGAGGUAUGUUUUAAGAAUAUUGUUGGAAGUGUCCUUCAUAUUUGAUGCAUAUGUUUUGUGAUGGAAAUUAUUUAUUGGCCAAACUUGUGAGGUAGUUGUACUGUAACGACUGUAUCAUGAUGGGAAAUUAUUUCGUCUUCUAGGUUAUUUCUACACUGUCCGAAAUGCUGAGUGAGUUCCAGUUGUUCAAUGGCACAACAGGCCACAUUAGUUGGUUUCUGCCGGUGCUUGACAUGGUACAUGAGUGGGCAACUAAAAAUUUCCAACAUGUUUUAUGUUUGACGGAAUGGGGAGUUUAUCGAUAUCUGACUGAUUAUAGUGUGUUAUGAUUAUUUAUGAUUGGAAGUCAGGAUAAUCGCUCGUCCAUUUUGUACGGUGCAAACCUUAUCAUUACUUGAUACAUGAAACUUAUCAAAACUUCACCCCAACUUGCAGGCACAUGUCGCGGGCGACAAUCGUUUGUUGGAGAUGUGGUUACGCAAUAUAGCAUCCAAUAAUCAAUGUUGCACUUACAAGGCCUCAUGUGAUAGGGUAGAGUAAAUAUAGAUGCUUUAUUUUUACUAUAUGAGAUUUGUUUAUAGUAGACUGCAAUAUGAUUGUUAAUGUUUGUACCGGUGGUAAGACAGAUUGUUGUCCCCAUAUGCGAUGGGAUCGGGCAUUGGUACUUGCUAGUAGUUAUUAUUACAGAGCUGCGCGCUGAGAUAUGGGAUCCACUGGCAAGCAGUAUGACGACAAACCUAUUUCUAAUGGAAGUGCAUCGCAUAGUGAGUGUAGCCUUUACUGAAACAGUAUAUGCAGGCUAUCACAACUUUGUAUCUUUUGAAUUUCAUGUUUUCAUUAAUAGCAUUUUAUACAUGGCGAUGAUUAAUGACAAUGAUUUGAUUUUACAGCUUAAAUGUUUGGAUGUGGUUCUGAAAAAUGAGCGGGCAAAUUUAUGUCCUGGUGGUAUUAUAUUUUCGAGUUGUGAAGUUUCACAUCCAUCAUUAAAGGCGAAAGAGCUGCAUGGCAUCGAUUGUGGACUAUAUGUUUGUCUGUUAAUGAAGCAACUUCAUCACAGGCAACGACCUUUGACAAAGGUACUGACAUGAGUAAUUCAUGACUUACCUUAAUAGAUAUGAGGCGUACAAAUCAAGAGAAAUUGCAUUAAUAUGUUUUUGUCUUAGAUGCGGUGCGAUUCAGAUGCAGAACGAUCAAGCCUUAUACUGCAGUUGGUACACUUUCGGGAGAACUUAGUUAAGGAUAAAAUUGUGGAGAGUGCUACCAGCUACCGUAAGCAUAGACAAGCAUUUGUUACCGUAGGAGAAGGAGAAAUAAAAAGACAGCAAAGGCGGAAUAGAUUGAAAUCAAAGAAAAUGGGGCAUGGCCAACGAAGGUAGAUGUUCUGGGAUCGAUCUGUAGAUUGUUGGUUAUUAUGUGGCUAACUAACCAAGUUUGUUGUUGCUGAUAUAUUGCUUUCCAACUGAAGACUAAUAAUUAUCCAUUUAUAUUAAUGGGGGUGGUAGGGUUGUAAUAUACGAAUUACCUUUAUAGCAUCCGGUAAUUACAAUUACAACUAUGUACAUAUGAACUUCUGUUAAUUAAUGAUUGAAAUGUUGUUAUAGCACUGACCAUUUUACACAUACACCUGCAAGAGUAUUAUUAUGGAUUACAGUUUAACCAACAAUUCGUCAGGACAUGUACGGUGUAAGUGGCUGUGGAUUAUUUUAUCAAUAAUGUGGUGCUUGUUAAACUAACAAAGACAACGAAAGUAUAUUGGCAAUGUGUGUACAUUGUGUUACAAAUAUGAUAGUAAUUUCCAGAAGCUACCGUUAUAUCCCCUGUAAUCCACACACUGUGGCCCUGCGUUGUACAAUUGUGAAGGCCGUGCAACAGAUAUUAAUUUUGCCUGCAUAUGGCUAUCAGUAACAUCAUUCAAACUAUUAGUUAAUUACACACAUUUGCAGUGUGAUGGUUAAUGCAGUUUAUCUGUUACCGUUACUGUAAAAGUUGCUUCAUUUUACUAAUUGUAAACCCUUUGACUUAGGAAGAAGUUUGGUUGUUAAAUUAAUAACAUUGACUCACUGUAAACGGAGGUAAGGGUUACUCCAUACUUUCAGAAACCAGGAUUACAUGGUUGAUUCAUAUUCGAUUCCCACCCCAAAUAUUAGCAUACGUACUGGCAAAAGUUGAUGCACUUGCGUUAUGGACAACAUAAUCUGGUAACAAGUGCUGCAGCAUUGUGUCCUCCGUCGAAUCGUUAUCUGUACUCAUUGCAUACGGCUGGGACCACGAAUUUGAACUGGUAGCACGGCUGUUGCGACUUUGCUGUGAGCAAUGUUGGUCGUAUUCGUUGGUCCUGUUAUGUUCUUUUCCCUUGUCUGUAAUUCCUGAACGUCUCGUUGCAGGCAAUGCAGUGUUCUCACCCAUGAACUGACUGCUUUGGUUUGGAUUGUCAUUAUGGUCCCCAUCCGGCUGUAUAAUAAUUUUGCACUUUCGUACGGUAUGUCCUCCAUUCCCACAUCGGCUGCAUUUUCUCUGUUGUGAAGGACCCAUUUUUGGCUUCUUCUCACAUCCUUUUGUCAGUACAACCACGGGGUCAUUAACGUCAAAUCUUCUCCCCAAAUUCCCCUUUGGUCUUUCUUUAGCUAUUUCACAUGACAUGGGCUCCAAUUGCAUGGACAAUUUAUGUAUUCCUGCAAUAGCUAACUCAUAUGCCUCACAACGUUUUGCUGCAACCUUCUGAAGGGUCCGACAAGCAGCAUGAAGGGAGCCCAUGCGUGCGUCAACACUCAUGUAAUGUUGCCUCAAUGUACAUUGGACCUCUGAACUGAGGCCAAGUUUGGCUUUUUUAGUCCAUCGAGCUAAAAUCAUGGAAUGCGGAAUUGAGUCUACAUUUUCUACCUUCAUGACAGCAAACAUAUGCGAACAAGGUAUUCCUAGUGUCUCUAUCAUCAGACAGUCACAAGACACAUUAUCCCAUUUCCCUUGUAUGUUAACCCGCCAUUCCUCAUUUGAAACUUUCCACUUCUUCACUGUGAAUGAUUUAGAUUUUUCUUCGCACGACACUUGUACGGCUAUAUGCAUCCCUUCUUGCAGUAUUUGAUCCCUCACCAGUCGAAAUAUUGGUCUGGUAUAAACAUCGGCAGCCGCUCACUCAAACGGCUUCAUAUGCGUCAUAAGCACAGGCUGGUCGUCUGCACUGUCAAAAUCAUCCUUCCCUUCAACCUCUCGUUGCCUAUCUAUUAGCCUAUCCAUUUGCUUCACAAAUGCUAUGAGCCGUAGUUUGAUGCUCACAUAAUGGUUAAGAUAUGCAUUCAAUCCUUCUGAUCGUUGAGUGCUUCUCAUUCCACCGAAGAAUUCCCCCCUCAAAUAUGCUUCAGCCCACAUAGUCUUCUCCCUAUACAUCUUCAAAACCCAUUCAUGGGUUUCAACAUUGUGGCGUUCAACCAUUUCUUUCCACUUUUGUUCAUGGGUUUCAACAUUGUGGCGUUCAACCAUUUCUUUCCACUUUUGCUCAAACCGAUCUUUGGUAUAUGCUCGCAACAUGCAUCGACUAAAAAAGUCUGAUGUGAACUCUUUGUUCACAUUAGCUUGUGCAUUUCGGCCAAGAUGCCAACAACAAAGCCUGUGAUGAGAAUGUGGAAACUUCUUCGAUAUAGCAUUCCGCAUGGCCUUAUCACCAUCGGUGAUAACUGUUUUUGGUUGUUUCCCCUCCAUUGCUGAUAAGAACGUGUGCAAUAACCAAGUGUACGUGUGUUCAGUCUCAUCUGACAACAAUGCAAACCUGAAAACAAUGGUCCUCCUAUGGUGAUUUACACCUAACAACACAACAAACGGCUUACGAUAGGCAUUUGUGCGGUAUGUCGCAUCAAAUGCAAUAACAUCACCAAAAAUGGCAUAAUCUGCACGUGCUCCACCAUCACACCAAAAUAGAUCCCCUAAUCUGUUAUUCUCAGUAACUGUGAAGUCAUGAUAGAAUGCGUGAUCCGCACUCUUCUUCCCUUCUAGAUAUGACAAACAUGUCUCCGCGUCAGAUUCCUUCAACUGUCGCCAUUUGUGAUCGUCCAAUCGAUUUUGGACAUCUCUCCUCAAAUAUCCAACCUCCCUGUACCCACCACACCUCUCCACCAUAUAUUCGUGUAUCUGUGAAGGCCUUACUCCCACUUUAUUCAACGAAGAUGCAGCUGCUAGAUCUGGCUCCGUUAUCCUUCUGUGAGAUCUGAUGUAGUGUACUUGCUGUGGAGGUGUUAAGGGGUGAUUAUGUUUGCCAUUAAAAUGAGUACAUACCCAUCCACUUUCCCCCUGUUUGGCCCCAAUUCGAAACUCAACCUCGCACCCUGUUCUUGUUAUAGGUCUUGCCUCUCGUUUUCGAUUAUCUCGAGCUAAAAACUUAUGACUCCUAAACCCCUGCUUACUGCAUACCCAAAUCCUUCCAAUUAACAUACCUUUUGUGUUCCAUCUCUUAUUGUGCCUUCUGACCCCAAAUCCUAUGGCCCUUGCAUAUUCAGUGAAAAAUAAUUCAGUUUUUUCUUCUGAUGCAAACUCCUUCCCAACAACAUCCAUUGAUUUCAGGACCUCGUAAUUAGUUGUCUGUCCCUCGGUAGUGCCUAUCUCCCCAUGUAAAUGGCUUUGUGAUGGAUUGUUUUCAGAUGGGAUUGGUGCUUGUUCAUUUGCUCCCCCAGUAAGUGUUGGAAGUUCAUCGCCUGACUCAUCCGGGCAGCCGUCUUCACUAUCUGAAUAGCUUCCAGUUUCAACGACGUCAACAAUUUCAUAUGCAAUGUCGCUGUCCGCUUCACUAUCUACAUCAGAAGACAUAAUAUCUCCAGCGUCUGCAAGAACAACGAAAACUCAGAAAUUGUGCUUAAGCAUUAGCCUCCAUCGGUAUGCAUUACAGGUAACGGGACUAACCUAUUAUAUAAUUAUUCAUAUGUAAUACAAAAUUCUGAAAUUCAAAUCAUAGAUGAAAGUGACAAAUUAACAAGGCAUCAAUGUAAACGGGAUUAGCAACGAAAAUAAGCUAUUUAAUUAUAAGUGAAAUUUACUUUAAGCAAGCAUGAAAACUACAAUAAAAACAGCGUUUGAUUUAGAAGACAGCAUCACAAAGCGCUCUCAAUGCCACAAUCUCAUAUCCGUAAGCCGAAAUUAAACUCCGAACUUGUCUUCUAAAUUGGUUGGUUAUACAUGCAGUAGCUAAUUUUUUUCUCUCGUUUUAAACAGAAUCAUAACAGCAUAAAAUUACCAAAAUUACAAAAUUACAGAAAAAUAACAUAGAAACCACAGAACCUGCGUAAUUUAUUCCAUGAUAACUGUUUGGUAAAACAAAACUAGGACAUAAAAUUGAGAGUUACCUCAAGCUUUUAACUAAAAAAGAUUUGCAAAAGUUACGACGGAAAGAUGAGAUUAAUUUAAAAAUACACAUAAUAUAUGAAUUAUGAAAGAGUGCGGAGGAAUAUGUGCGUGUGUAUUUCAUAUAUAUAACUGUGGGUACCCGCGUUCAAUUGUAAACUAAUUGUGGACAGGGUAGUAUUUUCCACUCAAUUGAGAUAGCCGAUAAAUUGCGCGGAGAUGACACAAACUUCCUGUUCUUAUCGGAUUUUGAAAGUAUGCUCGUUGCACUACGACGCUACCUCAAUGCAGUUACUUGGUGGUGUUUAAAUGUUAUCUUCGGCGGGAAAGUUACUGGUAAUUCCCGCUAUUAAGUUAUUUAAUUUUAGUGGUUCGGUACCUGGACAACUACGAUUGUCCACGUGACAACUUUAAACAAAAUAUUGAUGAUUUUGUCAUUAAUUUUGACAUGGGUCAAACCCGAACAGCGUUAAACGACGCCAUUUCGGGUAAAAAAUAUAAUUUCUUUUCUUCGCUUUCGAACGAUGCCGUUUACAGAAUAAUGAAACACAAAUCAAAAUAACUAUCGUCGAACCCAUUGCCCUUCAUCUACGAAACAACCCCCCUUUCCCUUGAACAAUGUUAUCAACAGUAAAUUUUUAAGCAGCACACGGAACCAAAAACACUUGGUUCACAGGAAAUCACAACAAACAAAACCAAAUGCAUUAACACAUCAAUGUCUACAUGCCAGAAAACAAUUCCAUACAUGACAACGAAAACUUAUCGGUAAACAUCCACAAGGUGGCCAUGACAAUUAUAGGGUAAACAGCCACAAGUGGUACUAAUGAAACAUCCAUAAAAAACUCAUACAAAAACCAAAAUUCCCCCAGGACCCACAUCAUUGCAGCGGAACCACCAACACAUCUUACCUGGAUGCUUUCAUUUAAUUUCAAUUGUAGUCUUCAUGGAUGCUCUCGGCAACUGCAAAAUUGACUCCCGAAGGUUGGCCCGGUUUUCUUUUGGUACGGAGGCCUUCGCCCACAUCAGCAUCUUCUCCAUCGUUGCUGCAAACUGUAAUAAGUACUUCAGCAGGGGCCUUUCAUCCUCGUCACCCUGAACGCCCUUGAUUUCAAUGUUCUUCACAGUGUGCACCAAACAGUGUGGCACAUCAAAAUCACUUUCAAGCCAUCCAAACUAUUCUUCGAUGAAUUGAAACCAACAUUCCUGAUGUCAAAGACGACAACGUAUUAACUUUUAAUGUGUUCACUGAACUCAUUAUCAUUGCAACUCAAUAAGAUACUGACCUUGUGCAGGACAAGACUUUCCAAGUUCGGUGAGCUUCUUAGCACGAUCGGCAGUACUCGCCAUCUGAUGGGUCCUACCCCCAUUUCUAUGUAGUUCAACUGACUAAAACUGGGGAAGCAACUAUCACAAGCAUGGUCAACAGCCUGCACAUGACAAAACUAAUAUCAGACUAUGUUUAAUUAUCAUCAAAUCUUAUAAGCAUUUACUAAAUUCUAUAGCUACUAAAGUUGAACAUAAGUCGAGAUAAUUUUGCUUUAUCAAUGCUGAAUCAGAGAUACGACCAUGCUAAACCAUGCCUGUAUAAAGAUACUAGGGGACGAUAAGUAGUAACUGUGAUUACUUACAGACAUAAUGCCCGCAGAUAAAUGGAGAUACUUGCAGCUAUUGAUCCCGGCGAGCAAUUGAAUUGCCCGGUAAGGAUCAACCUGUGCCCAUUCCGCAUGCAUAAUAUCUAAUUUUACUUUUUUCAGUGAAUGCAGGUCAUGCAUUACAAACGAUCCUAAAAGGUCAGAAUAAAUUUCCAGGCUUUCCAGUUUCGGAGCAGUAAUUGUUAACAUAUAGUCCACUUCCCGAAAUAACAUAUCCUCUGAUCGAACUAUCAAUUUGCAGGUUUUCAGUGUCGCCGACGAGAUGAUCAAAUUUGGAGGAGGAGUAUCAUCAUGCAAUUCACACGUUACCGACAACUCUUCCAACGAAGGGCAGCUGCAAAAAAGAUUCUCAGUGACACUCUUUUCUGGGUUUUCCAGCCGAACACUUAGGAUUUUGACACUUGGAAAACAUGUCCCACUAUAAGGAACUUGGAUGGAAAAAUCUGAGUCCAGUGUAAGUACUUUAAGACAGGCUGCACUGUAAAUGGCUUCCGGUAACUCCACGGGCUCUGCUGGCCAAGGUAAAGUUGAAUCUCCCCAACUUCACGCAUAAGGGCGGUCGCAAUCCAAUCAUAGAACCUUGCCAAAUUUGUAGGUCUGGAGCAAUACAAAGAAAACUUGCCAAUCUUGGCGGGGUUUGUCCGAAGUAGGACUGUAUGCACAAAGUCUGCAAACCCACGCAGUGGAACAUAAGUCGAUGCAGGGGGCCGUAGGCAUAAUCUAUCAUCAAAGGACAAAUUGGGCACUGCAGUCCAGACAUUUUGCCACCGUUUAGCGAUAACGGAUGUGGCCACAGCGUGUUUUGUGGGUAUAUACGAAAGAAUAUGGCAAAGGACCGAAUCAGGUAAUGCACUGAUCCUGUCUGCAUUACCACGAUUUGUUUUUGGCCUCCCUCUCUUGCGUUUAGUCACAUUAUUCUGUCUGUCAUGCGCCAUUACUGGAAAAAACAAAACCUGCCGAUUACAAACACAUACAAUGUUCGGUAAUUAAAUAGCACAAAUAGUCAUAUAAAUUUUAUCAUACUCUUGAACUAGGGGCAGAGCUCUACUAUCUGCCCUUAUAGUGAUUUAAAUCAGUACUUUGGUUAAUGCACAGGCACAGCAAUUACAGCCACGACGCAAAUAUGCCUUACGGUGUUAACACUAAAUUUGAGACAUUCACGGCCGACGUUAAUCGCGAUUCCAUCAUAUAAGUUCAUAGUUUUACAAAUGACGGUUCCGAUAAACUAUUGUGUUGAAAUGACGAAAUUAAACUACAAAUUCAAUAACACAAAAAAAUAAAGCAGAUUCAACAGUCCACCUUCACAAGAUACCCCAUAAACUGACCUUCGGUUAAUUGGGGCCAACCCUGGAGACAAAGUCCACGUCGCUUCCUUACCAGCAAACACGCAAAUCGACUGGGUAUUACUUUCAUUCAACGGCCACAGGGACUAUGUUCUGUCGAUUGCUUAAAAAUGACUAUCCACCACAUUCGAUCGUCUUAAAUUCUAAAAAACGGUUUGUAGUAGCAGAGGGGGUGGUGCAGAUAAACGCAUUAACCGUUUCGAAUCUCGUCAAAUCAUUUUAAAUUUUAAAUCCUCCUUUGAAGUCUUAACCCGACGUCGUUCCUGUUAUAUCUGGGCCUGUUCGAAAUUGCCUUACACAACGUGGCCCACCAACCUCGAGCCCCCAACAUCGAAAGUCUAUGAUAUGCCAACGUUCAGGCUUCCACGAAGACUAUCUUCAUUCCUAAGGCACAGUCUUCUGUUCCCGGUAGGAAGGUUAGGAAAAUGAACCUGCUUCACUAUGAGACAUAUGCACAGGUUUUGCUUAUAAAUAUUGAACUGCUGUAAUUUCAAUGAGAUUACGUUUGACACAAUUACUUUGGUGUUGAUGCCGGGUUUCUUAUUCAAAUUAUUAUUAUGAUACAUAAAUGCUUUGUCAGAGGACUUUAUUUCACAUAAUAUCCACCUUAUAGAUAGUUGUUAAAUUGGUUGGUUAUAAUUUACAUGGCUGACCGUUGAUUAAAUAAUCAACAAUGUUAUUAACUUGAAUAUAUUACUUUUUUAAGUACUAACAACUACAUACUGAUUCACCUAUAUUGUCUUGGGACGUCAAGGGGGUUAGGAACAUGACAAUCUCAUUUUCGUUUCUUACUGAAACAUAUUCCAUUUACAAUACCACGGCUCCGAACAACGCAACCUGGAAUAUAUUAAGUUACAACACGUGUGUUCUUACGCCAGUAUCUUAAUCAACACCGCACACACAAGUACAAUGCAACCGAUGAAUAAUGCCAAAUUGCCUGCUUCUUUUAACCUAUCACCUGAAGUGGUUGCUUCUUCCAUCUGACCCUUGAAGGCCCCUGAUAAGUUCCCCCUUUCGGCUUCUUGUUCAACACCCGUGACACAUAUGGCCCCCUGUGCACGAUGAAAUGCUUGAAAUACCUCCUCAGCCUCUGCUCUGGUGGGGUAAGAUUGGUAAGAAUUUCUGGGAAAACCAAUCACUUGUCUCUGGCAUUCCGACCAUGAACCAUAAAUUCCAGGCACCCGACCCAGAAACAUCACAUAGUGUUUCCCCCGAGGCAUUGUCUACAAACAAUCAAUAUGAUUAGUACUGUUAUUGGGCAUAAUUUAUGAAAUUAAAUAUUAAUAAUAUGAAUAUAGGAUCGUUACACAAGACUUGUCAGACCAGGGAUAUAAGAUUAAUGCAUACAAAGGAUCCUGGAAAAACCCACAAUAAGCUUGGCCGGUUCAAUACGAUGUGCAUCAUAGACCAUAUGUCUACGAGGAGACAUAUAUUUGAGAAUGAGUACGAAUCCACGGAUGCGCCGGUCGGACAGAAAACAGAAUAACUUAAAAAAACUGACCUUCCUUCGCUGUUGCGUGGCGUUUGCUUUGGCGACCGUGGACCGCUGGGUAACGGCAACGUUUGGGGCUUCAAAUCUUGAUUUGAGAUAUCCAGAACAAGAUAUCACACGAGGCAAAAAGCUCCAAAGAUAUCAGUGGACGGCAGAGUAACCUUUAUUUCCAAGUUUCAACUAAGUGUUUGCGUCCAUUGACUGCUUCCUUAGGAACUGGCUGACGCUUAUAUAGUACUCCAGUGUUACUCACGUGCCAAACUCUAUGUUAUGAACGUGUGCGCCAACUAAGUUGGUGUAGUUAUCACCUGAAGGCCUCAUUUGCUUUAACUAUAAAUGCAUGAGAUUGCUUAAAUAAUCCUACUGCAUUGAUAGCCUUAAAAUAUUCAUUGUGGCAUCAAAUAAGUGGAGUUACUAUUUAGUACAAUCAAGUUAAAAACUUUAUGUCAAUGGAGGUGUGCCGUGAGCUAAAAUUUAGACAUAGGAUUGGAUAUGGAAUGAAGUUAAAAAUUCGUCCCUAUUACUCUGAUAAUUAAUGUUAUGUUUAUAAUGAAAUGAUUUAGUAAAAUAUAACAUUAAAACUAUAUCAUGUUAUAUAUAAGAAAUUAACGGAAGAAUUAACAUCUUUUAACAAAUGAUGUUAAUUAUUUAGUAAUUUAUUUAAGUUAUAUUUCAUGUCAUUUUAAAAUAAAGGUAACGUCAUGUUCAUAAAUGAAUAUAUAACACAUAUUAGUAGUUAAUAGCCAAUAUCAUGUCACACUAAACAUUAACCUAAAUUAUUUCUAUCCCAAUAGAACUUUGCAUGAAACAUAAUAUAGUAUUAUAAAUAGUUAUAAUUUAUUGCAAUUUUUUGUAAUAUAUUUAUAAUUUUCUAUACAAUAUAGAAAAAGAAAAAAAUAUAUUAUGAAUUAUAUAAUUUUUCAAUACAUUUCGACAUAUAACACAAAUGCGGCACCUCAUCGCAUGCACAAGCACUUAUGCUGUUAAACACAUACAAUGUUAUUGUAAAUAUACUUUGUACCUACAGUUUGAUAUAUGUCAUUCGAAUUAACCUAUCAUAUUAAUAAUUUAUGGCUUCGGUAUUAUUAUAACGACUACCCAUUGGUUAAAGCUGAUAAAUGUACUUACAAUAAGUUAUAUUAUUUGUACAGACAUAUGCAAUGGGUGGUCAAAUUUCACAGUGAAAUAGAUGUCAAUGGUAUUGUCAGUACUGCUUCUGCGUAGUUGCAUUUACAAUGGCUCACCCAACAAUUCAGCCAACAAUACUCCAGUUAUUGUUUGUGGGGGAAGGGAAAUCAUGACUGUAUGUGCAUGCAUUAUGGUUUGCCCCCAUUGACAGUUAUAUAUUUCCAACACUAUACAGAAUAUAAAUAACAAUGUGCUCAAUUAAUGGUUAUUAAUUGUACCAAUGUUUAUGUUUGAGCAGGACAAAGAAUAGUCUUUUGAUUAAUGACGUAGUUAUCCGCUAAGCAUCGUUAUAAUUAUUAGUUAUGCUAUUGGUGUUGUUAUUAGUAUAAUUGGGAUUUUCAUGGACAAUUGUGUUAUUCUUACCACCAGUAUUAUGCAAAUUUAUAAAGCAAUUAUUACUAUAGGGUAGGGUAUAACACCAUAACUCCUCGCAUAGUAAACAUGGAGGAGGGCACAUGGCACAGGUAAUGUGGCGGCAGGAACUAUAUACAACUGCAUGUUCGCAUAAAUACAAAAAACAAAAACAAAAAACCCCACCACAAAAGCUGAAGUUGGGUGCGACACCAACAAAAGGAGAUAAUCCAGGUCGGGUGGUGACACGUAGGUAAGAAAGGAAGAAAAGGACAAAAAAACCCCACAUUACAUUAUCACUAUCAAUUAACUAGUCAAACAACUUGGUCUGGAAUCGCUGUCGGAACUUCUGCAUCUCCACUUGGCCCUCCAGUGCGUCGUUGCUCAGAUGACUGGAAUGCAAAUAACAAAAUGUCAAUUACUAUACACAAAACGUAUUAACCCAUUUUAUAAUUAUAAACAUAUGUGAAGUUACACACGAUGCACCCUGUGGAUAUAGUGUGGGUAGAGUUCAAUGUAUUUAUACCUCCCCUUCAUUCCUUGCACAUGCCUUGGUUAGAAUAGGGUUAACGAGCUUGCAUGUACAUUUGCUAUGGCCCACACGACCACAAUUUUGGCACUUGUACUUGCGACGUUCAUUGGACUGCUCGUUUCCACCCGGAGGCAACUUCAGCAUGAGGAGGAACAACUGUACGAAUCUGAGAAGCAAUAGCAUUGUUUGGUUCACCAGAUGCAACUGCGGGUCUUGGGGUGUUUAUAGGAACAGCAACUGGAGGAGCAGCGGUCUGGGAUGCACUUUCAACUACAACUACCUCAACUGGGUUAGAAACGACCGAACGUAAAGAUUGGCCGUCAUGGCCGUGUACAAGGUUGGAUACAGGAGGAGGCAGCGGCUGUGAUUCACGUGAGUGAUCGUGGUUGGAAACAAUUGGACUCACAUGCUGUACUUCAUGGCCCUGUGGCAGACCACCCAAGUCAUGAAUAGCGGGGAACUCAGACGAAUUAACCACCAUUCCAGGAAGGUGCUGAAGGCUCCCAUGUGCAAUAAAGUACAACCAAAUGUACAGUCUAAAUUCUCCCCUGGAAAUGCAUUGGUGGACGAUAACCCUGAGCAGAGCAUCGUUGUGCACCCUAACCAUUCGACCCAGCCACCGGGGUGCCACCAUUGGCCUGAAGAUAUGGUUAGGUGGGGAAAACUCGUUAUGCAAGGCAGAUGAAGCCACAUUACACAGGUACAGUAUUUGGAAUCGAGUGGGUUGAUCUGUGUGAAUUGCAAUUCUGUCACCAAUAUAUUCCAGAACGAAUGUGAAUUCAAGGACCGCGGGGUGAUUGAGGUUUGGAGGGUUAAAAAUUUGGUGUUGCAUUUGUUGUCGAGGGACCCCAGUAGGAAUCGGUGCAUGGUGGAUGAAUCCUACUGGGGGAUUUAAAGUUAUUUCAUGCACAAGGGGGUGGUUGAGUGGGAGGGGACUCAUUCGGGGGGCGCGGUGCAGGGGUGGUUGAUUUCGUAGUGGGUUCAUGAAAGAUGGUGGAUUCAGUGAUGGGAUGUUGAGAGUUUGUGGAUUCCUCGGUCCGGGGAGCGAAGGUGGUGGAUUCAGUUGUGGCAGGUUGGGAGGAGGUGGAGGAUAAUCCAUGGUGUUAACGGAAUACAGAUGGGACAUUUGGGGAAUGCAAUGUGAAUGUUGGUUGUCGUCCAGACGCGGGAAUGACGCCAUUUCCUCCCUGCAUCAACGGUCGUAGUGGGUUAGUUUGACUUAAAUAAACGGCCAUUUAGUUGAACAAUAAAAUCAGGAUCAAUGUCUACGUGCUGGGAAAUAACAAUCGUCCGCUGUAAAAGCAUAUAGGUGAAAAACAUGAUGAUAAAGCACAGGAAGUUCAGCUUCGUGACAAGGUGGUGCAUUUUGACUUUGUGAUGACCUUUUAAAAGACAGCACACGGCUUGUCUGCUCUUGGUUUCAAAGAUACACUGACAGUAACCAUCAUAGGAAAUUGACAUUCAGUAAGGCGUAAAUAUUCGUUAAAUUUAUCCAAUUGGUCGAAAACCCCAUCCAUGAGUCAUCCAUAAAUGCAAGGCAUUAAACAUAUGGGGAAAAUUAAUUAAGGCAAAAUUUCGCAUACACCGGGUUUUUUUGUUUAGUAAAUUAGAAGACUAUUGAAAGUAAAAGGAGACACAGUUGAAAUACAGUACUGACAACAACAAUGUCAUGCAAAUUUUAAAUAGCAAUUUGAAGGCAACCCGUAUACGAAGGCACAUAGCACCAAAACACCAGAUCCAUAGUUGGUAACGCACAAGCAUUGAAAAAAGGAGCGUAGAACAAAUUGAAAAAGUGAGGAGAAAACGCACCUGCGCUUAUGUCAAAGAAGAAUGGAUUUGUUGCAAAACUCGGCAGCAAAGCACGAGAUUUAUUGCAAUUUUUGGGUGGUACUAUGAUUGAUCACGUGGAGAUUGAAUGCAACUUUUUCCCAUUGUCCAGUCUUUGCAGGAGGAUUGACAGUCUUAUUGUCAAUUCCUGUAUAUGAUGUGACCCAUGCUCACGGGGAGUCAUAAAGAUAAACGGCAUUUUGAGAAGUAAAGGCGACAACAAGCAAAACUUUCGUUGGAUAUUUGGGUGUACCCCAUUGUAAUGUUGUAGCCAUAACAUCUGGUGGGUCACGUUAACAUUGUUGAAAGUGUUUUUCCACCAACCACACAAUCUCGUGCAAACAAGGUUAAUGGGGUACGUGGUCCCUGCCAUAUCUAACUACUGCAAUAGUUGCAACACUUAGUACCAAUAUAUUUGAACAUGUGAUAAAUUGACUCUGAAUCUUGGCAUCAGUCUGCCUAGGCCAUAGUGGGUUAUUCCUGCGAUCUUGGCUAGCAUUAUCUAAAUCUUCGGAAUAUUAUUAGUACUUCAUCCACUUUUACUUAUUCUGCACCGCAUGGACGGCGUAUCCCUUCUUUGGUGUAGUAAGUUUACUAUUACUACAUAAAUAACUAUAACGAAUAUAUUGGCUGUAUCGGUACAAUAAUAAAUAUUAAUUUCUUCAUUCAUCAAUUUGAAGUACUUAGUUGGUUGAACUAGUAUUUAAUAAUUGGUUCGAUUUGAUAUGAAUUAUUAAAUAAACAGUGGUAACCAUUAAAUACUAUCAGUACUGAGGGUUCAAAUGUUAAGGGGGAAACGAGACAAAAUAGUAUUACUUAUAUUGUUAAUCUAACUAAUUUUAUCAUUGUAUAGUCACCACGAUAAUAAUAAUAUUAUCGUUGUUAUUAUCGUUAUCAUACUGUAAUAUUAUUACCAAUGAACUGAACAAAGAAUUGGGGUUUUGUAUAUUGCACGGCUUAUAACUUCACAUUUGCAAACCUUUGGCCUUGACAAAAUUGAAGCAACUUACGUUCUUUGUGUUAUAUGUAGUUUAUCCCUUUACGCUGAACUCUGACCAAAACAAACAAUCGUUAUCAAUUUUAUUGGUCCGACAGGUUUCAACUAAAGGCAGGGACUGUUGAAUGAAGACUAAGUGCAGCAUUGGCCAAUAAAGUCAAUGAAGAGGACCCACUACAUCAAGUACAAAGGCUGCAGCGAACAAUAUACACAAAUCCCAAUAUUGUUACCUUUAAAGGGCAACUGACAGUGCAGCCAAAAAUAAUAACGCUAAAAGUUGGCCGUGGACAUUUUUUUGUAUACCAUUUUCACAUCUGUAACAAACAUAAGGCGUAAUACGACCGUCCGAUCUUCUAUUCUUUGUUUGUUCACUCCACAUCGAACCACUUCCAACGGCUGAUGCUGCAGCCUGUAGCUUACAGAUUAUAUAAGCUAGUCAAUUCCCAGUUUGACAGGUGACCAACGACGCCAACUAUGGCAACAUAGAGAUUGAUUGCUUGGAGCUUACGUGGUUGUAGAUUUCAAAUAACGUGUGGUAUGUUAUAUAUUCAAUUGUUCUUUAGGUCAUUAAAUCGGAGUGACACUCCUGACCACGCACAAUACAUGUUCUGAACCUGCUGUUGAAGGGCCAAAAAUGGGUCACCAGUCUGUAACAGUACGCAAUAAUGAAAUGGUAUACUUUGAAAACCUCGCCACUAUAAUGACAAAAAAACGCGGCUAUUUAUUACAGACGACCUUAGUAAUGACUGACUGAACGACAUGCAAAUUAAGGCACGUGUUUUUAGUAACAGUGCGAGUAUAUUAAAUCUCUGACAGCAAAAGCAUCGACCACAACAUUUACCCACGUGGAUGUUAUUGCCCGUAUACAUAAAAUUUAAUUAUCUAUAAAUAAAUCGUUAAUUAUCGAAAAUACAAGGCAGAAGGUUGCAGUGCCAAUAUGUAUAUUUCAGCAGGAGCUGGCUAAGUUACAGAUUCUAUAACAUACAGAACCCACGUAGGCAGCUCGUGAUUGGUUAGCUAGCUACCAAACUAAAACAAUUGCAUGCUUUUAGUCCAUAUGCAGGACAGGUGUGGUGCAUGCAUUGGCCAUAGUAAUGUGUGGGACAAAAUUGUUGAGUAUCCAUUGACAAUAUCGGCUGUACUCACAGUGGGUCAUACGCAGGCUGGUGCCAUAAGAAUGAUCAAAUUAUUCAAUGGUUAUAGAUGUAGUCAUCUGCACAUUACAUGGCCGAUGUAAUGCGACUAACAACAACAAUCGCAAUAAGAUAAAACCUGAGUACAAAUGAAGCAUUAGUAAACAACAAUCGUUAACUAAAGUAAUAUUAUUAUUGACCAGUGAGUAAAUUAAUCCAAAUAUAUAGAUGCGUAGUUCUUAAAUUAAGCGUUAAUUUCUUACCAUAGAGGUGGAAAAUUCAUAAACAAGCCAACAUAUUAAAUGAAUAUAUUGCAGGGACAAUAAAUUCCGGCAUAUUCACAAAACUUCCUGCGAAUAAUGAUAUGCAACGAAGCUAUGAUCAGUUAGUAUGGUAAGACCAUUAAUGUAGUAACUGGAUAUCAACUGCAAUCGUUGCAAGUAGGGGUGAGCAGUAAUUCAAUCUGAUCCGCUCAAUCUUUCCGAUCUGCUGAAUCUGAUCUGUAUAAAUUCGCUCCGUGGAUUGGUGGAUUAGAUAUGGAUUUAAUUCUGUAAAUCCGCAUAAAUUCAUGAAUAAGAUAAAUAAAUAAAUAUAUAUAUAUAUAUAUAUAUCUAAUUAGUAAAGAUUUAUAAAUAUAAAUUAAAAAUUUAUAAAUGUGACAUUGAAUAGUUACUAAGCACUAGAACAUAUCUUAGCUAUUACCCAUUAAUAAUAUGAAAUGAAAAAUAAUUAAAUAAUCAAACACGACGCAUAUAUAACUUGUUAAAAAUUGUUACACAAAUUUUAAACAAUUAAAUUUUGCGCACUAACAAAAGCAAAGUAACAUACUGCCAAGUUUCCAAUAAUAUGAAAACAACAAACCCUAAGCUUCCCCACCGUUACACACACUAGCAACACUCAAUACUGGUUUGAUACAGUAUCGACACGAAUUUAAAGGACAUCGUGCGCGUGAUUCCGGCGAGAGCAAGUCAUCUUCAUUCGCAAGUCCAUCGAGCCACUUGACAUUCACUGGUUCCAGCGGAACAAUUUCAUUAUCACAACGUUCAAGAUCGCCACCCGUACGGCUUCUGUUGUUUCGCAUCGGAUGGCUCCGCAAUCACAACUUUUCGACAGACGCAACAGCCCUGGUGAAGGAUCAAAUUGUGCAAAACACUAAUUUGUCGCUUUCAAUGUAGGCUUUUAGGUGCGGCCUCACCAGGCGGAGAUCAAUCCGAGCAUCCGGACUUCCGUAUGUAUGUCCCCACGUGCAUGGUUAAAUUUUGAUGUCCUAUGUUUUGUAACUAUUUUCAAUGUCACAUUUAACAUAAAACAUGGAUCAGAUGUGCAGUUUUUACUCACCUUUCAGGAUAACUUCUCUUACCUACUUCGCUUGCUCGCUGCGUAUGGAGAUGUUUUUAUUCCCGUAAAAACCAUUGCUAUUUGCAAUACCAUAUAAUAAAGUAUAUCUUAUUCACGUGUUACAUUAUUGUCUCUAUUGCCGCUUAUUAGUAAAACUACAAAUCGUUAUGUAAAUGUGGCCACACCUUUGGGGUUUUCCACAUGUUUCCUACAAUUUUUCAGCAUGUAGGGAUCUUCUUAUAUCUAAUAAUAUUUCACAAACCUGUUGCCUCAAACCAUGAAAUGUAAUUUUUGACUUUCCAUGUAAUUUGUCUCUUCAGAAUUAAUUGAACAAUGGAAAUUCAUAUCUUAGCAAAUGCAUCAAACAUUCCAUGUAAUUAUCUCUGCCGGCAUAUCUUUGUUUUCGUUGCUGUACGCAUUGCCCAAUUCAAUACCCAUGGUCUUUAAUUAGUCGUAUUUGCUGCACCUGGAGGCAAGUACUACUUUAUACGCAACCAACACAACCUUACCUAACUGGCCCAAGGCAGAAUGUAAUUAACAACACCUACAAAUUUACUUUCCAACCUGAUUUUACAUCAUUUGACAGCAAAUUUCUAUCGUAAUUUGGAGAUAAGUGAUGAUAAUACUAUAUUUAUGAAGAUAGUCCAUAAUUGCUCGACUAAAACUACAAAUUAGUUCUUUCUCAAGGGCCAACUGAGUUAAUAAGGUCCAUUUGCUAUUGUAUACACGCUUCUUUAUUUGACUUUGCAUUUUCAAGCCCAUAAUCUCACUAACACAGAAAUAUUUAAUUUCACAUAAGGUCCAUUCUUCAUUGCAGUUCAUUAUGCCAUCAACUUACAUUACCUUAUAAAAAACCUUCACUUACAAGAUAAUACCGCCUAUUAUAAUUGAGGGUCCAGCAAAAAUACAUGUAUUAAAACAAAUAUUGCAAGUUAAUUCAACUGCAUCGCGAUGUUGACAGCCAUUAUCCCACAAAACUCAAAAUUCCCACUAUCAAUAACAGUACCAACCUACUGACGUUGAAAUUUAAGUUAUUCAUGUCAAUUAUGCUACCACGAAGCAAUCAAAACACAAGCUAUGACGGUUUCUUUCUUCGUCAAUAACCACGCUAUCAACUCCAACUCAUACACUUAAAAUGGUAAUAGAUUUACCCUCGAAUAUGGCAGAACGUUAAAGGCCUUCAUAUCCACUUCUUAUGAAGGCCUCACGAUGGAUUGGAACUAACCAAAGCCCAAAUUAACAUGUACCAAUUUUUCCUUUUUCCAAUUGAAUAUUGCAUUAAUAAAUGCUUUGGUACCAAUGUAAAGCAUGUCCUCAUACUAUCGUCAUCUUCUUUCUUCAAACUAAUUAACUCUAACAUGUAAUUUCAUUCCUGUAAAUUUACUUUAUUCUCAUCGCAUACAUUACAUUAUUUAUUUUUAAUACAUAAUUUUUGCUAUAUUUAUCCUAUUACUUAAUUUUUAAAUUGUCAACAAUGAAUAUUCACCUGCAUUAAUAGAUUAUGGGACAUUCUCCUAUCAAGUUACUGUUUUCUAAGGAACUAUCUUUUAUGCCUUCUAACGUAACCCUUUUAUCUUCCCUGAUGAACAUAAGAUUCGAAAGUCCUGUAAUAUUUUUAGGUACGAGUCAUCUUUCACCUUCUAAUUUAGUAUACCGAAACUAUAUUAUUCUUACUUUAAAUAACCCUUCAUAACUUAUUGGUGGGUAGAGAGACAUUUUGCAUCCCGUGCCUAACAAUUUUCUUAUUGAUGCCGACAUUCGUGCGAUUGACAUCUUGGUGUCCGAUUGAUAUUGUUUAUCGCCUCCGGGGGGGGUGCAUCUAUCACUAUACUACUUAAUCAGGCCUUCAUUCUUCUCAUCCGCCGCCAAUAUCGUUCAUCUUUGUUCGUUACCACAUGUUCUUGUUCAUUUAAUUUGGAUAUGUUGGUCCACAUCCCCCUCCACACGAAGGUUCACUUUUACGGGUGUUCGCGUCUUAGAUUUUGCGGAUUGCACAUCAAUCCAUAUUUGAUCCACAAUUUUACGGAUUUUAAUGUGUUCAAUCAAAUCAAAUCCACUUAUGACUUAAACUGAAUCGAAAUCCAAUUCAUAUUUUUUCGGAUCGGAUGCAAAUCAUAUCCAAUCCAUAAGUAAUCCAUAGUUUGCCGGAUUGAUUUGUAGAUGCAAUUUUUUUUUUCAUCCAAUCUACGCAAUAUUUAUAUAAACAAAUAUCUCAUUCAUAUUGUUUUUUUAAAUUAAAUUUUCUAAUGCAAAAUUUACUUUACUAUCAGUUAAAAUCAUAAUUGAACAACAUAUUAAUUCAUAUUAAGCUACGAUAAUACAUUCAUAAUUUCCAAUUUUAACACACCGAUAUAAAAAUUUUCAUUCGUUUUCAUCAGUACAUCAAAUGUAACUAAAAUUAACAAUUUCUAAGUUCAAACUUCAAAGUUUCGGUGUAACAGCAAUAAAUUAUGAAACUCGAGAUGCUUCAAAAGAAAGUAAGCAAUUAAAUUUUAUUUCUUUAACUGCUGAAGUGAAAUAAUUAUGCGUUGUGCAUGCCGUCAGGGAUAGCUUUGGUGUUAUAUGAUAAAAUUUUUUGUUUUGCUUUUUAUUUCUUAAUGUUUACGAAGCUAUAUUUACUUAUUUAUUUAUUUUUUUUUCAAAUUGUUAUCGAAUAAGAUAUAAUAUUGUGUUACUUUAGCUAUAUCUAAAUUUUACAUUUUUUUGUACAGUACUCACUACCAUUGCUAUAUUUUUUAUUCAAUAUUUACUAUUUCUCCUGAUUUAACGAAAUUUGCCGCAUUUACUGACUUAAAUCCUUUUCCAAUCCAUCUAAUACGGAUUUUUUUAUUAUUAUAUUUUAUUUGGGUCUUUUUCUGUAACAAACUAUAAAACUCAUAGUUUCUAUUACUUACAAUAAACAAUUUAGACUGUCAACAAAAAUACUUAAAAUAGAGUGUCGAAGAUAUUUUUUUCUUUCUUGUUUCCUCUUUUAAUUGCUCCAUCAUCUCAAAAAUACCUCCAUUUCUUGGUUGAUCAUUUACUAUUUUCCAAAUUAUUAUUAUUACGCAAAUUAUCAUUGUCGUCGUCAUAAUUAUAAUAUUAAGCAUUAUUAGUUUUAUUAUUAUUGUUGGUGUUGUUCAAAUUUGGAAAUGACAUGGCCUAUUAUAUAAACUCUAGCGAUAAAAUUAAAAUUACAUAUUAUUCAGGUUAAAGGGGAAUUUUCCCCUUUUUUCCCCACCACUUACUUUUGCAAUGCAUUGCCUGAUCAUUUUAUUAUUAUUAUUAUUAUUAUUAUUAUUAUUAUUACACGCUACAUAAUUUUUCGUCACUAUUUUCGAACAUUUCAAAUCAUUAUUACCCCAACCCAUACUUGCACGCUUCCAACUUCUUGUUUUUAACCAAUACUUGCAUGCACCCCUUUUUCUCUUGUUUUACAUGCGUUACUUUAACAUCGUCCAACCCACUACAGCACUUUUUUUGGUCAAAAAGUGAUUUCCUGCAGUGUUACCGGCACAUUACCUUUAUUUCAGGUUACUCCCUUGCGUCUGUGUGUCUCUUCUGCAGCCAAUAGAUGAAAUCUAACGGUGCCCAUGCUACAAGACAAAUGACUUGGGUACGAAACCCAUGACGCAAAGUAGCUGCGGCCCUAAAAACAAUAAAUGGGGUAACUUGAUAUUUUUAUACUUUUAGGUGAUAAAUUAAAGAUUUUCAUUUUAAAUUGGGGGCAAAUUAAAAUCUAUCCUAUUUCUAAAGGCACCACGUGAUUUGGCAAAAUAACUAUAAAGAUAUUUUAUUUUUAGAAAAUAUCACACAUGUCUCUUUUGAGAUACACAGACUCUUUUUUAGCUAAAAGAUUGGGAUUUGUGUGAUUAUUUCUGAACCAAAAGGUUUGUGUUUUAAAAAAAAAUGAUUAUGUGACUGUUUUGCCUAACCGAGAGGGUCAUUAUUCAAACACCAAUCACAUUUUUGUUUUAAAACACCCUUUCAUUUAUUCUUUAAGCUUCUUCUUUUUUCCCAAAAAAUGAUGAAUAGAUAUUGAAAAUUUUGUUUUCAUUUUUUUAUUGAAAAAAAUGAAAAACACCAAAUAUUACUGCUUCCUUGUCCAUACUGUUUUUCGUCCUAUAUUACCUUAAUUUUAUAUCGUUUCUCUAUUUCUAUUUUUAUAGUCCAAUUCUGAAAAUACACUAUUAGACACAUUUUUAAAUUGAAAAACACCAAACAUAGUGCAUCAUUUUCAUUAUAAGCAUUAACACCAGACGUACACAUUCUCCAAAUGGGACUAAAAAUGGUGACUCCUUCAGAAAUGAAGUUGUACAAUUAGUUUGAAUUGAGUCGAUACAGAGACGUCUCCAUUGCGUCAUCUAUUCAACUGUCUUGUGCAACCUUAUUCUGUACUAGUAGGAUUCCUCAUUGGCCAAGUAUAUGCAUAGUUGCUGGUUUAUUAACCCCAAAACACCCUCCACUUAAUUCAAGGUCUUAAAGAGAAGUCCAAUCUUACAGGUUCGUUAACAUUUUAAAGGUAAGUUUUAUCUUGUAACAUUCACACAAAAUUUAUAAUCAACUAGGGAGGAAAUUUUGAAAAUACUAUGAUUAGCACAAGUAUUUCAACAAUAAAGGAUGUAAUAAAAGCUCAUUAAGUUUAAACUUGAAAGGAAAAUUAGGGCAAGGUCAUUUCUUUAAAAAGAAUAAGGCAAGAUGAUGCACGGCAUGAAAUACCUAUGACCAAGCCUCAAAAGAUUCAUCAAGCCCAGUAUUUUGCUUGCCCUCGGCAUAAUUACACUUGGCUUCCCAAACAAACAAUUGCUGGAGCUCGGACAAUGGAAGUAUUCAAUUUAACUACAUAAAUAUCAGCCGGAGCAUAAUUACACUUGGCUCCCUAACGAAUAAUGCUGGAGCUCGGACAAUACGAGUAUUCAAUUUAACUGUACAUAGAUGUGCGGGGUUUUGAUGGUAAGUAAAAAGACGUGCCACUAUCAGUUGAGGAGUGCAUAAGAGGAUUACAUCUAUCAAAUACUAUCCGCACUCCUCGGCCAAUUCUUCCAUGAAAUUUGUGAGUUCGUGCUAUAGUGCCAUUCCUCGUAGAAGAAUCUGACGGCGGAACAAUACCUGCAGCGUCCAAUUUUUCUGGCACAAGGGGUUUUGUGAACAACAAAACUGGCACAAGGGGUUUUGUGAACAACAAAACUGGCUCAAGAGGAUCCUGAAACCCCACAGUUACAUUUUCAAAAUGAUGCACUGCUGAUAUUCAGAAAUAAAACAAGGAUAAAACAUUUUCUAAAGUUUACUUAAAUCAUUUUUCUUUCCAACCACAGAUAGGUCAAUAAGUCAAAUAUGUGAGGAAAAAUACUAAAGAAACUGAAGCUGACAGAGGGCAGGCAGAAUUAACUACAAAACCACCAGAUUUAUCGUGUUUUGUCCCGUUGAUUAAUUGUUUUCAAUUAACACGGUAACCCGGCUCGGGUGUUAACUCUGUUUCUGUAAGUCUCUGUUGAAUAUUUAUGUUUAAAAAUCAGCACUCGCAUGUAAGUUGUAUGGCAGCAGCAAAAUAUCAUGUGUAAUAAUUAGGCUAUAUUAGUUCUGGGUCCAGGAAUCGAGAUAAUCAGAGUAGGUGCAAAAGCUAUAUUUACCAAUUUAUGUAGCCAUGCAUAAUAUAUUCAUUUUUUACUUGCAAAUUCUUCCUUUUCACAACUUUAGGUACAACUUUUCCUUUCCUUUUGAAGGCCCACUCCACUAGCAUAGAGAGUAAAAAGAGUUUCUUAUAAAUAAUUUUAGGAGGAUGGUUCUGCCACGACAAGUAAUACCAUAAACAAAUGAUUUCACCACAUUUCAAGAAAGCAUUUAACUUAUGCCUCAUUUUCAUUCUAGCAAUUUGCUUGCCAUUGGCUGAUUGGAAAAAGUGCAUUUAAGUGAUAGAAUAUUGUCAACCUAUAGCACGAAUAGGGGUUAAACAAAGUAAAUCCCUACCUUUACAUGUCAAAUAAAAGACUUUCAUAAUAUCAAAUAUCAAAACUCAUGUCUAGUAAACGAUUCCCCAAUGCUGGCUCUCACAAUUGCUUUUGUUUCAUGGAUGAGAUGAUCGAUUUUGUGGAUAUUCUGCUCAACUUGGAUUAUGACUUGGGUCAGAUCCCAACUUGCUGCAUAGCUCACCUGACUAAAUCUUAGUUGAUUUGCUUUUCCAUACUAAAUCCAAGCAAGUAAGUACAAGAGAUAAAAGCAAAAGUUCAAGCAUCUCAUUUGAGCCUGUCACUAACAAAUGGUCAACGAGCAAUGUCUAGCUAUGACUGAGCAACAGAAUCAAUAAACAGACAGACAAAAAAUAAUAAUCAAGUCAUCUGUCAAAUGCUAGUCCAUGAAAAUCAUAUAUAUAUAUAUAUAUAUAUAUAUAUAUUUCCUUCUGGUAUCAGAGCCAAGGGGAGGAUAGUGUAAAGCAGUUUAGAAUUUCGUGUUUAAAAUCUUGUGUUUUAUUUUGAAGUUUUGUUUUUGUGGUGAAUCUUUACUGGUUGUAAGUCCCGUUUUAGGAUAAGGAUUCCGCUGAGGGCUGUAAAUCCAUACCUGUAGCCAUUUUGACCAAACCAAAAAUAGACCAUAAGGUCUUAUUCAUGGAUCCUCCGAUCUGUAGAACAUCGUCCUUUUCUAGCUCUUCUUCCGGGAAGACUAGUGAUUCAAAGCAUGUUGUGAGUUCAGAAGAAUUCUUUAUUGAGAACUUUGAUAAAGCAAUUGAUUGUUGGGAACUUCCAAAAAUUUCUAAAGAAAAGAUUUACAAAACAAAAAAGCUUGAUUUUUUAAAGAAUGAUUAUAUCAUAAAGACUGAAGAACGUGAUAUAACUCUUUCAAAUCCUUUUGAAACAAUCCACUUGUUUUCUGAGCAUUCUUUAAAGAAAUUAAAAAAGAAUUUCAAUUAUGUUCACAUAGGUCUUAUUCAAGUCGGUAUAAAACCCUUAACCAAAGAAGGCUUGGAUACUUCUAUCCUUGCUGUCCUAAGAGAUGGACGAUUCAUCUCUUUUGAUGAUUCUUUGCUAAGUAGCAUCGAAUCCAGUCUCUGUAAAGGUCCAAUCUCAUUUGAUUGUUAUCCAAACAUAACAAUUUCUCUUAAAGAUAAGAAUAUUUUGAAAAGCAUGAUUUUACAAAUCAAAACCCAUAAUUAUAAUAUGAUUGAGGGAUCCAUCCCAGUUGCCUUAAUUUUUAAAAUCUCAUAUAAGGCAAUGAUCACUGCAUUCAGUACACAACAUAAAUUCCAGUCAAAAAGAGAUGAGACUCUUCUCUUGCAGACUGAUUUGUCUAGAGCCAACACUGUCAUUCCAAAACCUAUUCAAUGGAAAGAUGUCCAUCUUCCAGAAGAAUGGAUUCUUGAAGGAGCCGCUCCACCAGCGAUUCCGAAACAACUUGAGCCCAAUACAGAGUUGCAGAAUGUGACUCAGUAUUCCGAUGGUAAAGUCAAACUAUCAUUCAGAAGAUCUAACUCAUCUAGAUUUUCUGAUAAAGCUUCGUGCUCAAGCAUUCCUUCAUUAGAAAGGAAAUUCACAAAAGUCCCUUCUGUUAUAAAUCUCCCUUUUCAAAGUCAACCUAGGUUUUCAACUUCAGAUAUACCUAGUACCUCCAUUAGAUCAGUUGAUUACACCACUAGUGUUCCACAUCCGAUCUACACUAGCAAUCAACAUAUUCAAAGUCAGGAAGAGAAAGAACCUUCUCCUCCAACUUCCCCUACGUUUUCUGCAGUCACAGAAAAUGUUAUCAAUGUCAUUGAAAAAGAAUUUGAAGUAGAUAAGGCAUUCUUGCAUGAAGAUUUUUAUUCUAAUUCAAACAAAGAAAAAAGACUUUGGUUUUUCAAACACUUUUUAAACCAAAGAAAAGAAAUCCAACAAACUUACUAUGAUUUUGUGAAUCUUCAUAAAGCUCAUAUAUUGUUUUUUGAUUGGUUCGAAAUAUAUUCUUCUGAGAAUAACAUCUCUUAUCCUUUUAAAGAGUCAAACCCUAUUACUAUUAGGAAGAAAGUUCCUGAAUGGAAACUUCUCGAUAGUAAUAGAACUAUAGAAUCAGAACACCCACCUCUUCGGAGUUUAACCAUUGAUCAUGGUGAACCUCCUGUCGAGAUUCGAGCUUCACCUUACAAAAUUCCAAAGCCAAAUGAUUCCGAGGCAAAUUUAAGUAGUGUUAUCCAACAGAACAAUUUCUGUAAUACUAACUUAAAUACAAUCGGAAAGCAGUUGACUAGGAUAGAGAACCAAAUCCAGAAGUCAACCAUUACUGUUCCAUCGAUUUCUCCUAUUCCAACAAAAUCGGAUUCUGACAAAAAGCUUAAGGAACCUAUUUUCAAACCCUUUCAGGUUUCGAAAACUAGCCAAAAGCUUGUUCAAGAGUCAAAAUCAGAUUUUGCUAAAGCCAUUAGAGAACAAUUAGAUAGGAUAGAAGCUGCUUCUUCCUCAUCUAGCAAAGCCCAAAUAGCCCCUGAUACUCCUCAAUCUAGCAAGAUUGGAGUAUUAGAAAAAGAUGACCAAACCUCUAUAGCCUCUUCGGAUGUUGAAGCCUUCCAAGAGGAACCCAUUCCUAAAGCAAACAAAAUCCAUUGGGAAUUAGCCCUUCCCACUGUCAAGACUCCACCGGAUCUAGCAAUAGAUAAUAGACCAAGUGCAUUAAAUCAGUCUAGGUAUAAUGCAUCUUCAGUCUAUGAGUGGAAUAUUGACGGCAUGUCAGAAUACAAUAUCCUAGGAUUGUUGCAACAGAUGACAAUGGCAGCUAAUGCCUAUAAAACCCAAGCAGGAACCUCUGAUCGUGCUAUAUCAGAGAUCCUAAUUGCCGGUUUUACUGGUCAACUGAAAGGUUGGUGGGAUCAUCUUCUCACUAAUCAGCAACAAUUAGACAUCCUAAAUUCCAUCCAAGUCGAUGAAAAUGGAGUCCCUAUUCUUGAUGAGUUCAACAAUCCUAUCCAGGAUGCUGUUGCUACUCUUAUUUUGACCAUUUCCCUCCAUUUCAUUGGUGACCCUUCACACCUUCGUGAUAAAAACGCUGAGUUAUUACAUAACUUGAGAUGUAAGAAACUUAGUGAAUUCCAAAGCUACAAAACCGCAUUUUUUACCAGAUUAUUUCUAAGAGAUGAUGCAAAUCAUACAACUUGGAAAGAAAAAUUUCUUGCUGGUUUACCUACCCUUCUAGGUGAAAAGGUAAGAAAUUCCAUUAAAGCACUUUAUGAUAAUCGUAUCCCUUAUGACGAGCUUACCUAUGGUGAACUUGUCAGUUUCGUCAAUAAAGAAGGUUUAAAGAUUUGUCAAGAUUUGAAAUUACAGAAACGUCUUAAGUGGGAGCUUAAGAAGUCUAAACAAGAGUUAGGCGGUUUCUGUAAACAAUUCAAUUAUGACCCCUUUAAAGCUUCUUAUUCCAGAGAUUGUAAUGGUGAGUGUUCUAAACCUCGCAAGAAACAUUACAAAUCAAAGAGUUUUAGAAAACCUUUUCGAAAUUUUAGAGAACUUCCUUAUAAGAAACCCUCGAGGCCUUAUAAGAAACCCAAAUUCUCUAAAAAGAAAGAAUUCAAAGCCAAACCUAAGACCCCUUUCAACUUCAAAGAUGCUACGUGUUUUAAAUGUGGUAUGAAAGGCCAUACUGCAAGAUUUUGUAAAAUGAACAAAAGGCUCCAAGAACUUGAACUCGAUGAGGACAUCCUUUCCAAAUUAGCCCCACUCCUUGUCGAUUCUUCUGAUUCUGAAUCUUCCAUGUCGGGAGAUAGUAAUCCUUAUCAAAUUGAUGAGCUUUUUGACUCAGAUGACUCUGCAUCUAGCAGUAGUGAAUCUGAAUCUGAUUUUGGUUUAAAUAAGAUCAAUGUUUUGACAAAAGACCAAGAGACUUACCUUGAACUUGUAAAGCAUAUUUCUGAUCCAAAUCUUCAAAAAGAGUAUCUUGAUAAACUUUUGAAAACCUUGGAUUUUAAUAAAGCCGAGACUUCUAAAGUCCCAAUUGUCAAAAAGAGUUCUUAUGAUCUUACACAAAUCUUGGAUAAAAAGAAAUCAAAAAAGGCAGUUCCUAGCAUCCAAGAUCUUCAAAAAGAGAUUAAAGAAAUCAAAACCGAAAUCAGGGAUUUAAAAGAAAAACAAAAAUGUGAUUCUGAUACUAUCCAACUUCUUUUGCAAAAACAAUUGCAGGAUAAUUCAGACAAUGAAUCUAAUCCUGAUGUUGGUGAUGAUAUCAAAAUAGAAAACAUUGAGUCUGUACCCAAUGAUUUUCUAUUCGUUUUAAAGCAAAUCACCACAAGAAAGUAUUUGAUUAAAGUCACUUUAAUCUUCUCUGAUGAUUUUGCAAUGGAUGCCAUUGCCCUUUUUGACACUGGUGCCGAUUUAAAUUGCAUUAGAGAAGAAAUCGUCCCCAAAAGAUUUCAUGAAAAGACAAAAGAAAGACUUUCUGCCGCUAAUAAUUCAAAAUUGAAUGUUAGCUCCAAAGUUGAAGCCUCGAUUUAUAAUAAUAAAAUUGAAUUUAAAACUUCUUUUGUUCUUACAAAUGAUAUACACCAUGCUAUCAUUUUGGGAUCCCCUUUUAUAAAUCUUAUAACCCCAUAUGCUGUCGAUUAUAAUGGUAUAUAUUUCAAAGCAAAAUCCAAAGACCUUGUUUUUUCAUUUAUUGAAAAACCAAAAACUAGGAAUUUAAACAUUAUCAAAGCUUGUUCUGUUUACCAAAAAAGAAUCAAUGCCAUUCUUAAAUCCAAACAAGAUGAUUUGUUUUGUUUGCAAAAAGAUUUAAGUUUUCAAAGAAUUGAAAGCCAACUACAAAGCAAUUUCAUACAAAGAAAAAUUUCUGAUUUUAAAAGCCUUGUUGAAAGAGAAAUAUGUGCUGAUUUACCAUCUGCUUUUUGGAAUAGAAAACAACAUCUGGUAGAUUUGCCAUAUGAAAAUUCGUUUGAUGAAAAACAAAUACCCACCAGAGCACGUCCAAUCCAAAUGAACAUGGAUUUGGAACAGCAUUGCAAAAAUGAAAUCAAAGAUUUAGAGUCAAAAGGACUCAUUGUUAAGUCAAGGUCCCCAUGGUCUUGUGCCGCCUUUUAUGUUAACAAAAAUUCUGAGAUUGAAAGAGGUGUUCCUAGACUUGUGAUAAAUUACAAACCUUUGAAUAAAGCUUUGAAAUGGAUUAGGUACCCAAUACCUAAUAAAAAAGAUUUGCUCCAAAAACUUUGUUCAUCUUUCAUCUUUUCUAAAUUUGAUAUGAAGUCUGGUUUUUGGCAAAUUCAAAUCCAUCCAAAAGAUCGUUACAAAACAGCUUUUACUGUUCCUUUCGGGCAAUACGAAUGGACAGUAAUGCCCUUUGGUUUAAAAAAUGCACCCUCAGAAUUUCAAAGAAUCAUGAACGAUAUUUAUAAUCCAUAUUCUGAGUUUUGCAUAGUCUAUAUUGAUGAUGUGUUGAUUUUUUCUCAAAGUAUUGAUCAACAUUUCAAACAUUUAAAGACUUUCCAUCUUGUUACUAAAAAAGCUGGGUUAGCCCUUUCUAGUUCAAAGAUUUCUUUAUUCCAAACAAAAAUCCGAUUUUUAGGACAUCAUAUUUCUAAAGGAACCAUCACUCCUAUAGAAAGAUCACUCUUGUUUGCGGAUAAAUUUCCAGACAAGAUUUUGGACAAAACCCAAUUACAAAGAUUCCUUGGUAGCUUAAAUUAUGUUCUUGAUUUUUGCCCAAAUAUCAAUAGGAUGUCUAAACCUUUGCAUGAUAGGUUAAAAAAGAAUCCUGUUGCAUGGUCGGAAGAACAUACUAAAGUAGUUAGAUUAAUAAAGCAGUCUGUUAAAAAUAUCCCAUGUUUAUUUCUUGCAAAUCCUGCAUUACCUAAAGUUGUUGAAACUGAUGCAUCUGAUAUAGGUUAUGGAGGAAUUUUGAAACAAAAAGAGAAUGACAAAGAACAGAUAGUCCAAUAUGUUUCUGCACACUGGAAUGAUUGCCAGAAAAACUAUUCUACUAUCAAAAAAGAAAUUCUUUCCAUCGUUUUAUGCAUUACAAAAUUUCAAAGUGAUUUACUAAAUCAAAAAUUUUUACUUAGAAUUGAUUGCAAAGCUGCAAAACAUGUUUUAGAAAAGGAUGUUCAAAACAUUGCAUCAAAACAGAUUUUUGCACGAUGGCAAGCUAUAUUAAGUGUUUUUGAUUUUGAUAUUGAAUUUAUUAAAGGUGACAAAAAUUCUGUUCCUGAUUUUCUAACUCGGGAAUUUCUUCAAAACAGAUAAUGCCUCCAAAGAAGAAAGAUAAAGGUAAAGCAGUUGUCAAAGUUACUGGAUCUCAAGAACCUUCCAAAGAAUCCUUUUCUACCCCUUCCAAAGAAAAAUUACUUUCUUCAGCCUUACCCAUCAAAUCCUGGAUUGAAGUGGUUGAAGAACAUGGCUCCCAAUAUAAAUCUAUUUCUUCUGAUGACCAAGUAAAGCAAUGGAUGAAUUCCAUUACAAAGUCUCCUGAGCUCAUGAUCGCCCUCCAAAACCUUUCUCAAAGCCAAAUUUCUCCUAAAAAAGAAAUUGAAAUUUCAAAGCCCUCUUCCCAAAAUGUUGUUGUCUCUGCUGAAAGCUCAUCUUCCCAAAUUGUGCUUUCUCAGCCAACACCUCCAAAGAAACCCUCCGAUUGGUUUGAUAAAACCCAUUUUCAAAACAUUAUUUCUAUGGAAGAUGGAUUUUACCAUACUGAUCCUUUUCAAAGUAUUUCAAAGUUUUUCCCCAAAGGCUGGUUUUUUAAACCAUGGGAUUUAACAAAACCCCAGUCUUAUUAUCAAAGCAUUUUGGAAAUAACUGAAUCAGUUAAAUUCAAACAUUUCUUUCUUGAUAAAGCCCAUUCGGAACCAGCUUAUUCCACGGCCACAAUCCUAAAAGUAUUGAGCCCAAAUCAGUGGGGUGACCUACUCCACAGUUAUAAAACCUUCCCUUUAAAUUUUGAGACCCGUUUACCACAUUGUAGGACCUUCUCCUAUUGGGAUUACCAACAAGCGUGGUACAACACCUUUUUUAUCCAGAACCCUAAAAAGUCCCAUUCUUGGUUAUUUUUCUUCAAUACGAAGAUAACCGUCCAAAGUCUCCCAAAUUGGUUUCAUCACUGGUGGAAUCUUUUUGGCCCAGUUCCUCAAAUCCUAACCCUAAACGCCACAAACUGUCUAAGCCUUUUCAAAGCCCAUUAUCUUCCUUCCGAUUCAGAAAAAAGAUUUCCCCCCUUUCUUUGCUUUUGUGCAAAUUUCUUUCUUCCUUGGGUUUGUUCAUGGAACCUCCGUUUCCAUACCCAAGAUUCCCAAGUCAUUCUUCAAAGAACCUUUAAAGUCAAAUGGUGGUCAAAGUUUGAUGAACAGUCCAAAUUGACUGUUGAUAUGAUCAAAGACUGGCUCUCUUCUAAAGGCCUCCUUCAACCUACCAUAACCACCUCUAAAGCCCAACAAACUUUCUUGACCCAAAAAUCCAAAGCCCAGUCACUGUUGGCAGGUGCCAAGACUGAAGAUGAGUAUUUCAAAGCCAUGGAACAGCUCCUCGCCUCGCGUUCAAAGUCCUCAGUUGCAGCCUCCUCUGAAGAUGAAGACGAAGAGGAUGAUGAUGACGAAGAGCCUUUCAUUUCUCUCGGAGAUGAUAAUGAAGAUGACUGUUUCGGCAUUUUCUCUCCGAUAAAGCAUUGUAAAUAAUUAUUUGAUUAUUUACUUAAAAAAAAAAAAAAAAAAAAAAAAAAAAAAAAUCAGAAAAGUUAUUUACUUUCGGGUGGUCCUUUGGACACAAGUGAGAGCGCACAUGUCUCUUCACCCGUAUCAUACUAUUCAAAGCUACGAUCAGUUUACUAUUCAAAGCUACGAUCCAUUUGUUACUGUGCACUUAAAACCCCGCUACAGUGAACAGUGCAGUUUGCCAGUUGUUACUGUGCACUUAAAGUCCCGCUACAGUGAACAGUUUAAAGAUUUUUGUAUAUAAACCGAGAGGAAGACUUAGACUCCUCAGGUUUUUCAUUUCUCUUCUUCUCUUCCUUCUCUCUAAAAAAUCUCUCUCCCUCUCUCUCUAAAGCCCGAAGAGUUCAAAGAAAUUUUCUGUUUACACAAUAGUUCUAUCACAGAGCUUUGGGUGAUCAGACUAGUUCUUUAUCUUCAAUCUUCCCGUCUUUCAAUCUUCCCUUCUGGAAAGAUUUGAAAAUUUGUAAAGACCAGAAAGCAAAAAUGUAUGUUUAAAUUUCAGUUAUUUAAAUUUUUAAAGUUCAAUGUAAUUUACAUUUUCGCAAUUUACUUUAAAGCAUUUACUUUUCUGCAAUUUAAUUUUAUGCACAUUUAAAUUCCAGCAAUUUAUUUUAAAGCACUUUUCUUUUCAAAAGCAUGCUUGCAGACUGAUCUGUAUCAGAUCUGCCAUAUAAAUUCUACAUUCCUCUGAGGCAAAGAGACCGGAUCUCGAUCCUCAGUUGUAAAUCUUCUCUUCUCCCUCCAUUCCUUCAGAGCACCAUUUCCGGGAUCCGGAUCUGGUACUGUGUAUGUACCUAGGCCCUUAAAAGAACCUAAUCUAAAGUUGAUAAAAGCCCAAUAAAAAGAAUCAACCACGUUUAAAGCAAAUUAAUUAUUAUUUGGUAAAGCAAAAUUAAGUUGGUAUAUCGGCUGGAAACCAGAACGUGCGGAUUAUUGAUCUGUUCUAAGUCAGAUCUGGAUCCAAAGGCUUGACUACGGUCGCAUCGUUCCGGUAGAACAACGCCACGUACUAAUUUAAUAUAAAAAUUGACCAACCGCGUUCAAAUUUGUUUGAACAUUGUAUGAUCUAAAGCAAAUCUACUUAUAUUCAAAGCUGGUAAUUUAUUUUAAAAUUUGGAAAAGCCGAUCCAUUAAUUGUUUAAUUUAAAGUUUUAAUACUGAGAUCCGACGAAAACACAUCCAUCCUUCGAUGGAUGUAUAUGUAUAUGUAUAUGUAUGAUCAUUCAUUUCUCAAUCAACCACCAAAUUGAUGUCAACAAAGCCAGGAUUGUCUCACAAGUCUUUCAAUUUCCCUCUCUUUAGGCCAGAGACCAGUAAACCAUUUGAAAUAUGGAUGUGCAAACCAGUAAAUAAAUCAUGAAGUUACACACUACUCUGCUUUCGCACUCAUUCAGAACUAUCAAUGAUACUUACUGCAGGUACGGUGUAUACAUUAUACUAAAGUGAAGGCUGGAUCAAUAAGAAAUUCAAAAUGUUUCAUCACAUUUGGGGCUUGAUGAUGCCAAAAAAAGACCAUACCAAUUAUGAUGAACAGUAAAAUGUGAACAAGAACAAGCAUACAUUUAAGAAAGCAGAGAAGCAUCAUUAAAAUAAAGUAUUCUUCUUACUAUUCUAUGUUGUUGGAAAAUGGACCAAAAUAAAAAAGAAACCAUAUAUGGUUAACGUCACAACAAGAGUAUUUGUGCUUUUGUACAUCAUAGGAUAUUGGGAAGACAUCAGCAGAGAAGUGCAAAUUUUUUUUUUUUUUUUUGAGGAAAGGAACAGAGAAGUGCAAGUCAAAAAGGAGAAAAAAUGAAAAGAGAGAGAUCAAAAGGAAUGCAAUCUAAUUAAUCGUCUAAGGAGACUACUAUGCUACAUUUAGCCAUUGGUUGAAUAGGCAGCUUGUUUUCUAGUACAACUUUAAAUUUUCCAAGAUUUAGAAUUUUCCUACUGAAGAAAACUAAUUUCUAAAGCUGCUAUUACCAUCUUCAUCCCAACGGUAAGCAGCUCCAUACUAAGGAAAGAGUGAAAUAAGUGUGCUUUACUUAUAGAAGCCCAUUCCUGUCCAGAGUGAUUAGUAAGUUGUUUCACUAUGACCCCCAUUAUGGUGACUGAAAAAAGAAAAAAAAUAUAUAUUUGCCGAACAGAAUAAUAGCACCCAAGAAGUCCUACUUAAGAGGCUUCAUACCCUGCACAAAUCAGAAAGUUUUUUAAAAUUUUCAUGUUUCAAAUGAAGAUUGUCCAUUAAAAAAUUACACACAUAAUGUAUGUAAAGCAAUUAAAACAAAAAAAAAAAAAACAAGGAUAACCCAGAAACAAUCCAACCAUCAAUGAAAGUGAGCAAUGUUAUUGUUUUAUUAUUUUUGAACUCGUGGUGGCUCCGUAUUAUUUGCAAAUUAUUUGCAAAAUACUCGUAUAAGGAGAGGGACAUAUUUUAUGAUGGAAUAUUUUCAAUAUAAAUGGUGCUCUAAAAAUGUGUCCGACUGUAAAGAUAUGUCUAAUUAAACAGUGUCAUAUGUAAUAAAAAUGUAUCCUUUUAUUUAAAGAUGCAUCCUUUCACGGUUUCAUGCUUCAAUUUGAAAUGACGAUAGUUUAUUUUGGACCAGUGAUGAUCUAAUUCAAAUUUUGAUUUAAUAACCAUGAAUGAGAUAACCACUUUCUGUUAGUUCUCUUAAAAUUAUUAAGAAAUCUAUAUUGAAGGCUAUUUCAUCCUUUAGUGUUGUAGAAAAUACACUUUACAUUUUGAAAUUUAAAAUGACCUUCUUUUAAAUAAAAUUUUAAAACAAAUGUCUCUAACUAAAGAAGAAAUUUUAGAAUACAUUAGAAGUACCAUGUUAGCCAUGCAACAAGUGAAUCAUGCUACGAUACAUGUGCACUUAUUUUAAAAAACUAUUAUUCAAAUGGUGGUUAUAUUGAAUAUAAAUAUGUACAUAUCAUACAUGACACAAACCGCGUCAACCCUUCUGUUGGAUCUUGGGUGAAUCAUGCAAUUUUAUAUCUAAAGCUCAUAACAUAAACUUAAUUCAUGAAUAUAUAACACUAGCCUUGGGCUUUUUUAUAAACUUAUAAUAAUCUAUGUGCCUCAUUCAAAAAUUUAUUAAAAACUUACAUAGUUCAUAUCUCAUUGUACGUACAUUCACUUCGAAAAUAUACAUAUAAACAUAAACGUGGUCAAAAUGUAAGUCGUGCAGUAAUGCGUGUUGUGGUCCAACCUCAAUUGAUCAGAAAUUGAACUACACGAAAUCCUAUGGAAACCUUAGAGAAAUGGGGUAAAUAGGAAAAUAGUAAGCUUGCAGCUCAAUGAAUGAAUAUAAUUAUAUAUAAAAAUAAAUUAGUGUUUUAGUGCUCGUCAUAAUUGUAUGACAUAACUUUACACUGAACGCUUUACAAAAGCAAACAUGAACUCGUAUAUACACACAUGACAAAAUUGCACCAAAUAAUAUACAAGGAAAAUAACUCUCAAUACUCACUGGGAUCAUCAUUGCACGAGUAAAAAGAGGGAAAAACCUCUCAAUACUCAGUAGAAUUAACAACUUCACAAGGGUCGAGUAAUUUAACUCUCAAUACGCAUGCGUAGAGCCUAUGGAGAAAUGUACACAUAUGGUGCCUGUCAAUUACAUCUCAUGACUCAAUCAAUCAUAUAAUGUACAUACAUUUAAUCAUAACAUUAUACUAAAUCAAACUAUUAAACAUAAAUGCUUUGUAAAAUACAUAAUAGUAAUAAUAAUCCACUCACAGAUCCUAUUGAUGAAGCACGCACGUGCUUUGCUUUAAGCUAACAGCUUGCUAUUGCUUUGACAAUUAACCACAUGUGCCUCCUUUUAGCUUGCACGUGCAUCACAAUACAUGCAUUAGAAUUGGUUGUAUUCUCAUGGGUGAAGCAUGAAUGUGCUUUGCUUUAAGCUAACAGCUUGCUAUUGCUUUGACAAUUAGCCACAUGUGACCCGUUUAUAGUUUAGGAAAUAACAAUAUUGAAUAGAAAUAUUCUUCGAAUAUACUAUUUAUUUUCCAUUCAAACAUUUUCUCAUUUAGGUAAAGGUCACAAAAAAAAAUUAUUUUUUUAAUUUAAAUAUAAAUAUUUUAAAAUCAUAUAUAAGUUAUAAAAAAUAAAUAAUUAAUAUUUUUUUUAAAGUUAGACUUUAUAUGCUUAACAGUCAACCCUAAGGAACAUGGAUAAGAGCUACUAAAAAAAAAAGAAUAAUUUUGAAACUAAAUACAAUUAAUUGAGAGAUGAGGACGGAUAAGACAAAUUCAGAGAUAAAAAUUAGGGAAAUUAUCACCGGUAUACCCUUAAAUGUCACCGGUAUCAAACGUACUAUAACACUUUUUUCUUAUAUCACUCGUAUACCCUAAGUUGACAAAAGAGUUCUGGCAUCCACCUUUCCGUUAACUACUGUUAAGAACUUAACAUAAUUUGAGCAAAAUGACUAUUUUACCCUUUAAACUCAAAAUGAGGUAAAAAACAAAUUUGCCUUGAAAAUUAAUGUAAAUUUUAAUACACAAUUUUUUUAUUUUGUUAUUAACAAUAUAUUUUUUAUUAAAAAAAUGAAUUAUUAAUGGUACAUAUUAUUAACAAUUAUCCAUAAAAAAUAUCCAUCUUAUACCAUAAAAAAUUAUUAACAACAUAUUAUUUAUAAUUAUACAUAUUAUACCAUAAAAAAUUCAAGUUGGACCUUGGAGGAGUAGAUCUUCAAUAAUUUAGGUUAAAUUUUGAAGGAGUAGAUUCGGUUGUAAAGUAAUUUUUUUUAGCAAUUAUUAACAAUUAUCCGAUAAAUAGGAUGACAUGUCAUUUGUAUCAAAAUAUAUCAUAUGAUAUGUCGUUUUUUACUAGGUAAAUGGGAUGACAUAUCAUUUUUAAAAAAAGACUAAAUUACUCUUAUGAUGUCAGCGCUCGCAAACGGUAGUUAACGGAUCGGUGGACGGCAGAAGUGUUUUGUCAACUUAGGGUAUACGAGUGAUAAACUUAAAAAGUAUUGUAACACGUUUGAUAUUGGUGUCAUUUAAGGGUAUAUGACUGAUAAUUUCCUUUAAAAUUAAAAUAUCACCCUACUUAUUGCUGGCAGUUAUGAGCAUUAAAGCACAGAAGCACGUGUGUUGAAAAGUAUGGUGCUCGUGUGGAAUUUUCAGCUAAAAGUCUACAAGGCAGUUGAAUUAAUCAAUCAUCGUGGAGUGCACGGUGGUUGGACAAUGAGAUGAAAUUGAAAAACUAUCACGGAACUUGAAGGAAGGUUCAUAGCAUCGAUUUAUUCUACGGAGUCACGCACAUUUGGUUCAAUAAUUGUUUUCAUCCGAAUCAAAAUCUCUCUCUCAUCAAUUCAACUGUUUCUGUUGAUUAUGGCUUCUUCUUCUCGAAACAACAGGAAGUAUGAUGUUUUUGUUAGUUUCAGAGGAGAGGACACCCGCGACAACUUUACUAGCCAUCUCUAUUCUGCUCUGUGUCGACAAAAUAUCCAGACUUUCAUUGAUGACCAACUUAACAGAGGAGAUGAAAUUUCGGAGUCAGUUGUGAAUGCAAUUGAAGCAUCAGCCAUUUCAGUUAUCGUCUUCUCAGAAGGGUAUGCAUCUUCCAGAUGGUGUCUCGAUGAAGUUGUAAAGAUCCUCAAGUGCAAGAAGGAGUAUGCACAGAUUGUGAUUCCGGUUUUCUAUCGGGUUGAUCCAUCGGACGUGAGAAACCAAACUGGGAGUUUUGGGGAUUCAUUUUCGAAGCUUGAAGAAAGAUUAAAGGAGAAUUCAAAGAAGCUGCUGACUUGGAGGAAUGCUUUGAAGGAAGCAGCCAGUUUGUCCGGCUUUAAUUCUCUUAACAUCAGGUGAAAAGUUAGCUUUAAUUUCUCAUACUAAUAUUCAACACUGUAAAUAAAAUUCACGCAGCACUCUUAGUUAAAUUUUCCAGAUGAUAAACUACACUUUUAAAUUUUUUCAUGCAUCAAAUUCUAGACUUCUUGAACUUCCCCACUUUUGAACUCCUAUAAAAGAAUUUUUGCAGAAUUAAUAAUAAAAGCUCCAGAGGUUUACAAUAUAUUUUAACAAAAUUAAUGGUGUUCUGUCGUUUUUUAAUCAAUUUCAAUCUCUUACUCAUAUACCAUUAGGAAAAAAAAAAUCUCUUCCACAUAUAACAUAUUCCUGUAAUUAAAGAGUUAUUAAUUUAUAGGGAAAUUAGAAAUUUCCUUACUCAAAUCAAUAUAUACCACUUAUUUUGACUAUUUUUACAAUAUUUAAUAACUCUCCUGGAGUCCUGGUACCAUCACUUUGCAAUAUUAUCCUUAUGAAAAAAAAUAAGUGGUAUAUAUUAAUUUCAAUAGGAAAACUAGCAAUCUCCUUUAUUUCAAAUUUUAUGCAAAUCCCUUCUAUUUGAAGUUACCGCUGCUAAUUUUAUGUAUUUGGUAGGCCUGAAUCGGAACUUAUAAACGAAGUUGUUCAUCACAUUUUGAAGAGACUGCUGGAUCACGUUUUUCGGCGGAAUGAUAACAAAAACCAUCUGGUUGGAGUAGAAUCAAGAGUUGAGGAAAUUGAGUCUCUACUAGGUGCUCAGUCGAAAGAUGUUUACGCUUUAGGGAUUUGGGGCAUUGGUGGUAUAGGCAAAACAACAAUCGUUAGAGCUAUUUUUCACAAAAUCUCUAGCGGUUUUGAAGGUUCUUGCUUCCUUGAAAAUGUUAGAGAAGAGUCACAAAAACCGGGAGGAUUAGCUUGCUUGCGACAAAAACUUCUUUCAAAUUUAUUGAAAGAUAAAAAUGUGAGUCUUGUUAUUGGUCUUAAUUUUAGAAGGCUCAGCCGCAUGAAGGUUCUGAUUGUUUUUGAUGAUGUGACUUGCUUCAGCCAAUUAGAAUCUAUAAUUGGAAGUCUUGAUUGUUUGACGCCUGUGAGUCGAAUCAUAAUAACCACAAGAAAUAAACAAGUGCUUAGAAAUUGGGGGGUGAGGAAAAUAUAUGAGAUGGAGGCAUUAGAAUAUCAUCACGCUCUUGAGCUUUUCAGUCGACAUGCCUUCAAACAAAACCAUCCUGACGUUGGUUACGAGGAAUUUUCAAGCAAGGUAAUGAAAUAUGCUCAAGGUGUUCCUUUAGCUAUUAAAGUUUUGGGUUGCUUUCUAUAUGAAAGAGAAAAGGAAGUCUGGGAAAGUGCAAUAAAUAAAUUGCAAAGAAUCCUCCAUCCAAGUAUCCUAGAGGUAUUAAAAAUAAGUUAUGAUAGUUUGGAUGAUAAGGAGAAAAAUAUUUUCCUUGAUGUUGCUUGUUUCUUUCAAGGCGAGGAUGUAAAUCUAGUAAUGAAAUUCCAUAAUGCAAGCGGUUUCUACCCAGAAAUAGGAAUAAGUGUUCUUGUUGAUAAAUCUCUCAUUGCUAUUGGUUCGUACAACAAGAUAAGAAUGCAUGAUUUACUACAAGAGCUGGGUAGGGAAAUUGUUCGACAAGAAUCAAUUAAUCCUGGAAACCGCAGUAGGUUGUGGCAUCAUGAGGAUAUCUAUGAAGUUCUUACAUAUAACACGGUAAGCAGUUUGUUGUGUAUAAUUAUUUUGAAAUAUUCUAGCAUUUACAAACUUGAUAUGAAUAUAUUUAUAUCUGCUCGAACUGAUGAGUCUUAGAAUUAUUAGAAGAGCAACAAUGAUUGGAAAAAACCAUAGCGGUUAAAUGACGUAGCAAUAAAUUAUAAAUGCCAUGACAACUUGCAUAAUCGUUUGCAAGCAUAAUUGAUAUGCCAAUUUGUAUAGUACACAGACGGAAUUUUUCUUUGUGCAUUUGCAAUUAAAAGUUUAACUGCCGAGCAAUAACUACAAGCUACCUCUAAUUGUGAAUUAGUGAGAAAAUUGCCCCAAAAAUUAUCCCUAUGUAUUGUUGAAGGGCGAUUCAUUGGUGGAAUACAAAUAUCUUUCAUUUGAUUUUAACUUUAUUGCUUUUUCAUUUAUUUUUAGGGGACAGAAAAAAUUGAGGGCAUAUGUUUGGAUAUGUCAAAAGUAAAAGAGCUCUGUCUUAAUCCCAAUACUUUCACACAGAUGCCUAAAUUGAGAUUUUUAAAGUUCUAUAGUUCAUCAGUCAAUGGAGAGAACAAAUGUAAGAUAUCUUAUUUGCAAGAUUCCGGAUUUGCUGAAGUGAAAUAUCUUCACUGGUAUGGAUAUCCGUUGAAGUCAUUGCCGUCAAACCUCGGUGCAGAGAAACUUGUGUUACUUGAAGUGCCUGAUAGUGACAUUGAACGACUUUGGGAUUGUGUGAAGGUAUGCAUAUCUUAUUAUAUAUGUGCAAUCUUUCAAUAACAACCUUAAAUUAUUAUACGUGGUAACGAUUUUGUCUUGGCCUCUUUUUUGACCGAGCAGCAUUAUAGUAAGUUAAACCAGAUAAUCCAUGCUGCCUGCCAUAAGCUAAUUGCCAAAAUUCCAAAUCCCACGUUGAUGCCACGUCUGAACAAGCUAGUUACGUUGAAUCUAAGAGGUAGCAAAAGCCUGAAAAGUCUUCCAUCUGGAAUAUUUAACUUAGAAUUUCUUACCAAACUUGAUCUUGCGGGCUGCCCAAAACUGAAAAGGCUUCCAGAGAUCUCAUCAGGUAAUAUAAGCUGGUUAUUUUUAAGGGGGACCGCAAUUGACGAACUGCCCUCAUCAAUUGAGCGUCUUCUUAGGCUCGGAUACUUAGACCUUUCAGAUUGUAAAAGGCUUAAGAGUCUCCCAAGCAGCCUCUAUAGAUUGAAAUCUCUUGGAAUUCUUGAUCUCCAAGGUUGCUCAAAUCUUCAGAGAUUGCCCGAAUGUCUUGGCCAAUUAUCCUCGCCAAUAACAUUUAAUCUAACGAAAACCAAUAUUGAGAGAAUACCAGAAAGCAUUAUCCAACUUUUCGUGUCGGGAUACCUCCUCUUAAGUUAUGGUGAGAGGUUCCAAUUCGUACAAAAGUCUCCAUUCCUUGAACGAGGUUGCUUGGCACUGCAACCAUUUUUAGGUUUGUUCUCUAAGUUAUGAAUCUUACAGGCAAUUUUUUUUUACCGGAGCAAUAAUUUUAAAUUGGAAGGUAAUUCUACUGCAGGAAUUGUUGAAGAUACCCUGAGAAUUCAGCUGAAUGUGUGUCUUUAACUCUCUCUACUUACAAUUUCUACAAUCUUUGUUUUUUUUUGGGUUUAAAAUUAUGUUUUUUUGGUACAGAGAGGUUUUUCCUUGGGCAAAGGUCAUAUAGUACUACCUGGGAAUGAAAUUCCAAAGUGGUUUGAGUUUCAAAGUGUGGGAUCUUUUAUAACCUUGGAGAUGCCCCUAGAUUUCUUCAAUAAUAGCAGAGUGCAGGGCAUUGCAUUUAGUGCUAUUUUAGCAUUUUCAGACCGUCAUGUAGCUUGUGGCAGAUGGUUUUCAUUUUCUUUUGAGCUCAAAGUGAAAACCACCAAAGAUUGUGGUACGCAUGGCACACUAUUAUCUCAGAGCAGAGUUAAUUAUGUAGAAUCAUAUCACUUACAUUUGGGGCACUAUUUGUUCUGUGAAGAGGAUUUUAAUGGUUUUUGGAAAUGCAAUUGCAUUCUUGAGGCAGUCCACUUUAAUGUUUUUCCACCUUUGGAGUGCCAGUGCUGCGGGGUGAAAAAAUGUGGGAUCCAUUUACUUCACACCCCAGAUCCUACGUCAAUGGAAGACCCAAGCACAUGUUUCAACUGUAACGAAGAAGACUGAGAUAGGUGUCAUUUUCACUCAACUCACCUGAGUUGUGAAUCCAUUUGCUUAAACAUGUAUGCACUUUUUCAAGUAUCUCUACCAAUUCCAUAUUUGGAAUGGUGCAUUUGAUUCCAUAGUUGAUGUGGUAUCGUCUAUGGUUAGAAUUUAUAUUUACAAAAAGGACUUGUAAGGAAAGGAUUGAAGAUGCCCGUGUACUUAUAUUUCGAUUUAGAUUAUUAUAUCUUUUUCAUGUAUAAAAUUGGAUCCUAUCAUUCACAUAUCAUUGACAUGAGCAAUAUGGAUUACUAAAUCAUUAUUCUUUAUUAUUGUGCUGAAUUUGAUUUUUUAUUGAAUAAUUUGAUAUAUUUCUUGAAUCAAUUUAGAGCUUCUACAACAUGUCAGAGAUCAGUUUCUCCAACAUUCCUUUCGGCGCCAAAAGAUAACCAAUCGGUUGAAUAAGAAUUGAUAUAUACAACAUAAAUACAGGAGUUGUUUUGUCUUUUUACAAUAGGAAUAAUAUAUAAUGCUCGUUAAAACUUGCUGAUGAGAAAGUAAAUUCCUCAGAAAUUAAAUGUUUCAGCCAACCAAGGAAGCAGCUUUUCGUGGACCAAUUCAGGCCUGUCGUCAUGGGGGCAAUGUCCUACUCCUUUCAAUACAGUUAACUUCACGUUUGAGAGUUUAGAAAGCAGAGAUGAGAAGUAUUUACCAACAGGUCCAUCGAGGGGUGUGAAUGGAUCCUCAUCACCCCAUAAAACUAGUAGAGGUAUAGAGAUCGAUGGCAUCAAUUCAACUGGGUUCGGCCCUGGUGGGCCGGUUACAAUCGAAACAAAUGCAUCAAGUGCCCCUUCCUCAUUGGCAGGCUCUCGUAUGAUCUGCAGUUUUGAGGUUGAUUCAUGAAUUCUGAGUAGCCAUUUUUGUAACAGGUUAAAAUGGCAUAUAAGAGGAGAAUAUUAAUACCUCAACCAGUGUUUCAUCCACAGAUUCCUUAUUUGCAUAAAUGGACAGUAAAAUAUUCCUCAGUGUUUCCCUACAGCACCAAUAUAUGCACAUCAUAGAGUUUUUUAAUUUUGACUCUAGUGUCUUGGGAUAAUGAACAAUGGACUGAAUAGAGAGAAGAGAAAAUACCUUUGUUUCCCACGCUCAAAUAUAGCAGAAGCAAUUGGCCUUUGCUUCAACAAAAAAUCAAUGAACCAAAGCAAUGGGAACAAUAGCUUGAUUCUCCAAUCAUCAACAAUUGCCUUGUUGUUCAUGCCACCAGCACAAUUCAACAGAACAAGCCCUCGAACAAGGGUUUGACUAGAUUCUUAUGGUAGAAAAUAUAGCAGGUUUAUCGUAAACCAUAGAUACCAAAAAGGAUAAUUAUGUGCAAGUGUUUCUUUGCAAGCAAGUUGAAGAAUAUCUGAUGUCCAAGGGGAAGUUAAAAUAAAU
rnacentral:lncRNA from 1 species